rnacentral:lncRNA from 1 species
UUGAUAUAUAUAUAUAUAGAUUCAGUUUGAAUAUGGUUCUUGAUGGUAUCAUGGAAAAUGCGAACGAAAAGUCAGCAUCUUUGAGUUUUGUCUCAUCAUAUCAAACUUGUUGGUCCACUAAUCAAUCAACAGGCACUUGUGAUCUUGAUAAUUUGAACUUAAGGAAGCAAAGCACCAAUCCCAAAGAGACAUGGCUUGAAGCUGAGAUUGUUGUUGAGGGCAAAUCAGUGGCGGUUAAUCGCAGCAUAUUGUCUGAGCGCAGUCAAUUUUUUCGUCGGCUUUUUAAUUUGAGAAAUGAUGGUUCUGUCAGUGAGGGGAAACCCAAGUAUCUUUUGACUGAUUUGGUGCCUCAUGGGAAGGUUGGAUAUGAAGCUUUCAAUGAUACCUUGCAUUUUCUUUACACUGGGAAGCUUAAGCCAUCUCCUCUAGAAGUUUCCACGUGUGUUGAUGACGCUUGUGCUCAUGGUGCUUGCCCUCCUGCUAUCAAUUUUGCUAUUGAGAUGAUGUAUGCUUCUGCUGCUUUCCAGAUGGAACAACUCGUUGUUUUGGAGGUAAUUGUGCUUCCCUACUAUUUGUAUUGAAUAAACUUAUGCUUCUUGGUAUAGUUUUAGCAUAUAUGGGAUUGAAAUCAAUUUCAGUUGUGAAGCAACUUCGGUGGUUCCCAAUAUUAGGCAUUGUAGUAGAUCCAAAAUUAGCUUGUUAAGAAGUGUAGAUACCGGAGAGCCCAAAACUUCGUCUUAUCUUGCAAGAGUCUGUUGUUUUAUUUUCAAAGAGACAAAAGUGAUGAUGAUGGGCAGCGAACUCUAGGAAUCAAUGCUUGCUGACACUGACUCCCAAGAAUGAUAAAAACUAACCAAAAAGGUAUAGAUUACAUGAGUCUGAAUUUGAUAAGUGCGCCUAUCCUAUCACAAAAGCUUUUGCGUUGAGUUUCUAACCAAGGAAAAUUGUCACUUCUUUCUGUAGGCUUCAUAGAUUUGUUCAAGCCUUCAAGGAUGUCUAGCUGUUACUUACUGUCCAACAAUGGUGCUACAUUUCUAGUGAAUGAUAUGUUAUUCUACAUCUGUAUAUUGCAACUUUGACAAACUUGGCCUUUCCUUUGUUGAUUCACUCGUCUCACUUUUAUUAAAUUGCCCGAUUAUGAAAUGGUCUAUUGGAGACUAGCAUUGGAAGGUUUCUUCUGGAAAAAAUUUUACUUGACCGCCAAUUUUCAUUUGGGUGGGUGUCAGUUCAUGCUCUGGCUUGACUGUUCUGUUAUUUAGGUUGUUUUAUCCGUAUUUUCUUCACUUACUUGAUGGUUAGUUCUCUCAUGCUUUCAAGCUCUCAACAGUGAAUGCGAGAGAUUCUAUUUUUCCCGUCCAGUCUAUAACCUAGCAAAUCAUUAAUGCUGUAGAAUAACAUCUUGUGUAGGUGAGCUUAUGUCUCUGAACAUUGGUCCAUCGGCAUUUAGGUUCAAUAAGCAUGACACUGAUUUCCCCCCAAUUAUUAUUUUCCUGCACAGAUUAUCCCCUUUAAGUAUUUGAAUUUUGAAUAUAUUAUUAUGCAUCAAAACUGUAUCUAUCCGUGUAGCAUUUAAAUCUGCUUUAUGAUGUUUACCAAUAAUUACCCAUUAUGGGGUAUUUGAAUUUUGAAUAUAUUAUUCUGGACCAAAACUCUAUCUGUCCGUGUAGGAUUGGCUUCUGUGCUUGGCUGAGGAUGCUCCUGUGGAAGAUGUAAUCCCAAUUCUCGUGGCUGCCUUCCAUUGCCAACUGAACAUGCUCCGUUCUUACUGCAUCCAGAGAAUUGCAGGGUCAAAUCUUGACAAUCUUUGUCUCGAGAAAGAGCUUCCUGAUGAAGUUUCAAGAGAAAUCAAAUCACUCCGUGUCAAAUCUAACCAGGAGUCUGAAGCUAAUAUAGCAGAAGUGGAUCAUAAUCAUGCAAUAAUAGUCAGAAGAAUCCACAAGGCGCUGGACUCUGAUGACGUUGAACUGUUGAAGCUUCUUCUGGAUGUAUCUAAUGUCACUCUGGAUGAUGCUUACGCUCUGCACUAUGCUGCUGCCUACUGCAACCCCAAGGUUUUUAAGGAAGUGCUCAAUAUGGACUUGGCUGAUCUCAAUCUUAAGGAUGCAAGGGGACGUACAGUGCUUCAUGUGGCUGCAAGGCGUAAUGAGCCAGAAGUGAUGGUGACUCUGCUGAGCAAGGGAGCAUGCGCAUCAGAAACUAUAUCAGAUGGCCAAACAGCUGUAGAAAUCUGUCGGAGAAUGACAAGGCGAAAGGAUUAUCUUGAAGCUACAAAGCAGGGGCAGGGAACUAACAAAGACCAGUUAUGCAUUGAUGUCCUUGAGAGAGAGAUGAGAAGGAAGUCCAUGUCUGGGAACUUGGCAAUGCCAUCAGAGGUGAUGGAUGAUGAUUUCCAAGCGAAGCUGGACUAUCUGGAAAAUAGAGGUGAUAUUUCUUUACUGGUAUUAGUUCAUCACCUUCUCAGAGUUUGUGCUAUGCACACUUCUUUCUACUGUUUGUUUGUCCCUUCAUAUGGAAAAUAGAGGUGAUAUUCCUUUACUGGUAUUAGUAAAUCAUCUUCUCAAGAGUUUGUGAGUCCCUUCAUUUUAGCAUCUCAAACACACAUGGGCUCAUUGCUUGGGGCACACUGUUGGCCAGUCAUGUGAUUUGAUCCCCUUUUUUGGAAUAGACAAUUCUGAAUCCAUCUGAUCUAGGCUUGGUGGUUUGCACCGAACUGGUUUUUGAUAAAUAAUUGUACAAGACUUUGUCAUCAAAAACUUUUUUUUUUGUUUUUUUGUUUUUUGUUUUCCAAAAGUAAUGAGGUACAAAACAAUUUAUGCCUAUCCUGGAUGAGUGUCAUAACAGCUUCUUAAUAUUUUGCAGUGGCUUUUGUACGGUUGUUUCCUUCUGAAGCUAGAGUAGCUAUGGAAAUAGCAGGUACCGCCACUGGCCUUUCAGCAUUAGGUCAGAAAGGACUAAGUGGGAACUUAAAGGAGAUUGAUUUGAAUGAAACGCCCUCUAUGCAAGCCAAGAGCCGCCAAUUGAGACUGCUAACUCUGCUUAAAACAGGUAUUUAUAUACUUUAUUAACUUUUGCACCCUUCUAUACAUGUAUUAGUUAAUUAUAAAGAUAUUUAUAUACUUUAUUAACUUUUGCACCCUUCUAUUUACUGAUUAUCUUUAUAAUUAACUAAUACAUGUAUCCAGGUUUCUCCUUCCAAUUGGAAUUCCUUUAUAGUGCUCUGUUAGGUGUAAUCAGAUGUAUCAAAAGAGAAAGGGUAAUUGUUAGUACAUUGAUAUCUCAACAAAAUGGUAGAACCUUUCUUUAUACCACUAAGACAUUUGUCGCAGAUAUGCCUACAUAAUCAGUGUCCUUCAAAACUUUCAAGGAGUUAGCAAUGCCUAACCCCUGAAACACUAAAUCUCACGGGAUCAACUCUUUACAUCUAGACCGAAGGUGUGACACCCAGACCCAAUUAGGGCUUAGAACACAUAUUGAAUCUGAGUGAAACUAAAUGCCUGUAAAUCCAAAUCUCCAAAAUAUCAAAAAGUCAUCUACUUUCUCUUUUCAUGUAUUUCACAAAAUUUUGAAAAAUUCAUUCUCAAUCAUAAACUAUGCACAGCUAAUUAUUCAGCAUAUCAGUAUAGAGCAAUACUUCCUCAUAAGCAAAUAAAUCUUACAAUCCUUCUUACAUGAUUUUAAAAAAAAUACUAAUAGAAGUCUUCUAGAUACAAACAUAAACAGAAUUCAACUGUUUAAAACUAUGCCAAAACACAAGCUUCAAUCAGUAAUACAUACGACUAAUUAUUAAAAACAUCUAGGCAGAAACCUUACGAAAGCUCAAUCUUUCUGAAGCAUUCUUCAAAUUAAAAAUUGCUACCAUCUGUGAAAAAUAAUUGACAAGGAGUCAGCUGUGAACUCAAUCAGUAGAAACAUUCGUAAUGAACAAAAAGAAUUCUUUGUGCAAUAUUUUCAGAAAAUUCAUUUAACCUUUCAAAUGAAACAGAGUAAUUUUUCUAACACAGUCAGGAUUUAUAUAAAACACAAACGUUUCAGACAAAAGCUGUGCGGAAUGUAAAUUUUGCUUCUUUAAACAGAAAGUUAUAUAUUAGUUUGAUUUUAAAGGGAGGUUAUUGGGAAGUUAAAAUUGGCAGUUGUGGGAAAAGGGUAAUAGCAGUUAUAAAAUCUGUUUUAAAGCAAAUUCAAAUCAAGUUUCAAAUUUUAGGAGUACUUAAUUCAAUAAAAUAAGGAAUAAAUAAAGCUUUCAUUGAAACAAAACUAAGUAAAUUCAUUUAAAGCAAAAAAGGAUGGGAGCAUUACUAUGGGUUCUUAUGUUUACCCGCAGUCAGACAUCUGGGGACCUUGUUAUUUGGAGACAAGACUUGAUUGUGCCAUGUUUUCCGCAGCUAGACAUCUGUGGAUAAGAGAACCCUAAGCCUAUUUAGAAUAAAUUCUGUAAUCCAAGACUCUUCAGUUCUUUCAUUUGUGGCUAAUUAGUUAUAAAAUUUGUGAAUUUCAUGCCCCAUGCCCCUUGCAAAAUGCCAGUUGUUGAACUGAAAUAAUAAAAAAUGGAAAACAGACUUAAUGCCGAUAGCAUUUCUUAAGAAAAACUUGGGAUGUUUAUAAUUUUCUUAGAGCAUUUGCUGAACUUUCUGUGAUCGCAGUCGAGACGCGUGACCUCUACUUCCCUCAUUGCUCAGAAGUGGUUGAUCGCUUUUUGGAUUUGAACAAUCCUGCCACCCCAGAAAUGGACGACGAGAAACUUAAAGCAGACAUGCAGGAGGCAUUCUGCAAGGACGUGGCUUAUCACCGUCGUUUAGGGCUGCCAUCAUCCCGGCCGGCAUUUUACCAGUACACGGCUAGGAGCAAUCAGUCGGCAUUUUACAAGUACAUGGCUGAGAGCAAUCAGUCGGCCAAGUACGUGGCUGAGAGCAAUGGCUCAGGAAUGUCGACAUCCUCGGCAGCGCGCAAUCUAAAAGUUAUAUUUGACACCUGGAAAACUAAAGGAGUUGAGUGAGAUCGAUUGGUAUUUGUAGUUUCUUUUUUUUUUUCCUCAAGUGAUCUGGCGGCAUAAUUAAAAGUUAUAUUUGUUUGUCUUCAAAGUUAUUGUAUUGUCUCAAGUCCGGUAAGAUGCGCGAACUUAUAGCAUGGAUCCAUAUGAUCUGGACUAAACUAGUUUCUAAUAAAUAAGUAUAUUUUACAGUACUGAUUUUCCUACAGAAAUUGGUUAAGGUGACAUUAAUGUUCUUUAUGAUAGACGGAUAUACAGAUUUUUCGUCGAAAUUGAAAUUAGAAAUGGAUGGAUAUGCAGAAUUUUUUAAUAGAAUUUUUAUACAAAAAUUUGUAGCUCAUUACCCUCUAAAAGGAAAAAAAUAAAUUUUUGAUUUUAAAUAUUAAAUAUUAAAUUUAUAAUAUAAUAACUUUGUGAGUUAAGGUGCACAAUACCCAUAUAUUAAUAAUUAAGAAAAGAAAAAAAUUAAAAUUUGUAAAUUACCAAUUUUUUCUUGAAAUUUGAUAUUCUAUAUUAACGUAGGUGUUGCAUGGACUGGGUUAGUACAAUUGAAAGAAACUAACUAAAGUAAAACAAAAUAUCAUUAAAAUAUGGCAAGCUUCUCAUAUUUUUUAAGUGAAAAAGAGAAGAAAACUAAAAUUAAUUAUUUUUAUACCCAAAUUCUAGUGCUUGAAGGCCGCUGGAAUUGACCAUUGUAGUUUUGUCAUCCUCAUUAUUCACCGGCCAUCGUGGCCUUCCUCCAUUAAAAAAAUAAAUGACCAUUUUUUUGGACCACAACAUAUUAAAAAUAGUAUUGAUUAAUACUAAUAAAUCUCUUUUUUGAUUAUUUUGCAGUGUGAUAGUCGAGUGAGGGCAGUGCCCAUCGUAGCACUUGAACAUGUGGUAAAUUUAUGCCAGUCUUUGUAAAAUAAUUUUUAAAUUAUGUAUUAACCAGAUAGCUCAAUGAAAACUAUCGCUCACUAAAUUAUUACUUUAUUUUGUAUAUAUUUAUGAUAAUUGUUGAAAAGAAAAAUGUAAAGUGAGAUUAACGAACGUUUAUGAAUGUGGAAAUUAACACAACCAAGAUUUAUGAUGAAAUAAUUUUAAGUCAAAUGAGCAUAAAUUUGUAUAAAUAUUUUUUGAAUUGUCAUAUAUAUACAAGUUUGUCACUAAUAGUAAACUUAAUUAUGAGUAUUUUAAUAAUUCAAAAUUUUAUUUAACCAUCGGUGUAUAUAGUGUUUUUCAUAAUACAAAAUUAUAAAAAGUCUCAUCCUGAAUAGUAUAAUGCCAAACCUUUUCAAAAAUUUAUUCUAUUAUAGUCGUCUUAGUCAGUUAUAUUUAUUUCUAAAUUGAAGAUAAAAACAGUACUUCAUAUAUCAUCCAUUACUUCAUACAUUACUUAAAGUUUUUUUUUUUUUCAAUCAAAUUAUGAGCAAGUGAAAGGAUGCAAUAAAUUACGACUAAAAUUGUAAAAUUUACCAAUGGCUAUAUACAAAGUCUGAUUCUCAUGAGCUUAAAAGAUGGGCUUUGAAUGAUGUAUGGUUCUCAAAACUCUACUUUUAUUAAUAUGAUUGCCCUGCUUCCUUCAUGACGGGUAAUUUUUAGUUUCGUCCCCUGAAGUUUGGUUUAUCUCCAUUUUAAUAGGAAAUAUUAGCGUAUCUCCCACUUUUCUCCCCUGCCGUUUGUAUACCGUUUCAUAUUGUUAAUGGACGAAGCUACAAGUCUUCUCUUUCAUCAAAUCGAUCCAUAACAAAUACGAGUCUGCUUCACCUAACCAAAACACACACAUACUCCAUCUCUAAAUGCUUUGAAGAUAAACAAAUCAACCGUAAUCCUGCAACUUUAGCUCAGAGAAUCGGAUAAGAAAAGAACAGGUGAUGAAUCAAGGGUAAUGGCGCCGAGUGAGUGUCGCCUGCGGUCGGCGUUAGAGGCGACUGUCACUCAAUCGCGUACAAGGUUAGUCUUUGAAAAAACUCUUUGCAUGUUAGAAAUCAGUGAUUAGGCAUUAUUUUGUUAUUUAAAAAUGAAAAUGGGUUUAUUAGUUUGUCGAAGAAUCUGCUCUGUUGCCGGUGUUGUUUGUUGAUUAAAAUGAAAAUGGGUUUGUUGAUGUGUUGAAGAAGUUGCUCUCCUGCUGGUGUUUUUUUAUUAAUUAAAAUGAAAAUGGGUUUGUUAAUUUAUUGAAGCAGCUGCUGGCAUUGUUAUUGUGACUUUAUUUAUCCAAUUGAUGAGCUUAUGAGCUAAUAGUAUUGUUUGAUCAAGCUUGUGUUCUUAAUAGUGGAGUUGAUAUUCUUAAAAUGAAUUUAUGAUUAUGAGAAUAUGAAAAUUGAAUGGCAUCGUAGAGAUCUGGAUUAAUCACCAUCGUAUAUGUUUCUAAAUAAAGGAAUAAGCAGCAACCGAUUUGAAAGUUAAGACUUUAGGGAUAUGUAUGUGCAACUGAAUGAAUCAUCAGUUGCUAUCUUGUAAGUCAGUGCUAGCAUAUUACCUAAUGGCAAGUGAAGCUAUUUUAUGUGUAUUGCUGCCUAUCAAAAUGUUUAUGUUUGAAGUUUUCUCCUUUUGGGAAAUUGAAUGCUUCUGUGAGUUCUCUGGUAAGGGCUAUACAACUAUCUCUAAUAGAUUCCUUCAUGUGCAUUAAUUAGCUUAGUAGUUUAUUGACCUAUAUCCAAUGUCUAUUCUCCUUUUCUGUAGCCGUCUAGUUUUAUGAGUGUGUGAAGUGAACUUUUGUUUUAUGUUUCAGGACUUGGGAUUAGAGUGUAUAACAUUCAAUAUCUUUAUAUCAAAGAACUGAUAUAUGUCAAUGUAGUGCGAUCUGGUCUUUAUUAGCUUCUUGAUUUGCCAGGAUGUUUGACAACCAUCUUUGACCAUGAUUGCCAACAUAUAAGCUGCUACAUAGUGUCUCAGGAAUCACAGCAAAUUAUUAUCAUAAUAUGGUGAUUUUGAAUCCAAAACUUGGUAGUGUCAAGAAAAUAGACCCAUGUUUAUUUAUCUUCAUGUUUUGUAUGCGCCUGCAAUAGACUAUUAUAAGUUACUUUUAGUUUUAUCAAGUUUUUUUUUCCUUAAAUUUCAUCGAGUCUUGGAGUCUUUGUAAUAUAGAGUCUAAGUGAAGAAUACUUGGGUGAAAUCUUGUAUUCUCUCUUCCAGUAAUAUAAUCAUCCUUUGUGUUUUUAUCUUUUUAUUUUGGUAUCAGAGCAUACUUUAUUAUAGAAGGACUUAGACUCUAUAUUACAAAGACUCAGCGGUUUCUUUUAACUGAGUUAAUAGUGUUGUUAGGUUAAACUAAGUUUGGCUUCAUAAGAUUCAUAGUAGAGUGUAGAACUGGGUACAAUUUUGGGUUAGACAAGUCAAAAGUCUUCUCAAGUAAUUGUUCUGCUUACUGAUUUGGUAAUUGCAACAUUGCUAAAUAGUUCAAUUUGUCCUUUUAUUUUGUUGAAUUUAUUGUAUGUCAUAUUACUUCAUUUAAUUAUUUUCUCAGAUCUUGUAGGUGAAAAUUUCAGCUUCAAAGGCCAAGCUAAUCAUCCAGCAAUUCAGUGAAACCAAGACACAGUGGCUCAUAAAUUGUUGUUGGUGAUCCAGCCAUUCGGGUGCUUGCCAGUCCUAGACGAGAAAACUUUCAACGCGGCGCAUAAAUUGUUGUUGAUCUACUUUAUAUAUUUUGACCUUUGUGAUUUGUGAAUACAUGGUUUGAUUCCAGUGUUUACAACUUUGAUACUGUGUAUAACUUAAAAAGCAAAUGAAACAAAUAGGAAAUGUGUUUUUAUUUUUUUUAUUCUAUCUAUCUAUUUAUAUUUUGUUUGGAAAUGUAACAAUUUAUAGCUGGCAAAGUACUAGAGUUGUAUACUUGUAUUUAAUUCAUUAUUAUUAUUUUUUUAAUGAUGACUCAGUAAUGUCGUUGUCCAUGGUGUUUUGUCAUUUUGAGAGUACUUAACCCUUGGACGCUAAGGCACAUUACAGUAGCCGAAAUUUUGAGCUUUCAGUUCUUGAUUUUAGCGUGAGGGGUAUCUUUGUCGUUUCAGUUGUCAACAAACAAUUUGUUGGGGGGGGGGGGGGGGGGGUGGAGAUACGCUGAUACUUUCUAUCAUACUGGAGAUACACCUAACCUCAGGGAAGGAAACUGAAAUUUCACCUUUACGACGGGUGGACUUGGGUCAAACUUUCAUAUUCUAAUCAAGUAGGUCGAUCACGAUUCAAGCUUCAGUCAUAAGCCUUUCGUUAUGAUUGAUAUUAUUCUUUCUUGAUAGUAUCAUGGAAAAUGCAAACGAAAAGUCAGCAUCUUUGAGUUUUGUCUCAUCAUAUCCGACUUGUUGGUCUACUAAUCAAUCCACAGACCCUUGUGAUCUUGGUAAUUUGAACUUAAGGAGGCAAAGCAGCAAUCCUAAAGAGCCAUUGCUUGAUGCUGAGAUCGUUGUUGACGGCAAAUCAGUGGCAGUUAAUCGCAGCAUAUUGUCUGCACGCAGUCGUUUUUUUCAUUGGCUUUUUCAUUUGAGCAGUGAUGGUUCUGUGAGUGAGGGGAAACCCAAGUAUCUUAUGACUGAUUUGGUGCCUUAUAGGAAGGUUGGAUAUGAAGCUUUUAAUGAUAUCUUGCAUUAUCUUUACACUGGAAUGCGUAAGGCACCUCCUUCAGAAGUGUUCACGUGUGUUGAUGAUACUUGUGUUCAUCUUGUUUGCCCUCCUGCUAUUAAUUAUGUUAUUGAGUCGAUAUAUGCUUCUGCUGCUUUUAAGAUGACAGAGGUCGUUUCGGUUUAUGAGGUAGUUGCGCUUCCCCGCUACUUGUAUUGCUUAAAUUUAUGCUUAUUGGUAUAGUUUUAACAUAUGUGGGAUUGAAAUCAAUUUCAGUUGUGACUUGCAAAGAGCCAAAGAAUCUGUUGUUUUAUUUUGAAAGAGACAAAGAUGAUGAUGAUGGGCAGUGAACUCUAGGAAUCAAUGCUUGCUGACACUGACACCCAAGAAUGAUAAAAACUAACCAAAAAGGUAUAUAGAUUACAUGAGUCUGAAUUUGAUAAGUGCACCUAUCCUAUCACAAAAAGCUUUUGCGUUGAGUUUCGAACCAAGGAAAAUUGUCACUUCUGUCUGUAGGCUUCAUAGAUUUGUUCAAGCCUUCAAGGAUGUCUAGCUGUUACUUAGGGUCCAACAAUGGUGCUACAUUUCUAGUGGAUGAUAUGUUAUCUACAUCUGUAUAUUGGAACUUUGACAAACUUCGCCUUUCCUUUGUUGAUACACUCGUCUCACUUUUAUUAAAUUGCCUGAUUAUGAAAUGGUCUAUUGGAGACUAGCAAUGGAAGGUUUCUUCUGGAGAAAAUUUUACUUGCCACCAAUUUUCAUUUUGGUCGGUGUCAGUUCAUGCGCUGGCUUGAUUGUUCUGUUAUUUAGGUUGUUUUAUCCGUAUUUUCUCACUAUCUUGAUAGUUAGUUCUCUAAUGCUUUCAAGCUCAACAGCGAAUGCGAGAGAUUCUCUUUGUCCUGUCCAGGUUAUAACCUAGCAAAUCAUUAAUGCUGUAGAAUAACAUCUUGCGUAGAUGAGCUCGUGUCUCUGAACAUUGGUCCAUCGGCAUUUAGGUUCGAUAAGCAUGGCAUUGAUUUUCCCCCUCAUUGUUAUUUUCCUGCACAGAUUAUCCCCUUUAAGUAUUUGAAUUUUGAAUACAUUAUUCUGAAUCAAAACUCUAUACGUCCGUGUAGCAUUUUAUAUAUGCUUUAUGAUAUUUACCAAUAAUUACCCACUGCGAGGUAUUUGAAUUUUGAAUAUAUUAUAUAUUAUUAACUUUUGCACCCUUCUAUACAUGUAUUAGUUAAUUAUAAAGAUAUUUAUAUACUUUAUUAACUUUUGCACCCUUCUAUUUACUGAUUAUCUUUAUAAUUAACUAAUACAUGUAUCCAGGUUUCUCCUUCCAAUUGGAAUUCCUUUAUAGUGCUCUGUUAGGUGUAAUCAGAUGUAUCAAAAGAGAAAGGGUAAUUGUUAGUACAUUGAUAUCUCAACAAAAUGGUAGAACCUUUCUUUAUACCACUAAGACAUUUGUCGCAGAUAUGCCUACAUAAUCAGUGUCCUUCAAAACUUUCAAGGAGUUAGCAAUGCCUAACCCCUGAAACACUAAAUCUCACGGGAUCAACUCUUUACAUCUAGACCGAAGGUGUGACACCCAGACCCAAUUAGGGCUUAGAACACAUAUUGAAUCUGAGUGAAACUAAAUGCCUGUAAAUCCAAAUCUCCAAAAUAUCAAAAAGUCAUCUACUUUCUCUUUUCAUGUAUUUCACAAAAUUUUGAAAAAUUCAUUCUCAAUCAUAAACUAUGCACAGCUAAUUAUUCAGCAUAUCAGUAUAGAGCAAUACUUCCUCAUAAGCAAAUAAAUCUUACAAUCCUUCUUACAUGAUUUUAAAAAAAAUACUAAUAGAAGUCUUCUAGAUACAAACAUAAACAGAAUUCAACUGUUUAAAACUAUGCCAAAACACAAGCUUCAAUCAGUAAUACAUACGACUAAUUAUUAAAAACAUCUAGGCAGAAACCUUACGAAAGCUCAAUCUUUCUGAAGCAUUCUUCAAAUUAAAAAUUGCUACCAUCUGUGAAAAAUAAUUGACAAGGAGUCAGCUGUGAACUCAAUCAGUAGAAACAUUCGUAAUGAACAAAAAGAAUUCUUUGUGCAAUAUUUUCAGAAAAUUCAUUUAACCUUUCAAAUGAAACAGAGUAAUUUUUCUAACGCAGUCAGGAUUUAUAUAAAACACAAACGUUUCAGACAAAAGCUGUGCGGAAUUUAAAUUUUGCUUCUUUAAACAGAAAGUUAUAUAUUAGUUUGAUUUUAAAGGGAGGUUAUUGGGAAGUUAAAAUUGGCAGUUGUGGGAAAAGGGUAAUAGCAGUUAUAAAAUCUGUUUUAAAGCAAAUUCAAAUCAAGUUUCAAAUUUUAGGAGUACUUAAUUCAAUAAAAUAAGGAAUAAAUAAAGCUUUCAUUGAAACAAAACUAAGUAAAUUCAUUUAAAGCAAAAAAGGAUGGGAGCAUUACUAUGGGUUCUUAUGUUUACCCGCAGUCAGACAUCUGGGGACCUUGUUAUUUGGAGACAAGACUUGAUUGUGCCAUGUUUUCCGCAGCUAGACAUCUGUGGAUAAGAGAACCCUAAGCCUAUUUAGAAUAAAUUCUGUAAUCCAAGACUCUUCAGUUCUUUCAUUUGUGGCUAAUUAGUUAUAAAAUUUGUGAAUUUCAUGCCCCAUGCCCCUUGCAAAAUGCCAGUUGUUGAACUGAAAUAAUAAAAAAUGGAAAACAGACUUAAUGCCGAUAGCAUUUCUUAAGAAAAACUUGGGAUGUUUAUAAUUUUCUUAGAGCAUUUGCUGAACUUUCUGUGAUCGCAGUCGAGACGCGUGACCUCUACUUCCCUCAUUGCUCAGAAGUGGUUGAUCGCUUUUUGGAUUUGAACAAUCCUGCCACCCCAGAAAUGGACGACGAGAAACUUAAAGCAGACAUGCAGGAGGCAUUCUGCAAGGACGUGGCUUAUCACCGUCGUUUAGGGCUGCCAUCAUCCCGGCCGGCAUUUUACCAGUACACGGCUAGGAGCAAUCAGUCGGCAUUUUACAAGUACAUGGCUGAGAGCAAUCAGUCGGCCAAGUACGUGGCUGAGAGCAAUGGUUCAGGAAUGUCGACAUCCUCGGCAGCGCGCAAUCUAAAAGUUAUAUUUGACACCUGGAAAACUAAAGGAGUUGAGUGAGAUCGAUUGGUAUUUGUAGUUUCUUUUUUUUUUUCCUCAAGUGAUCUGGCAUAAUUAAAAGUUAUAUUUGUUUGUCUUAAAAGUUAUUGUAAUAUCUAAAGUCCGGUAAGAUGCGCGAACGUAUAGCAUGGAUCACAAACUCAUUUCAUAGAAUAUUUUUUUGUAUAAUUAUAUAAUUUAUAGGCUUUGCUUAAAAAAUUAAAAAAGAAUUGCAUUACAAUUGGUAUGAGGCAUGCAUGUGUGUGUCAUAUCAGUUGCUGAACAAACUUUGCCUUUUAGUUUUGUAGGCACUACCAUCUCAAAUUCUCUGUUAUCAUGAAUGAGUAUUUUUUUCUUUUUUCUUUUUUAAGAAAUCAUAAAUGAGAUUAAGAUAAUUUUUUUUAAAAAAAGAAAAAAAUGGAGAUUUCUUUUAUUUUUCCUUAAAAACUGAAGAAAAAUUUAGAUGGUAGUGUGAGACGGAGAAUUAAAGCAAUUUUACUAACAAAUGUAAUGUGUUUGGUGUCGCAAUACAAAUUAAUAAAUUAUAAUUUAUGAGACUAGUUUGCAUAAUCUUAUAUAUAAAAUUAUAUCCUCUGAAUAAAAAUCUUCUCACCUCUUUUGACUUUUCAUUUAAAUAUCCUCUCUAGAAUCUCUCUGACCAUAAACACAUUUUUACAAAACAAAACAGAAGAAAUUAUAUAUAAUUCUCACAAGGACUAUUUCAUUUGCACAUAGUACGCAAUUGGUCACUAAAGUUAUUUGAGGAGAAAAUUUACAUGAGAUGGGUACAUCCUAUUAUCAGUAUUUUAAUUUAAGUUUGAACAUACUAGAAUGGUCUCUCAUAAAUUUUUCUCCAAUUUGAGAGAUGGUGGGGAAGUGGGGUUAAAGUGCAUCUGCAUAGAAUUAAUUAUAAUUAAAUUUAUUUUUUAAAACUAUUUUAACUAGAAGUAGUAGUAAUUCUUUUUAUUAUUGUUAUUCCAAUUAUAUCAAAAUCUAGUGACUCGUGAUCAAAUUAAGUAGUUCAUUAAACUUUUUUAGGUGACGUAUGGUAUGGAGUUUUUAUAAAUCUAUAAAUAUAGUAAAAUAUUUAAUUUUGCUUGUCGUAAACUUUUAAUUUGCAUGGGUUAAAAAAGAAAAACUAGCGAAAAGUUUGUGCGCAGAGAGCCAGAGAAAACUAGCGGCCGCUGUUAAGCAAAAAGUUAAAAGUUGAACCCCAUGCAUGAAAGCUCCGAAAAUAUCGGACGUGGCGAAAACCCUAUUUUCGGAGGGACUUUUUCUCCGCCGUUUAGGGAGGCUAGAACAACCAAAAAGGCACGGUUUCGUGAUGAGGAAGUAGCUGGUGACAAUCCUAUGCAGGUUUCGUACAAAGAAACCCUGGUGAACUCUUCGCAAGCAAUGGAGAAUGGUUUUGGAGGCGGAGCAGUGGACUGGGAUUUUGAGGAAGGAGAUGUGAUCGAGAACAACGAUGGACCUAUGCCAUCAAUAGCUUUCUCGGCUAGGGUCCAUGAGAAGUUGAGUGAACCGCGGAAGAAUUCUGUCGUUGUGAAACUACUUGGCCGAACAAUAGGCUAUAGGGCUCUCUGCACAAGAUUGAAUGUAAUGUGGAAAACAACCAUGAGUUUCUCAGUGAUUGAUUUAGAGAAUAACUAUUUUUUGAUUCGCUUCCGCUCAAGUAGUGAUGUUGUUGAUGCUCUAACUAAUGGGCCUUGGCUUAUUAUGGGGCAUUACUUAACGGUACAACCAUGGACACCCAAUUUCGAUUUCACCAAAACGGCUAUUGAUCAAGUCACUGUAUGGAUUCGUUUACCUGGUCUUGCUGUCCACCUCUAUGAUCGGAAAAUGCUGCAAAAGCUUGGACAAUUGGUGGGUACGGUGAUCAAAAUUGAUGUGAAUACAGCCUCCUCUACACGGGGACGUUUUGCCCGAGUUGCAGUCACAAUCUCUUUGGCUAACCCGCUAGUGUCUCAGUUUGAACUGGAUGGGAAGGUCCAGAAGGUGGAAUAUGAGGGAUUGCCAGUGAUCUGCUUUAUGUGUGGAAGGUAUGGACAUAACAGAAAUACUUGCAAGGAAGCUGGUGCAGCGAAUGAAGCUGAAAAUGCCCCCCAGCCUACUAUGCAACGUCAGGAGGUCCCUGCUCAUCAGGAGUUUGGCUGUCAUGAUGCUAGUAUUGUAGAACCCUUUGGCACUUGGAUGAUCGUCACGAGAAAAGGCAGGAGAACUAACAAUGGCAUGGAGAAUAACAGUGAGCUAAACCGGAACCGCGAGCCUUUUGGGGCUAGCACUUCAAGAUUCCACAUUCUAGCUCAAGUCUCAGAUGAGCGUGAGGAUCAUGCCCCUGCAGUGGUUAAGGAUAUCCCCUCCACUUCACGUCAACCACUCAUGCCUACCCUGAACCCUACUUUUACCUCCCAUCAAGAGACCAUAACAAGGACCUCGGCAAGGCGUAAACCUCAUAAUAAGGCUGUGGUUACAAAACCUCGAGGUAGGAAACCGGCCACCUCAAUGAAUCCAUUCCAAAACCCCUUUCAGUCGAGUGUUUUUACCACAAGCAAGAAGGAUGUAAACUCCACACCCCAUGCAAACCUUAAUCCCACAUCAUUUGUAACUUCACAGUUUGAACCUGGUCAUCAACAAGUUUCCCACCUUGCUAACACCUUAGACCCAACGAAGCAUACUGUGGUCUUUUGCUCACCACAAACCUUUCCAUCGGGGAAUGUAAGGGAUGCGGCCAUUGAGCAUAGAGCUCGGCAGGGACCAGACCCUCAACAUACAUCUACUUGCCAGACGCUCGAAACACAUCAUGUGUUAAUGAAGUUGAGAAUGCCCAUACACACCCUGAGCAGCCUACGAGUGGAGUUGAUGAGGCUGGAAUGUUGGAUGAAGAAGAAUCAAUGGUUCAAGAAACGCUUAUGGCGUUGAUGGCUGAUAUUAAUGAUCAGCAAAACUAAGGUUUCUAUCAUCCCCUACUGAAAUUUUUUAUGUCAAUUAGCAUCAUGUAUUGGAAUGUUCAAGGGGUGGCCUUGACUACUUUUCGCCACUCUUUUAAGACUAUUGUUAAAAAUUAUAAUCCUUCUCUGGUGGUAUUGAUGGAACCUCGUAUUAGUGGGGGUAAAGCAGAUGAGUUUAUUAAGAAAAGUGGUUUUGACAACUCUCAUCGUGUGGAAGUAGUAGGCUUCUCUGGAGGAAUUUGGCUGCUCUGGCAGAAUGUUAUAGAGGUGGAGGUUCUUUUAAAUCACAAGCAAUUUAUUCAUUUCAGGAUUAGCAUGAAUAAGGUAUUUAUGUCUUGGGCAACGGCUGUCUAUGCUAGCCCAAAUCCAAUGUUGCGGAGAUAGUUAUGGAAUCAUAUGGAUAGCCUUGCUCUCUCUAUCCAAGGACCUUGGCUGAUUGGUGGGGAUUUCAAUUCUAUAUUGUACGCUUCUGAAAAACAGGGGGAGCUGCAGGGCAGUCAGGAGUGUGUGGCUUGUUUCGGCAGUGGUUUGAUGGACACCAAAUCUUUGAUUUAAAGUUCAAAGGCCCUCAAUCUACAUGGUCUCGUGGUUUUCUUUUCAAAAGGCUAGAUAAAGCCUUAUGCAAUAAUGAGUGGUUAUUAAAGUUUGCAGAUAACUCAGUUCUCCAUCUUCCGAAAGUUGCUUCGGAUCACAGACCGGUGCUAGUUCAGUUUGAGAGAGUUGUACGGAGACAUCAUGGUAAUAGGCCCUUUCGGUUUUUGGCUUAUUGGUUUACUAAUGAUCAUUUUAAUAAUUUUGUUAAGCAGACGUGGGAUCCUCAAGCUUCUUAUAGUGAUGCGGCAUCUAUUUUUGUCAAGGAGGUUCAAGUUUGGAAUCGGGAGGUUUUUGGGAAUAUUUUUCAGCGAAAACGUAUCUUAAUGGCUCGGAUUAAUGAGAUUCAAGCAACCUUGGAGAAAUCUAGUUCGAGGGGGUUAAUGCGCUUAGAGGCUUAGUUGCGGAAAGAUUUGGAGAUGGUGAUGGGGCAAGAGGACAUUCUUUGGUGGCAAAAAUCGAGAAAGGAUUGGAUUAUGCAUGGGGACAGAAAUAUUAGGUUCUUUCACCAAAAAACUAUUGUUCGCAGGCGGCGGAAUAGAAUUGAAGCCAUCCAGGACAAUUCGGGCAAUUGGUUGUACAAUGAGGAAGAAAUCCGAAAUCAUACAGUUGGGUAUUUUUCUGCCUUAUUCACAAGUGAGGCUGCAAGUCCCCAAGUUUAUCUUGUUCCGAAUUAUUUCCCAACUCUGGAUGCUUAUGAUAUCGAUUGUGUUGCCAACCCAGUUUUGGAAGCAGAAAUCAAGAAUGUCGUCUUUAGUAUGAAACCGCUAAAGGCUCCAGGUACGGAUGGGUUGCAUGCUAUUUUCUACCAGUCUCAAUGGGCAGUGGUUUGGCCUUCCUUCUGUAAGUUUAUUGCUGACAUUUUUAACUCUGGUAAGAUUCCUAAAGAGGUCAAUACUACUCUUCUGGUAUUGAUCCCUAAAGUGGAGCAUCCUACUAGCUUAAAAAUGUUCAGACCUAUCAGCUUAUGUAUAGUCGCCUAUAAAACAGUGACUAAAAUAAUUACUAACCGUUUGCAAGUCGUGCUGCCUAAAAUUAUAGGCCCUCAUCAGACGAGUUUUGUUCCUGGCCGCCACAUCAUAGAUAAUAUUGUUGUUGCCCAGGAAGUGGUCCAUACUAUGCAACGAAAAACAGGUAAGCGAGGGCUUAUGGCUAUCAAGGUAGAUCUCGAGAAGGCGUAUGAUCGGCUCAAUUGGUCUUUUAUCUUCGAUACUCUUCAGCUGACUGGCAUUCCGAUUCAAUUAUCUAGGCUCAUCAUGGAAUGUGUUACUACAGCUAAAAUGAGCAUUUUGUGGAAUGGAUAGGCUAUGGAGGAAUUUUCUCCGGGGAGAGGAAUCCGACAGGGAGAUCCCCUGUCUCCCUAUAUUUUUGUGCUUUGCAUUGAGCGGUUGAGCCAUGGUAUUUCCCAAGCUGUGAGGGAAGGCAGUUGGAAACCAAUCCGGUUGGCCAAACGGGGAACUCCCCUAACACAUUUAUUUGUUGCUGAUGACUUACUUUUAUUUGCAGAAGCCUCAAUUAAUCAAGCUUAUAUCAUUGACGCAGUUCUGGAGAAUUAUUGUCGGAGCUCUGAAACAAAGGUUAAUAAAUCAAAAACCAAAGUCUUUUUCUCUAAAAAUGUGUUAUCUAGAGAUGCCCAGCUUAUUAGUGACGCCUUGGGAUUUUCGGCUACUAAGGAUUUAGACUGUUACCUUGGCAUGCCUCUAAUCCAUUCGCGGGUGAAUAAAGCUACUUAUCAGUCCAUUCUGGAUAAGGUGGACAUGCGGCUUACUGGAUGGAAUGUGGCUAAUUUAUCCUUUGCUUGAAGAGUAACUUUGGCUCAAUCGGUGGUUCAAGCAAUGCCCAUUUAUGCAAUGCAAACAACUUUGCUUCCCCCCCGAUGCGUCAUAAAAUUGACACGACUUGUCAUCGGUUUAUUUGGGACGGGAAGUCGAAGAGGCACAAGAUGAGUAUGGUGGGCUGGGACAGAAUUUGUAUGCCAAAGAAUCAUGGGGGUCUGGGGUUUAAAAAGCUAGAUGUGUUGAACCAUGCACUGCUGAUGAAGCUGACCUGGGAAGUUGUAUCUAACUCGGACAAAUUAUGGGUGAAGGUGUUUUGUUCUAAAUAUGGGUUGGAUCCUGGAAACUUACCGCUCUCUCUCCUAGAUAAACAAUGGUCCCGUAUUUGGAUGGCUAUCAGGAAAACGUGGGCAGACACCAUGCAUGGAGCCCGCUGGUCAGUUUGUGAUGGUGUGAGAACUCGGUUUUGGCUUGACUGCUGGGUAACGAAGCAAGAACCUUUGAUAAAUUUUGCCCUCCAGCCGAUCUCUCACGAGAUUAUUAAUGCUACUGUGAGUGAGUUUAUAAACGAACACAGGGGCUGGAACUGGCUGAGAUUUGAACAUUUGCUGCCAAAUUACAUCCUCAUAUUGCAUCAGUUAGGCACUGACAAAAUUUACUGGAGUUUUGAUCCAAGAGGUGUGUUUACUGUCCGUUCAGCCUACGACUCCAUCUAUCGUCAAAACCUAGCCAUCCAAGAUGAAGCAUGGAGCUUAGCAUGGUCGUGGAAGGGACCCCAAUCUAUCCGCCUUUUUCUUUGGCAAAUUAUGCAUGGGAAGUUGAAGACUCAUGGUGAGCUGUCUCGGCGUCACAUUCCCGUGUCUAUGGCUUGUGAUAGGCGUGGGGCAUUGGUUGAGGACAUUCUACAUGCAUUGAGAGAUUGCCAUUGUAUUAAACGGGUUUGGCUGCGACUUGUUCCAGAGGGUGAUUAUCACUCUUUCUUUCACAUUAAUUUACGGGAUUGGAUUGUAGUUAAUCUUCAGAACAAGUUAAAGUUCGUUUCCCACAUUCAUUGGGAGUGUGUUUUUGGAGUGGCCGUUUGGAGAUUAUGGUUCUGGAGAAAUCAUUUCAUGGUCGAAGGAAAAUUGGUGGAUAGCUCAGCAAUUAAUAUGGAUAUUAUGGCCAGAGCAAAUGAAAUUCAUAGAGUGAAUAAUUCUCACAUGAGUCAGCAACCGAGGAGAAAAGAGAUGCUUAUCGGCUGUCAGCCUCCUCCAUGGCCUUGGUGUAAGUUAAAUACGGAUGGAUUUGUUAGAAAUUCAUGGGAUGUAGGGGCUGGUGGUGUUAUUCGUGAUUCAGUUGGUCACUGGAUUUCGGGAUUUUGUAUGAAUAUUGGGGAGUGUUCGGUGGUUAUGGCUGAGCUAUGGGGUCUAUAUCAAGGUUUAAUCCUGGCGUAGGAUGCUGGCAUAAAACGUCUUUUGGUGGAAGUGGACAGUCUGUGUGUUUCACAGAUGAUUUCUAAGCAGGUGGUCGUGCCUAAUGCUUUUUAUGCUCUAGUUGUUGCUAUCCCGAAACUUCUAAGCAGGAACUGGCAAGUUUCCCUCACUCACAUCUUUCGUGAAGCGAAUUCAACUGCGGAUUUCAUGGCUAAUAUGGCUUAUUCAGUCUCUCAUGGGUUACAUUUAUUUACUAGCCCGCCUGUGGUUAUUUAUUUAAUUAUAUUGCAAGACAUGUUUGGGGUUGCUCAACCCCGUAUUGUUCCGGUUUAGCUCGAAUUUGAGCCCAUUUUAAUCAAAAAAAGAAAAAGAAAAAAAGAAAUUGACUUAUUAAUUAAUUAACAAUUAUAGAAAGAAUAAAUAGAAAAUUAUAAUGGCGAACCUUGCUUGUUCUUUGCCUCUUGGGCUUAUGGUGUACCCUUGUCCCCCGCUGGGGGUUUCAUCCAUUCUUCUGUAUGAUUCUUACGGGGUUGCGACUCCUCGUUCGGUUGUUUUUUAGCUCUUAAUUGAGCCCCAGUUGAUCAAAAAAAAAAAAAAAAAAUUAUAGUUGCGUGAGAAAACUCUCGUGAAAAGGGCUCCGGAUUUCCUUUCCCUGGCUUCGUGCGUUUCCUUUUGCCCUUUCGAGCACGAAUUCGAAUCCAGUACUUUAUAAUAAAGAUAUAAUAUUAAAAAAUAAGAAAAAGAAUCCAAAUUUUUACUGGUAUAUAACGCAGAGCCAAAGCGAUAGCAAAACAUCAAAUUGUUUUUAUUUCAACCUUCGCGCAACUUCCGGUGACAUAAUUUUUAUCUGUUUCAGGUAUCGUUCUUGUUUUUUUGUUAUUCAUUCACAUAUCCUUCUUUUCUUUUCUUUUUUGCUGUAUUUUGUUUAUGAAACGCUCUGUUUCAGUUUUGUUUCUGGUUUUGUUUCAGUUUAACAUUAUUGGUUCGGUUCUGUUCUACGUCGUAUGUAUAUAUGUAUAUAUUUUUGGCCUCGAAUUGCUUUGAUCACCGGUUUUGUUAUUCAUUUAUCGUGAAUUUUAGAUGACUUGUUUGGCCAUGUAUUCACUUGAUUAUUACAUUCAGCUGCCAUUUUCAUGGUGGGUUUGUAAGAUAGUCUCUGACUAGCAUACGACAUUGAUCAUGAAUGAUGGUUUUGUUAGAUACAUCAUACGGAUGUUAACUCGUAUUAUUGUGUACUUACUUCAUUCAAAAGAUUAGUGUUUCUCUCUCUCUCAAUUUUUUUAAGAAAAAAAAUGAAAUGCCCCUUUUCGCAUUUUAUAGGUGAAAGGAAGAAACAUAAUAUCGCAGUGUCAAGGAAGCUCAUAAUGUAUGGAAGGAUGCAGCACACGUGUGAGAUGAAUACAGUCAGCUGAAGUUAGUUAGACACGUUAAGAUCAUAUUCAAUUAGCUUCUUUAUUUUCUGUUAAGUUGUAAACAGCUGAGUAUAAAUACAAGCAUCUUGUAAUCAUUUCGUUGUUAAGAAAAAUGAAAUAAAGCAUUUGAUUCAGAAGUCUUUUACAAAUUUUCUUAGCACUUUAAAUACAUUUUCUCAGUAACCAAACAGUCUGUUCAUUCAAGCUUUUAAGCUUUCAAACAUGGUAUCAGAGCCAUACAGAGCUAGUUCCAGUAAUCAACAGUCAAGCUUUCGUAAUCAAACAACAAACAACACAAAUCAAUCUACUCAAAUCAACUUCUCCUUUACUAAUCCUAUCAAGCUAGAUCGAUCAAAUUACUUACUCUGGCGCUUUCAAGUUUUAGCCUCAAUAAGAGGCAAUCGUUUGGAAGAUUUCGUCACAGGAGCCAAAUCAGUACCUGAUAAGUGUCUUCUGUUAACUGAAGUAGAUGGAUCUACACAACAAAUUGAAAAUCCAGAAUAUCAGAUCUGGAGAUCACAGGAUCAGACACUUCUUGGCUGGCUACUGUUGUCAUUAAGUGAAGGUAUCUUAAGUCUUGUUAUCAAUUGUGAAAGUUCAUUUGAUAUAUGGAAAACUUUGGAAAAGAAAUUUGGAGUUCAAUCUGAAGCUCGAGUUCUUCAGCUCAGAUAUGAACUAAACACUCUUAAAAAGGAAGCUCUUAGUGUUUAAGAUUAUUGUAUUAAAAUGAAAGCAAUAACUGAUAAGCUAGCCAGUGCUGGUAGUUCAAUUACAGAGAAGGAUCUUAUGUUAACUAUUCUUAAUGGAUUAGGACCAGGAUUUCGUGAUAUUGCUACAUUUAUAACUGGUUCACGAAUGGAAUUUGAUGAUGCUUAUGCACUGUUACUCACUCAUGAGACUAGAUUAGAGCAGGAGAAAGGUGACAGAAGUAUGUUUAAUGCAAACUAUGCAUAUACGAAUGCAUAUUAUCCUAGAGCUUAUUUUGCACAGCCUAGAGGAAGUUUUAAACGAGGAGGUUAUUCUGGUGGUAGAACUCCUUUCUUUGGCAGAGGAAAUAUGAAUUACUCUCCAAGAAUGUUUAAUGGAGGUGUUAGAAAUGGAUAUUGCAGAGGAUUUUUUCCUGGAAAUAACUCAACUGAUUUCAAUCAUUUUUCAGCUCCUAGGAAUCCAGUACCUAGGAACUCAUCCUUUCUAGCUAGAAAUGGUGCUAAUAUGAGUGGAUCACAAGGAAGCUUUAAUAAUGCUAGGGAGCUGGUAUGUCAGAUUUGCUUUAAGAAUGGUCAUACUGCUGAUGUCUGUUGGCACAGAUUUGUUGAAGACUUUGUACCUAUUCCAAGAGGUUUUGGCAGGGGAAAAACACCAAGAGCAGCAUAUUUCUCAAACUUUGAUGGCCCUACUUCUAAUCCAGAUUUUGGCUAUGAAAAUAAUAAUAUGUUUCCAGGUUAUGAUUCUAUAUCUGGCAAUAGUUACUAUUCUGGAAUGGAUGGAUACACUUCUGGAGCAGUUGGAACAGCUUUCAUGGCUAAUUUUGAAGGAACUGCUGAUGAUAGAUGGUAUCUGGAUAGUGUGGCAACUCACCAUUUAACCAACAAUAUGGAGAAUUUGCAGAUCAAUGAAGAGUUUAAAGGUACUGAUCAGCUUAUCAUUGGAAAUGGUCAAGGUUUGUCUAUUACUCAUGUUGGACAUGCAUUUCUGGUAUUAAGAGCUUCUAAAUCUUUAUCUAUACAUGCUAGAAUAACACUUAAAGAUGUGUUAUUUGUUCCUUCAAUUACCAAAAAUCUAUUAAGUAUUUCCAAACUCACAUCUGAUAAUCUUGUAUCUGUUGAAUUCUGUGGAAAUGUUUGUUUUGUAAAGGACAUGAAGGGUCAAGUUCUUCUGCAGGGUAUUGCUGAAAAAUGCCUUUACAAGCUGCUGCUGAAAUCUAAUUCUCUUUCUUCAUCACCUACAUCUUAUCUUUGUAAAUCCCAGCCAAAUAAACCAGUUUCUAUGUUAUCUGCUUUCAAACACUGUGAUAAUGGUACUCGAGCUUGCUAUCAAUCUGUUUUAAAUAAGUGUAAUGUCAAACCUGAUAUGAUAACUUUGUUACAUAGAAAGUUUGGUCAUCCAAGCUCAAUGACAUUGGUGCAUUUGCUCAAAUCAUGUAAACAGUUUAAAGUCUCUCCAAAAGACAUGUUAUCUUCUGCAAACACUUUAUGUGAAGCAUGUCAGCUAGGCAAAGUCCAUAAGCAACAUUUCUCAAUAACUGAAACAAAAACAAAAGGGGUAUUAGAAUUGAUUCAUACUGAUCUUUGGGGGCCUUCACCCACUGUGUCUAGAGAUGGAUACAAAUACUACAUUAGUUUUGUGGAUGAUUAUACUAGGUAUUCUUGGAUCUAUCCUCUUAAGCUCAAAUCACAAGCAUUUGAAGUUUUUAAAUUGUUCAAAACUCAAGUUGAGAAUCAGUUUGAUACCAAAAUUAAGAAGCUACAAUCUGACCUUGGGGGAGAGUUUAGAGCAUUUACUGAUUUUCUGAAUCAAAAUGGAAUAAUGUUUAGACACUCAUGUCCUUACACUCAUCACCAAAAUGGUUUUGUUGAGAGGAAACACAGGCAUAUAGUUGAGCUAGGCUUAACCCUCAUGGCUCAAGCAAACCUUCCUCUUCAAUUCUGGUGGGAACCUAUUCAUACAGUAGUGUAUCAUAUUAAUAGAUUGCCUACCCCUGUUCUGAAAUUCUUAUCUCUUUAUGAGAAACUUUUCAAACACAAACUAGAUUACACAUUCCUGAAGUGUUUUGGUUGUCUUUGCUACCCAUACUUGAGAGAUUUUAACAAACAUAAGUUUGAUUUUCACACCUCUAAAUGCAUUUUUAUUGGAUACAAUCCCUCUUAUAAAGGAUACAAGUGCUUAGCAAGUUCUGGCAAAGUCUAUGUUCUUAGACAUGUCAUUUUUGAUGAAAACACAUUCCCUUAUCCAAUAAACACUACAUCUCACACAUCAGAAAACUCCAUAUCUUCUGAAACCUCAGUGUCUAAUUUCUCUCAACAACAUAUCUAUCAUCUUUCUACAAUGGCCUUACCCAACAGCAGCUUUGAAGGUCUUCAAUCAGCAGGCUCAGCAAGAAGUGAACAAAUGUCCUCUGUUCCCACACAUACAGAUAUUCUGAAUCAACAAGAACAUCCAUCACACACAUCUUUAGAGUUAUCAUCCUCAACCUCACCAUCACCAAACACAUUACCAGUACAAUCAUCCAUUCUACAAUCAGAGGAAACUUCUAUUCCACAGAACAUAGACCAAAUUCAAACCAGAAAUCAUUCCCAACCAUCUUCUCAUCCAAUGAUUACCAGAUCAAAAUCUGGAAUCUUCAAACCAAAGGUCUAUACAGUCACCUUAGCCAACAAAGAACCUAGUACAGUUCAAGAAGCUCUUAGUAGUCAGAAUUGGCAUCAAGCCAUGGUAGAUGAGUAUGCAGCUUUGAUAAAGAAUGAGACUUGGUCACUGGUACCAUUUUCAAAUGCAUACAAAGUAGUUGACAAUAAAUGGGUGUUUAGACUUAAGCAAAAUACUGAUGGAAGCAUAGUUAAACACAAGGCCAGGUUGGUUGCCAAAGGUUUUCAGCAAACUGAAGGUGUGGAUUACUUUGAGACCUUUAGCCCAGUUGUAAAAGCUUCAACAGUAAGGAUUGUUCUGAGUUUAGCUGUGAUGCAUAAAUGGAAAAUAAGGCAAGUGGAUGUGAAUAAUGCAUUCUUGAAUGGAGACUUGACAGAGGAUGUCUAUAUGUAUCAGCCUGAAGGUUUUAUUGAUCAACAAAAACCCAAUCAUAUAUGUAAGCUGAAGAAGGCCUUGUAUGGCUUGAAGCAAGCUCCUAGAGCUUGGUAUGACAAGCUUAAGAAUUGUCUUAUUGCUAAUUGGAAAUUUCAGAAUUCAAAGGCUGAUACCUCUCUCUUCUUCAAAGAAGUGCAGGGUUCAAUGAUACUUAUCUUAAUCUAUGUUGAUGACAUUCUAAUAACAGGACCUGAUAAUGGUGAGCUGGAAAAAUUCAUCUCAGAAUUCAGUAAGACUUUUUCCUUAAAAGACUUAGGGAAUUCUGUCAUAUUUUCUGGGGAUAGAAGUUUCCUAUGCUGAAGACUGCAUCUAUUUAUCUCAGAAGAAAUAUAUCUUGGAUUUGUUAUCCAAAGCUGAUAUGCAAAAUUGUAAAGGCUGUGACACUCCCAUAGUUACUGGAACAAAGCUUCAGAAAGAAGUCAAAGGCUGUUUGGGUCAAUAUAUUGAGGAUGCAACAAGCUAUAGAAGCUUAGUUGGAGGUUUACAAUAUCUGGUAUUAACCAGACCAAAGAUAGCAUUUGCUGUGCAUAAGUUGAGCCAGUAUGUGACAGCUCCAACACUCCAGCAUGUUAUGGCUUGUAAAAGAGUUCUUAGAUACCUUAAGGAAACUGCAGAUCAUGGUUUGAAGUUUUCAGCAGGUGGAGAAAUGAAGAUCACAGGAUUUACAGAUGCAGAUUGGGCAUGUGAUGUUGAUGACAGAAAAUCAAUAGGAGCAUAUUGCAUUUAUUUUUGGAAACAAUCUAAUUUCAUGGUCAUCCAAGAAGCAGGCUAUGGUUACACGAUCCAGUGCAGAGAGUGAAUAUCGUGCUCUGGCUUCUGCAAGUGCAGAGAUAACAUGGAUCCAGUCAUUAUUCAGUGAACUCAACAUUAAGUGUACUUCAUUACCAACUAUCUGGUGUGAUAAUAUAAGUGCAACAGAGUUGGCCAAGAAUCCAGUUUAUCAUUCAAGGACAAAACACAUUGAACUGGAUAUGCACUUUAUUAGAGACAAAGUUUUGGCAAAGGAGUUGGAGAUUAACUAUAUUCCCAGCGAGGAGCAAAUUGCUGAUGCUUUGACAAAGCCUCUGACAUUCAUUCAUUUCAAUUAUUUCAGAGACAAACUCAAUGUGCAACCAUGCCCCUUGAGUUUGAGGGGGGCUGUCAAGGAAGCUCAUAAUGUAUGGAAGGAUGCAGCACACGUGUGAGAUGAAUACAGUCAGCUGAAGUUAGUUAGACACGUUAAGAUCAUAUUCAGUUAACUUCUUUAUUUUCUGUUAAGCUGUAAACAGCUGAGUAUAAAUACAAGCAUCUUGUAAUCAUUUCGUUGUUAAGAAAAAUGAAAUAAAGCAUUUGAUUCAGAAGUCUUUUACAAAUUUUCUUAGCACUUUAAAUACAUUUUCUCAGUAACCAAACAGUCUGUUCAUUCAAGCUUUUAAGCUUUCAAACACGCAGAACUAGAAUAAAGGAGCCUAUUCUGGUACCUAUUGUCCAAGAAAGCUUCUGUAUAUUCAGUAGGAACUACCAUGGAAGUCAAAUCUUACCAGAGCCAGGCGGAGUCGUUGCUGAAGGAAUAUAUAUUAGCAGAUCCAUUUCUCCCGUACACUUCAAUUGUUGGUAGCAUUUUUGCUUGCACGAUGGUAUGUUUGUCAUCGUUACUGCGUGGUGGUAUUUACUAGAAAAUAUUUUGAAUGCGUAGUUUUCAUCUAAUUAGUUAUAAAUUUUAUACCCUCUGUUUUCCAUAAGAAUGUGUUCCUUUUCAGGUCUAUGAUCUUGCCCAAUUGAUUAGUGUGCUGAUAACUUUAAAUCUGAUUCCAGUUUCUCCAACAUACAGCGGGUCGAGUGGAGUAACAGGUGAUUGAAAAUUUUCAUUUAGUCCAAUUGUCAUUUCUUUCUCAAUCGGUAAAAUUUAAUCAUUUUUCUUAAAUCGACAACUUAUGCCGGGCCAUAUCAACUGUCCAUGACAUUUUUAUUACAACGAUGUCUUUGUACUUUGUGUUUUGGUCGAAUCUCAGAGUUUGUGCAUAGCACACUUGGUUCUACUGUUUGUUUGUCCCUUCAUAGACAUUUUGAUAAACUGUUAUUUUUGUUCUUUGGAAGUGAAUAUUUUCAGCAACUAGAACUCCGAAGCAUCUGGAGUGAUCCAUUUUGUCAUUCGCAAUACCUAUAAAAGAAUGUCAUAGAAAACAGUUUCCAAAGCAAGUUGCAUGUGUUUUGAAUUUGUCUUUGCAAGCCACUAAUUGCUUGGAGCGCACUGUUAGCCUGUCGUGAUCCCAUCCACUUUUUUGGAUAGACAAUUGUGCAUCCAUAUGAUCUGGACUAAACUAGUUUCUAAUAAAUAAUUGCCCAAGGAUUUAGUCUCAGUGUUACAGCCCAGUCUUUGUUGUCAAUACUCUUUCCCCUGUCGUGGAUGAGCGCCAUAACAGCUUCUUAAUGUUUUGCAGUGGCUUUUGCACGGUUGUUGUUUCCUUCUGAAGCUAGAGUAGCUACGGAUAGAGCGGAUGCAGAUGCCACCAAUUUUUAUACUGGCCUUUCAGCAUCAAAAUCAAAAGGAUCAAGUGGGAACUUAAAGGAGGUUGAUUUGAAUGAAACACCCUCCAUGCAAGCCAAGAGACUCCAAUUAAGAUUGCAAGCUCUGCUUAAAACAAGUAUUCAUAUACCUUAUUAGUUUUUGUACCUUUACAAUUUGUGAUUUUUGUAUCAAAAGAGAGAGGUUAAUUUUUAGUACAUUGAUAUCUCGACAAACUGUUAGAACCUUUGCACCACUAGAGACAUUUUCUUAGAGCAUUUACUGAACCUUCUAUGAUUGCAGUGGAGAUAGGUCGACGCUACUUCCCUCGUUGCUCAGAAGUGGUUGAUAAAUUUUAGGAUUGUGAUUGGUCCGAUGCUUCCCUCCUAGAAAAAGGGUACUCCUAAAGAGCAGAGACUCAAAAGGGCACGCUUCAUGGAACUUAAAGAAGACGUGAAGAAGGCAUUUUACAAGGACAUGGCUGAGAAAAAAUGGCUCAGGUUUGUAGUCAUCCUCGUCAUCGUCAUCUUCUCCGAAGGACGGAGUAAAGUGUAAGGGUAGGAAAAUGUGAUGCUUAUCUGCUUGUCUUUGUUAUUCAUUUACAGGCAACUAAAAGAGUUUUAGUGAGUUGGAUUGUUACUUGUAGAGAGAUACUCUUCGAGCCUAUGUUAUGGCUUAUGUUGUAUAAUAGCAGAGGAACUUCAAGCUUGCGUUGUUGUAUUUUCCCUGGUAUUUGGCAUGUGAUGCACUAAAUGACAAAGAAUUUUCUAAUUUUAGAGGGGAAAGUUAUGUCAGUUAAUUAUUUAUUUAUUUUGUCUGUUUAAUUCAGUUUACACAGCGCUUUUUUUUUUCUAAAAAAAUCUUCAUAUCUCCAUCUGCAAUUUAAGUCAUUCUUAACUUGUUUCAGGAUGGGGAACAAAAAAAAAAAAGAGAAAAUGAAAAGAAGCAUUUGUAAGUAUAUUUUACAGUACUGAUUUUCCUAUAGAAAUUGGUUAAUGUGACAUUAAUGUUCUUUGAGAUAGACGGAUAUACAGAUUUUUCGUCGAAAUUGAAAUUAGAAAUGGAUGGAUAUGCAGAAUUUUUUAAUAGAAUUUUUAUACAAAAAUUUGUAGCUCAUUACUCUCUAAAAGGAAAAAAUAAAUUUUUGAUUGUAAAUAUUAAAUUUUAAAUUUAUAAUAUAAUAACUUUGUGAGUUAAGGUGCACAAUACCCAUAUAUUAAUAAUUAAGAAAAGAAAAAAAAAUUAAAAUUUGUAAAUUACCAAUUUUUUCUUGAAAUUUGAUAUUCUAUAUUAACGUAGGUGUUGCAUGGACUGGGUUAGUACAAUUGAAAGAAACUAACUAAAGUAAAACAAAAUAUCAUUAAAAAUAUGGCAAGCUUCUCAUAUUUUUUAAGUGAAAAAGAGAAGAAAACUAAAAUUAGUUAUUUUUAUACCCAAAUUCUAGUGCUUGAAGGCCGCUGGAAUUGACCAUUGCAGUUUUGUCAUCCUCAUUAUUCACCGGCCAUCGUGGCCUUCCUCCAUUAAAAAAAUAAAUGAUCAUUUUUUUGGACCACGACAUAUUAAAAAUAGUAUUGAUUAAUACUAAUAAAUCUCUUUUUUUAUUAUUUUGCAGUGCAAUAGUCCAGUGAGGGCAGUGCCCAUCGUAGCACUUGAACAUGUGGUAAAUUUCUGCCAGUCUUUGUAAAAUAAUUUUUAAAUUAUGUAUUAACCAGAUAGCUCAAUGAAAACUAUCGUUCACUAAAUCAUUACUUUAUUUUGUAUAUAUUUAUGGUAAUUGUUGAAAAGAAAAAUGUAAAGUGAGAUUAAUGAACGUUUAUGAAUGUGGAAAUUAACACAACCAGGAUUUAUGAUAAAAUAAUUUUAAGUCAAAUGAGCAUAAAUUUGUAUAAAUAUUUUUUGAAUUGUCAUAUAUAUACAAGUUUGUCACUAAUUCCUUACCUAAAUCAUGUACUAAGCAAACAGCAAAUAAGAUCGAAAAUCUUGUUGAAUAUUCCUAUGUUCCCGAGUCCGCCCAGAUCACUGAAUCUUCUUUACCUCUUAUCAGUCCAUACCAUCUGUAUAAAAAAACCAUCUUCUUUUACUAAAACCAUCAAAACCCUGAUUUCUACCAAACGCCCCUCUCCUAAAGAGUAUAUCCAGUCAUCUAAACUAGAUCAGUGUGCUUUAAUGGCUACUGCAGCUGAACAAUAUGUGACACUUGAGAUACCCCCAGAAGUAAUCUCUACAUGGAAAAGAAAAGGCUAUACACAUCUUCAUCUUGCAGGUGUUCGCCUUAUCCUUACUCUCAAUGGGAGAAAGGGUCUACCCGUCACAGCCCGAAUUGCUUUGCUUGACACCAGGUUUAAGCAAUAUCAGCAUGCCAUUAUUGGCACAGUUCUUACUACUCUCUCUGCCGGAAAUGUUUUGCUUACAUUCUAUCCUAAUUUCAAUCUUUCUCUUCUUGACUCUAAUCUUUUCAAAGUAGGUUUUAAUGGUGUUCAAAAACAUAACAUCACAUUAAGGAAUCAUUCUUUUAUUGUUAUCCCCAAAAAAAGUUCACCUUCACCAACCCCCUCAUUUACCCUUCUUCUCAGCUAUCCUUUGGCGUAUCUCCAUUUUAAUAGGAAGUAUUAGCAUAUCUCCCACUUUUCUCCCCUGCCGUUUGUAUACCGUUUCAUAUUGUUAAUGGACGAAGCUACAAGUCUUCUCUUUCAUCAAAUCGAUCCAUAACAAAUACGAGUCUGCUUCACCUAACCAAAACACACACAUACUCCAUCUCUAAAUGCUUUGAAGAUAAACAAAUCAACGGUAAUCCUGCAACUUUAGCUCAGAGAAUCGGAUAAGAAAAGAACAGGCGAUGAAUCAAGGGUAAUGGCGCCGAGUGAGUGUCGCCUGCGGUCGGCGUUAGAGGCGACUGUCACUCAAUCGCGUACAAGGUUAGUCUUUGAAAAAACUCUUUGCACGUUAGAAAUCAGUGAUUGGGCAUUAUUUUGUUAUUUAAAAUGAAAAUGGGUUUGUUGAUGUGUUGAAGAAGUUUCUCUACUGCUGGUGUUUUUUUAUUAAUUAAAAUGAAAAUGGGUUUGUUAAUUUAUUGAAGCAGCUGCUGGCAUUGUUAUUGUGACUUUAUUUAUCCAAUUGAUGAGCUUAUGAGCUAAUAGUAUUGUUUGAUCAAGCUUGUGUUCUUAAUAGUGGAGUUGAUAUUCUUAAAAUGAAUUUAUGAUUAUGAGAAUAUGAAAAUUGAAUGGCAUCGUAGAGAUCUGGAUUAAUCACCAUCGUAUAUGUUUCUAAAUAAAGGAAUAAGCAGCAACCGAUUUGAAAGUUAAGACUUUAGGGAUAUGUAUGUGCAACUGAAUGAAUCAUCAGUUGCUAUCUUGUAAGUCAGUGCUAGCAUAUUACCUAAUGGCAAGUGAAGCUAUUUUAUGUGUAUUGCUGCCUAUCAAAAUGUUUAUGUUUGAAGUUUUCUCCUUUUGGGAAAUUGAAUGCUUCUGUGAGUUCUCUGGUAAGGGCUAUACAACUAUCUCUAAUAGAUUCCUUCAUGUGCAUUAAUUAGCUUAGUAGUUUAUUGACCUAUAUCCAAUGUCUAUUCUCCUUUUCUGUAGCCGUCUAGUUUUAUGAGUGUGUGAAGUGAACUUUUGUUUUAUGUUUCAGGACUUGGGAUUAGAGUGUAUAACAUUCAAUAUCUUUAUAUCAAAGAACUGAUAUAUGUCAAUGUAGUGCGAUCUGGUCUUUAUUAGCUUCUUGAUUUGCCAGGAUGUUUGACAACCAUCUUUGACCAUGAUUGCCAACAUAUAAGCUGCUACAUAGUGUCUCAGGAAUCACAGCAAAUUAUUAUCAUAAUAUGGUGAUUUUGAAUCCAAAACUUGGUAGUGUCAAGAAAAUAGACCCAUGUUUAUUUAUCUUCAUGUUUUGUAUGCGCCUGCAAUAGACUAUUAUAAGUUACUUUUAGUUUUGUCAAUUUUUUUUCCCUUAAAUGUCAGUUAUUUCAGCGGUUUCUUUUAACUGAGUUAAUAGUGUUGUUAGGUUAAACUAAGUUUGGCUUCAUAAGCUUCAUAGUAGAGUGUAGAAUUGGGUAUAAUUUUGGAUUAGACAAGUCAAAGGUCUUAUCAAGUAAUUGUUCUGCUUACUGAUUUGGUAAUUGCAACAUUGCUAAAUAGUUCAAUUUGUCCUUUUUAUUUUGUUGAAUUUAUUGUAUGUCAUAUUACUUAAUUUAAUUAUUUUCUCAGAUCUUGUAGGUGAAAAUUUCAGCUUCAAAGACCAAAGCUAAUCAUCCAGCAAUUCAGUGAAGAAACCAAGACACAGUGGCUCAUAAAUUGUUGUUGGUGAUCCCAGCCAUUCGGGUGCUCGCCAGUCCUAGAUGAGAAACCUUUCAACGCGGCGCAUAAAUUGUUGUAGAGCUGCUUUAUAUAUUUUGACCUUUGUGAUUUGUGAAUACAUGGUUUGAUUCCAGUGUUUACAACUUUGAAAUUCAAUUAAAAGUUGAGCUGUCAUUGAUUGAUGACAAGAUUGUGUUGUAUAACUUGAGAAGCAAAUGAAACAAACAGGAAAUAUGUUUUUUUAUUUUUUUAAUCUAUCUAUCUAUUUAUUUUUUGUUUGGAAAUGUUACAAUUUAUAGCUGGCAAAGUAAUAGAGUUGUAUACUUGUAUUUAAUUUAUUAUUAUUAUUAUUAUUUUAAUGACUCGGUAAUGUCAUUGUCCGUGGUGUUUUGUCAUUUCGAAAGUACUUAACCCUUCCACGCUAAGGCACAUUACCGCAGCCGAAACUUUGAGCUUUCAGUUCUUGAUUUUAGCGUGAGGGGUAUCUUUGUCUUUUCAGUAGUCAACACACGGUCAACAAAACAGUGUACAAACAAUCGACCUGUGAACUUGGGUCAAAGCUUUCAUCUUUAAAUCACAUAGGUAGAUCAUGAUUCAAGCUUCAGUUAUAAGCCUUUCAUUGUGAUUGAGGUAAUUGUGUUUCACUGCUAUUUGUAUUGCUUAAAUUUAUGCUUCUUGGUAUAGUUUUAACAUAUAUGGGAUUGAAAUCAAUUUCAGUUGUGAAGCAACUCCGGUGGUUCCCAAUAUUAGGCAUUGUAGUAGAUCCAAAAUUAGCUUGUUAAGAAGUGUAGAUACCGUAGAGCCCAAAACUCCGUCUUAUCUUGCAAGAGUCUGUUGUUUUAUUUUGAAAGAGACAAAAGUGAUGAUGAUGGGCAGCGAACUCUAGGAAUCAAUGCUUGCUGACACUGACCCCCAAGAAUCAAUGAGUCUGAAUUUGAUAAGUGCACCUAUCCUAUCACAAAAGCUUUUGCGUUGAGUUUCUAACCAAUUUUCAUUUGGGUAGGUGUCAGUUCAUGCUCUGGCUUGACUGUUCUGUUAUUUAGGUUGUUUUAUCCGUAUUUUCUUCACUCACUUGAUGGUUAGUUCUCUCAUGCUUUCAAGCUCUCAACAGUGAAUGCGAGAGAUUCUAUUUUUCCCGUCCAGUCUAUAACCUAGCAAAUCAUUAAUGCUGUAGAAUAGCAUCUUGUGUAGCCGAGUUUAUGUCUCUGAACAUUGGUCCAUCGGCAUUUAGGUUCAAUAAGCAUCUUGAAUUUUGAAUAUAUUAUUCUGAAUCAAAACCCUAUCUGUCCGUGUAGCAUUUUUUAUAUGCUUUACGAUGUUUACCAAUAAUUACCCACUAUGGGGUAUUUGAAUUUUGAAUAUAUUAUUCUGAAUCAAAACUCUAUCUGUCCGUGUAGCUUUGGCUUCUGAACUUGGUUGAGAAGGCUCUUGUGGAAGAUGUAAUCCCAAUUCUCGUGGCUGCCUUGCAUUGCCAACUGAACCACCUCCGUUCUUUCUGCAUCCAGAGAAUUGCAAAGUCAAAUCUUGACAAUGUUUGUCUCGAGAAAGAGCUUCCUGAUGAAGUUUCAAGUGAAAUCAAAUCACUCCGUGUCAAAUCUAACCAGGAGUCUGAAGCUAAUAUAGCAGAAGUGGAUCCUAUGCAUGCAAAAAUAGUCAGAAGAAUCCACAAGGCGCUGGACUCUGAUGACGUUGAACUGUUGAAGCUUCUUCUGGAUGUAUCUAGUGUCACUCUGGAUGAUGCUUACGCUCUGCACUAUGCUGCUGCCUACUGCAACCCUAAGGUUUUUAAGGAAGUGCUCAAUAUGGGCUCGGCUGGUCUCAAUCUUAAGGAUGCAAGAGGACAGACGGUCCUUCAUGUGGCUGCAAGGCGUAAUGAGCCAGAAGUGAUGGUGACUCUGCUGAGCAAGGGAGCAUGCGCAUCAGAAACUACAUCAGAUGGGCAAACAGCUGUAGCAAUCUGUCGGAGAAUGACAAGGCUAAAGGAUUAUCUUGAAGCUACAAAGCAGGGGCAGGGAACUAACAAAGACCGGUUAUGCAUUGAUGUCCUUGAGAGAGAGAUGAGAAGGAACUCCAUGUCUGAGAACUUGGCAAUGCCAUCAGAGGUGAUGGAUGAUCAUUUCCAAGCGAAGCUGGACUAUCUAGAAAAUACAGGUGAUAUUUCUUUACUGGUAUUAGUUCAUCACCUUCUCAGAGUUUGUGCAUAGCACACUUCUUUCUACUGUUUGUUUGUCCCUUCAUAUGGAAAAUGGAGGUGAUAUUCCUUUACUGGUAUUAGUAAAUCAUCUUCUCAAGAGUUUGUGAGUCCCUUCAUUUUAGCAUCUCAAACACACAUGGGCUCAUUGCUUGGGGCACACUGUUGGCCAGUCAUGUGAUUUGAUCCCCUUUUUUGGAAUGGAGAAUUCUGAAUCCAUCUGAUCUAGGCUUUGUGGUUUGCACUGAACUGGUUUUUGAUGAAUAAUUGUACAAGACUUUGUAAUAAAAAACUUUUUUUUUUUUCCCAAAAAGUAAUGAGCUACCAAAAAAUUUAUGCCUAUCCUGGAUGACUGCCAUAACAGCUUCUUAAUAUUUUGCAGUGGCUUUUGUACGGUUGUUUCCUUCUGAAGCGAGAGUAGCUAUGGAAAUAGCAGGUGCAGAUACCGCCACUGGCCUUUCAGCAUUAGGUCAGAAAGGACUAAGUGGGAACUCAAAGGAGAUUGAUUUGAAUGAAACGCCCUCUAUGCAAGCCAAGAGACGCCAAUUGAGACUGGUAACUCUGCUUAAAACAGGUAUUUAUAUACUUUAUUAACUUUUGCACCUUUCUAUUUACUGAUUAUCUUUAUAAUUAACUAAUACAUGUAUCCAGGUUUCUCCUUCCAAUUGGAAUUUCUUUAUAGUGCUCUGUUAGGUGUAAUCAGAUGUAUCAAAAGAGAAAGGGUAAUUGUUAGUACAUUGAUAUCUCAACAAAAUGGUAGAACCUUUCUUUAUACCAGUUAAGACAUUUGUUGCAGGUAUGCCUACAUAAUCAGUGUCCUUCAAAACUUUCAAGGAGUUAGCUAUGCCUAACCCCUGAAACACUAAAUCUCACGGGAUCAACUCUUUACCUCUAGACCGAAGGUGUGACACCCAGACCCAAUUAGGGCUUAGAACACAUAUCGAAUCUGAGUGAAACUAAAUGCCUGUAAAUCCAAAUCUCCAAAAUAUCAAAAAGUCAUCUACUUUCUCUUUUCAUGUAUUUCACAAAAUUUUGAAAAAUUCAUUCUCAAUCAUAAACUAUGCACAGCUAAUUAUUCAGCAUAUCAGUAUAGAGCAAUACUUCCUCAUAAGCAAAUAAAUCUUACAAUCCUUCUUACAUGAUUUGAAAAAAAUACUAAUAGAAGUCUUCUAGAUACAAACAUAAACAGAAUUCAACUGUUUAAAACUAUGCCAAAACACAAGCUUCAAUCAGUAAUACAUACGACUAAUUAUUAAAAACAUCUAGCCAGAAACCUUACGAAAGCUCAAUCCUUCCGAAGCAUUCUUCAAAUUAAUAAUUGCUACCAUCUGUAAAAAAUAAUUGGUAAGGAGUCAACUGUGAACUCAAUCAGUAGAAACAUUCGUAACGAACAAAAAGAAUUCUUUGUGCAAUAUUUUCAGAAAAUUCAUUUAACCUUUCAAAUGAAACAAAGUAAUUUUUCUAACGCAGUCAGGAUUUAUAUAAAACACAAACGUUUCAGACAGAAGCUAUGUGGAACGUAAAUUUUGCUUCUUUAAACAGAAAGUUAUAUAUUAGUUUGAUUUUAAAGGGAGGUUAUUGGGAAGUUAAAAUUGGCAGUUGUGGGAAAAGGGUAAUAGCAGUUAUAAAAUCUCUUUUAAAGCAAAUUCAAAUCAAGUUUCAAAUUUUAGGAGUACUUAAUUCAAUAAAAUAAGGAAUAAAUAAAGCUUUCAUUGAAACAAAACUAAGUAAAUUCAUUUAAAGCAAAAAAGGAUGGGAACAUUACAUAAGGGUUCUUAUGUUUACCCGCAGUCAGACAUCUGGGAUCUUGUUAUUUGGAGACAGGACUUGAUUGUGCCAUGUUUUCCGCAGCUAGACAUCUGUGGAUAAGAGAACCCUAAGCCUAUUGAGAAUAAAUUCCGUAAUCCAAGACUCUUCAGUUCUUUAAUUUUUGGCUAAUUAGUUAUAAAAUUUGUGAAUUUCAUGCUCCAUGCCCCUUGCAAAAUGUAUUUUAUAUCCUUAAGUUGCCAGUUGUUGAACUGAAAUAAUAAAAAAUGGAAAACAGACUUAAUGCCGAUAGCAUUUCUUAAGAAAAACUUGGGAUGUUUAUAAUUUUCUUAGAGCAUUUGCUGAACUUUCUGUGAUCGCAGUCGAGACAGGUCACCUCUACUUCCCUCAUUGCUCAGAAGUGGUUGUUGAGUUUAUUGAUUGCUAUCAUUGCUCAGAAGUGGUUGAUGAGUUUUUGUAUUGUGAUUGGUCCGAUGCUUCCCUCCUAGAAAAGGGUACUCCUGAAGAGCAGAUACUCAGAAGGGCAUACUUCAUGAAACUUAAAGAAGACAUGCAGGAGGCACUCUGCAAGGACGUGGCUUAUCACCGUCAUUCAGGGCUGCCAUCAUCCUGGUCGGCAUUUUACAAGUACUUGGUGGCUGAGAGCAAUCGUUCAGGUAUGUCGAUUGGUAUAUUUGGCACCUGGGAAACUAAAAGAAUUUAGUGAGCUCGAUUGGUAUUUGUAGUUCUUUUUCCUCUAGUGAUCUGGCAUGUAUCAAUUAGUUAAAUUAUUGUAUUUUCUCAUGUCCAGUGGGACACGCAAACGUUAGUAUGGAUCAAAAACUCAUUUCAUAUAAUAUUUUUUUGUAAAAUUAUAUAAUUUACAGGCUAUGCUCAAAAAAUUAGAGAAAAAGAAUUGUAUUACAAUUGGUAUGAGGCAUGCAUGUGUAUAUCAAUAUCAGCUGCUGAACAAACUUUGCCUUUUAAUUUUGUAGGCAUUACUAUCUCAAAUUUUCUAUUAUCAUAAAUGAGUUUUUUUUUUCUUUUUUUUAAGAAAAUCAUAAAUGAGAUUAAGAUAAUCUUUUUUUUAAAAAAAAAAAAAAGAAAACUGGAGAUUUUUUUUUCCUUAAAAAAAUGAAGAAAAGUUUAGAAAGUAUUGAGAGAUGGAGAAAUAAAGCAAUUAUAUUCAUAAAUAUAAUGUGUUUGGUGCAGUAACAGAAACUAAUAAAUUAUAAUUUAUGAGAUUAGUUUACAGACUCUUACAUAUGAAAUUAUAUCCCCUAAUUAAAAAUCUUCACACCUCUUUUUGCUUCUCAUUUAGAUGCCCUUUCUAGAACUUCUCCAACGGUAAACACAUUUUUAUUAAACAAAACAGAAAAAAUUAUAUAUAAUUGUUCAUAAGGACCAUUUCUUUUGUACAUAAUACAUAAUUGGCCAUUAAAGUUAUUUGAGAAGAAAAUUUACAUGAGAUGGGUACAUCACAUUAUCAGUAUUUUUGUCUAAUUUUGAACAUACGUUCCUUGUACGAAUUUUCCUAGAAUGGUCUCUCAUAAAUUUUUCUCCAAUUUGAGAGAUAGUGGGAAUUGGGUUAAAGUGCAUUUACAUAGAAUUAAUUUAAAAUAAAAUUUAUUUUUUAACUAUUUUAACUAAAAGUAGCACUACAAGAAAAAAGGCCUACAAUGACAGUCCCUUGUGUGACAGUUUUUUAUCUGGAGACCUACAAUGAUGGAUUUGUGUUAAAUUUUAUUUUUAUCAUGCAAUUAUGACAUAAUUGUGAUAUAAAUUUCGUCUAUCAAAAACUUAGGAUAGACUCAUGAUAGAUUUUUUAACUAUCAAGAAUUUAUGACUCAUAUUUAAUUUUGACUUCAGUUAUUCGGGUUUGACUGUAUUUUUUAAAAUUAUUUUAUUACAAAAAAUUACUAUUAAAAGGAAACGCAGUCGUUUCUUUUGCAAGCAAAACGACAACGUCUUUUUGGCAAGCAAAACGACAACGUCUCUUUGUCGAAUAUAAACUUGAUAAUUCUGAAUAAAAGUUGUGACUUUUGGGGGAAAAAAAACAUAAAAUGCAGAGUUUUAAAGAGAUAACUCAUUUUAAGUGUGAGAAAUUCACUCUCACACUCAAAACACACAAAAGACUUCGACAAAUUAAGAGAAAAUGAAGAAACCCACGACAAACCCACAACAAACCAUAAUCAUUCGAAGUCAUUCUCAUUGCCUACCAUUCUCGCCGCUAUUUUCGAUGUCGUUCGUCUGCCAUUCUCACUCAUUCGUCGUUCGAGCUCUGCCGAAACCUGCUUUUGUCAAAGAUUUCACCCUUUCGUUUGAACGCAAUUUCUACUCUGUGCUAGAGAUAUUUGAAGUCCCAGCUUCUGCCAUUGUCAUUGCUUCUGCUUCGGAUUUGUUGAUAAACCCUAACAAUUUCUAUUGUACCUAUCUAUUUCGCCAGCAAAGCCCUAACUGAAGAACUGAUUUCUUUGCACUGUGAAAUCAUCAGUUCAUUGGUAUGAAAUUCAUCAUUACCUUUAAUUUUUGUUUAUUUUUGUUGAUUUUCUGUGUUUGUAUGUUUGUAUAAAAAUGAGACUUCGAAAAAUAUUUUCAAUUUAGGAGCAUUUGUUGGGGACUUGACUUUUGAGGAAGAUACGAGUAAAUAUGUGGAAGUAUUUGUUUAAUUACUUUGAGGUCUGAUCUCUAUUGGACAUUUAGAAUAAAGAUCAAGAAAUUUAUGCCAUUUUUAAGAAAGAGUUGAUUCUUGAUAAACCAGAUUCUUGUUCUUUUUAGAAGGUUAUUUUGUGAAUUCAAUUUGUUUUUAAUUGAAUCUGUUGUUGUUUUUGGUAGCGAUGAUAUAUGGUUUGAAGAACUUAAGGAAGAGCUUGAAGAAUGCAAGAACCAUGAAGUAAGCAGAAGCUUUAAUAUUUGUUCUUUUUAUGCUAAUAUGUAGCCAAUCUUUUAGUGAUUAUAUGUUUAGUUGUUAGUUUAACCACUCAGGCAUGGUGCUACUUUUAACAUUGAUUCAUUCUUUGGGAAAUAAUCAGUUGAGAGAUUGACAUAAAGUACAAGCUUAAGAAUUCAAUUGUUGUUGUUGAUCGGUGCAUUCUUUGAACUGAAAAUUUGAAAACUUGUAAGUGAUUAGGUAGCUGUUUGUUGGAUGUUGAUUAGACCUGUAAGUGUAUAAUACUUCUUGAGCUUACAUUAAUGCAAGUUAUUCAGAUUUCUGGGUUUAGAAAUUAACUUGUUAAAUGGUUGAUGCACAAAUCAGAUGAUUACAUUAUCCAGUUCAAUUUUUUUUUUUUUUGAUAAUACAUUUAUCCAUCAAAUAGAAAGGAAUGAAAAGUGAGUUUAGAGAGUACCACUUGUCAUUGUCUUGUAGUUUGAUGUAGAAUGUGCAUAAGCUAACUGUAACAUCCCAUAUUCCUUUAACUGUGAUUUUAUUAACUCUUAAGUUUAAGCCCAAUAUUAUAUAUUUAGCCAUUUUUAAAAGCCUAUUUUCUCUAUUACUUAACUAAAUAGCUUAAACAAUAUAUUUGCUUGUCAUUCUCAUGUGUAAGAAAUGGAGGCAAAAGACAUUGCCAUUAUCCACCAUUUGAGAAAAAGAAACAGAACCUGAUACAAAGUUUAAAAACUUUUCUGAUUUCACCAAUUGAGCUUCAAUUUCUUUAGUUUCAGUGUCAAUUUGAAACAUAUCUUGCCAAGGCUUUAGAACCAUUCUUGCAUGUUAAAUUAUCCAAGCUUGGCAGCCUCAAAUCCAUCAAAAUUAUAAGUCUACCUUAAAUUGCUUUAUAUGUAUGUUAAUUUACUCUCCUUUCUAUAGUUGGUGUAAGUUUGAAGCCAUUGUGAGCUAUUCUUAUGCUAUCUCAGAACUCUUGACUCACCAUUGUAGUCCAACCACUGAUUUUUCUCCUUUUAUGAUUUAGGGAGAGUAGAACUGGUGUGGGGGAUAAAAAUCUUGUUGUUUUGAGUAGUCUUUUUGGCAGAAGACAAUGGGCUUCCUUUUGUUUUUAGGUAAAACCCCUCGAUUUCUCAAUAACUUCUUAUGACUUUGUUUAAUGGUAGUGUGAUUGAUUAUUAUUUCUUUGAUCUUUUAUGUUUUGAGUAGUCUUUUUGUCAAUUCCAAGGUUGAGGUUAAUACUUGAGAAGGUGGCAGAAAGCUUUAACAGGCUACAAAGUUAAAGCUUGUGAUUUAGGUAGGUAACUUUGGGCAACUAAUGUUCUGGUUUUGUAGUUCACUUACAUAGUGCAUAGAUACUUUUUUACAAUUCAAUUGAAAGACAACAUAUUCUAAUGAUGAAUUAGAUGAAGUUCGUAUUGAGUGGGCAAACCAUGUUUCUGAAUUACUUGCUACUAUGUGAGGUAAGCCUUACCUAUUAUGUUGUUAUAGUGAGUUCAUUGAUGAAACAAAUUAAUUUACCAAACUUUUGUUCAUUGAAAACAAACUUUGCUAGCUAUUAUUCUAUUGCUUAGUAUUCUAAUCUAUAUGAGUUGUCACGGACUUUGAAUUUGUUAUAUUUUACUUGUGCAGUUACCUAGCUUCUUACACUUGCUAUGUUGGAAUUUGAUGAAGAUGGCGGGUACUGCUGGAGUUCGCUACCUUUUUUAUUUGAUGCAAAAACAGGUCCUGAAUAUUGAGGCAACUUUGCACAUUUAGCUUCUUCUUAUAUUGGUAUUUGUUGUAUGCUUCACCAAAACUGUUAGAAUGGAUUUUCUUAGUCUGAUCAGUGUUGUUGGCUUCAUCUUGUGUUGCUGGAAAUGAACUGUGUUCUUGGCUUUCUUUGUGUUGCUCUAAAUGACUAUGUUGUUGGCUUCCUUUUGUUGCUGGAAAUGAACCGAUCAUGGUACAUUAGUCUUGUACAUGUUGCAGGAAUUUGUUUUUAUGUUGUUACAAUACUCUUCUAUUUAUGUUGGACUUGUCACUUGUAUUUGGAUAAAUUAUGUUUGUUCACAAUUAUCAAUAAUUAGCCAAUGUUAUUUAUUUUGUUUUCUUUGUCAAUGAAUUUUUAAUUGCAAUUAAUUUUAAUAAUCUAAUUAAUUAGCUAAAUUAUGAAAUAUUAAUUUCUAAAUCAAUUGUAGGAUUUUUAUUAAAAUGAUAAUAAUUUCAUGGUACAAACAAAAUAGUUAUUUUUAUUAAUUAUAAUUUCAAAUUUCCAAUUAAUUGAAAAAAAUCAAUUAAUUAUAAUUUCCAUUUUCACUGCAAAUUGAACAUUUCCUGCCAAAAUUUAAAAAAUAGCGUGCGAAAUUCAAAAAAGGCAACCCAAAUUCAAAAUUAUUAUAUUUCCCUCUAAUUAAAGUUAUGAUGGUUGUGUGACUGACUAUAUUCAUCAUAGGUUAUGAUUGGUAUUAUUCUGUCAUCAAUUCUUGACGCUGGCUAUAAUGACGGUAUGAACAACUGUCAUCCACCCCCUACUAUGACAAUUUUUGCCUGUCAUCGUAGGUACUUUUUCUUGUAGUGUAGCAGUUAUUCUUUUUAUUAGUGUUAUUCCAAUUAUAUCAAAAUCAAGUGACUGGUGAUCAAAUUAAGUAGUUCAUUAAUUUUUUUAAGCGACGUAUGGUAUGGAGUUUUUAUAAAUCUAUUUAAAUAGUAUAAUAUUUAAUUUUGCUUGUCCUAAAAUUUUAGUUUACGUGGGUUAAAAAAGAAAAAAAGAAAAAAGAAAUUGACUUAUUAAUUAAUUAACAAUUAUACAAAGAAUAAAUAGAAAGUUAUAGUUGGCAAUGGCAUUAUUUUUCUCCUUGUUAAGUUUUUCUUUCCCACAUUAUCCCCCUUGAAGCAGCAUAUUGAAGGAAAGGAGCAUUCUUAUAUAUGCUUUAUGAUGUUCUUAAUGUAUUCUAACUCAAAACUCUAUCUAUCCGUGCAGCGUCGCCUUCUGAACUUUGUUGAGAAGGCCCUUGUGGAAGAUGAAAUUCCAAUUCUUGUGGCUGCCUUCCAUUGCCAACUCAACCCGCUCCGCUCUCACCGUGUCCAGAGAGUAGUAAGGUCAAAUCUUGAUGAUGUCUGUCUCCUGAAAGAGCUUCCUGAUGAAGUUUCAUGUGAAAUCAAGUCACUCAGUGUCAAAUCUAGCCAGGAGUGUGAAGCUAAUAUAGCAGAAGUGGAUCCUAUGCAUGCAAAAAAGAGUCAGAAGAAUCCACAAGGCACUGGACUCUGAUGACGUUGAACUGUUGAAGCUUCUUCUGGAUGAAUCUAAUGUCACUUUAGAUGAUGCCUACGCUCUGCACUAUGCUGCUGCCUACUGAAACCCUAAGGUUUUUAAGGAAGUGCUCAAUAUGGGCUUGGCUGAUCUCAAUCUUAAGGAUGCAAGAGGUCAUACGGUGCUUCAUGUGGCUGCAAGGCGUAAGGAGCCAGCAGUGCUGGUGACUCUGCUAAGCAAGGGAGCAUGCGCCUCAGAAACUACAUCAGAUGGGCAAACAGCUGUAGCAAUCUGUCGGAGAAUGACAAGGCGAAAGGAUUAUAUUGAAGCUACAAAGCAGAGGCAGGAAACUAACAAAGACCGGUUAUGCAUUGAUGUCCUUGAGAGAGAAAUGAGAAGGAACUCCAUGUCUUGGAACGUGGCACUGUCACCAGAGGUGAUGGCUGAUGAUUUCCAAAUGAAGCUGAACUAUCUAGAAAAUAGAGGUGAUAUUUCUUUACUGGUAUUAGUUCAUCACCUUCUCAGAGUUUCUGCAUAGCACACUUCUUUCUACCGUUUGUUUGUCCCUUCAUCUUAGCAUCUCCGACAUUGCUGUAAACGGGAUAACCACACAGUCUACACUUGUGCUAUCAUCAAAGAAUUUUUCUUGAACUGUUAUUUUUGUUAUUUGGAAGUGAAUAUUUUCAGCAACUAGAACUCGGAAGCAUCCGGAAUGAUCCAUUUUUUUUUUUUUUUAUGUCAAAACAUGAAGUAAUUAAAGGAGGUCAAACAACAAUAAACUCAUUCAUUUUGUCCAAAAUUGAAAAAGACUACAUAGUAAUCAUAAUUGAAAACAACUAAGCACAAAAACAAAUAACAUCCUUUUUCAAAAUUAUGUUCCCAUGAAUCUUGUCUCCACACAUUAAAGAAGACUAAAUCUAUAAUUAGGUGCUGAUUCACGCCCAAAAUUACCCUUCAACUCCUUAAGCAGAGGCAGCUGCUCCCUUCUUCCUUGGUGCUGCCUGAGUACCUUCUCUGAAGCCGCUCUUGAACCUGCGAGGGACAUGGCGCAGAUACCUCAUCCUGCCGGUUCCAGUGGUCUUUCUUCGGAUUGCCUUCACACUCCAGUUAUACGUUCUCUUGCGAGCAGCGGGGUAAGCACAAGCAGCGCAACGACUCUUCUGAAGAUGGAAGCUGCGACGGCCACAUCGCACACACAAAGUGUGCGUCUUGUUUCUCCUCUUACCAAAACUCCCUGUGCCCUUACCCAUUGAAGCGUAUGCGAAGUAGAGGAAAGCCUUCUGAUGAGUUCCGGAAUGAUCCAUUUUAUCAUUCUCAAUACCUAUAAAAGAAUGUCAUAGAAAACAGUUUCCAAAGCAAGUUGCAUGUGUUUUGAAUUUGUCUUUGGAAGCCACUAAUUGCUUGGAGCACACUGUUAGCCAGUCGUGAUUCCAUCCACUUUCUUGGAUGGACAAUUGUGCAUCCAUAUGAUCUAGGCAUGUUGGUUUGGACUGAACUAGUUUUAAUAAAUAAUUGCCUUCAGGAUUUAGUCUGUGUGUUACAGUCCAGUCUUUGUUGUGAAUAGUUCUUUUUUCCCCCUCCCGAGGAAAGAAUUGAGAUAAAAAAUAAUUUAUUCCUGCCACGGAUGAGUGCCAUAACAGCUUCUUAAUGCUUUGCGGUGGCUUUUGCGCGGUUGUUGUUGCCUUCUGAAGCUAGAGUAGCUAUGGCUAUAGCAGAUGCAGAUGCCACCAAUUUUUAUGAUGGCCUUUCAGCAUCAAAAUCAAAAGGAUCAAUUGGGAACUUAAAGGAGGUUGAUUUGAAUGAAACACCCUCCAUGCAAGCCAAGAGACUCCAAUUAAGACUGCAAGCUUUGCUUAAAACAGGUAUUUAUAUACCUUAUUAGUUUUUGUAUGUUUAUAAUUACUGAUUUUUAUAUCAAAAGAGAGAGGUUAAUUUUUAGUACAUUGAUAUCUCAACAAAAUGGUAGAUCCUUUAUACCACUAAAGACAUUUUCUUAGUGCACUUACCGAGCUUUCUAUGAUUGCAGUUGAGACGGGCCGACGCUACUUCCCUCAUUGCUCAGAAGUGGUUGAUAAGUUUUUGGACUGUGAUUGGUCUGAUGCUUCCCUCCUAGAAAAUGGUGCUCCUGAAGAGCAGAGACUCAAAAGGGCACGCUUCAUGGAACUUAAAGAAGACGUACAGAAGGCAUUUUACAAGGACGUGGCUGAGAAAAAUCGUUUAGGUUUGUCGUCAUCCUCGUCGUCGUCAUCUUCUCCAAAGGAAGGAGUAAAGUGUAAGGGUAGGAAAAGGUGAUGCUUAGUUACUUGUCUUUUGUUAUUCAUUGCUAGGAGACUAAGAGAGUUUUACUGAGUUUGAUUGUUACUUGUAGAGAGAUACUCUUAGAGCCCAUGUUAUGGCUAUGUUGUAUAAUAGCAGAGGAACUUCAAGCUUGCAUUGUUGUAUUUUCCCACGUAUUUGGCAUGUAAUAUACUAAAUGACAAAGAAUUUUCUAAUUUUAGAGGGAAAAAAUAUGUCAGUUAAUUAUUUUUUUAUUUUAUCUGUUUAAUUCAGUUUAUAAUAUAGCUUUUUUUUAUAUAAAAAAAAAUCUCCAUAUCUUCAUCUGCAAACUCAGUCAUGUGCAACUUCUUUCAGGGAGAAAAGAGGGGGAAAAAAAAAGGGCAUUUGUACCUGUAUUUUACGGUACUGACCCUCAUACAGAAAUUGGUUAAGAUGACAUUAAUGCUCUUCGAAAUAAAUAGAUAUGCAGAAUUUUCAUCGAAAUUGAAAUUAGAAAUGGAUGGAUACGAAUGAUAUAUAUGCAGAACUUUUUAACAGAAUUUUUAUGCAAAAAUUUGUAGCUAAUUACUCCCCCGAAGAAAAAUAAAUUUUCAAUUGUAGAUAUUAAAUUUUAAAUUUAUAAUAUAAUAAAUGUGACUUAAGUUGCACAGCACCCAUAUAAUAAUAAUAAUUAAGAAAAGAAAAUUUAAAUUUUGUAAAUUAUCAAUUUUUUAAAAUUAAUUAUUUUUAUACUCAAAUUCUCAUGCUCGACGGCCGCUGGAAUUGGCUAUUGUAAUUUUGUCAUCCUCAUUAUUCACUAGCCAUUUUUGGACCACGACAUAAUAGAAAUAGCAUAGAUUAUACUAAUAAAUUUCCUUUAAUUAUUUUGUAGUGUGAUGAUCUAGUGAGUACCAGUGUCCAUCAUAGCACCUGAACAUGUAAAUUUCUGAUAUUUUCUGUAAAAUAGUACUUAAAUUGUGUAUUAACUAGACAGUUCUAUGUAGACCACAACUCAUUAAAUCAUUACUUUACUUUGUAUAUAUUUAUGACAAUUGAUGAAGAAAAAUAUAAAGUGAGAUUAAUGAACAUUCAUGAAUGUGGGAAAUUAACACAACUAGGAUUUAUGAUGAAAUAAUUUUAUUUCAAAUGAGUUUAAGUGAAUGGAUGUUAAAAAAACUUAUAGUAUAUAUUUUUUGAAUUGUUAUAUAUACAAGUUUGUCACUAACAGUAAAUUAAAUUAAGAAUAUUUUAAUAAUUCAAAAUCUCAUUCAACCAUCCCUGUUUAUAGUUUUAUUCGGAGUACAAAAUUGUAAACAGCCUCACCCUUAAUAGUAUAAUGCUAAACACUUUUAAAAAUUUAUUCUAUUAUAGUCGUCUUAGUCAGUUAUAUUUAUUUCCAAAUUGAAGAUAGAAAUAGUACUUUAUAUAUCGUACAUUACUUAAAGAAUUUUUUUAAAAAUCAAAUUAUGAGCUAGUGAAAGGAUGCAAUAAAUCACGUCUAAAAUUGUAAAAUUCAUCAAUCACCGAAUAAAUUAAAUAUCAUGUCUCAUGGGCUUAAAAGAUAGGCUUUUGAAUGAUAUAUCGUACUCAAAAAUCUAUUUUUAAUUAAUUAUUAUACGAACGUUUAAAUGUGUCUCUAAGCUAUAUUAUAUAGUUGCUAAUUACUAUUAAGCUUACACUUCUUCCUUCUAAAAAAAGCAUCUUUUGGCUUCUCAGAUCGCGAUUCAAGCUUCAGUUAUAAGCAUUUCGUUUCGAUUGAUAUUGUUGAUGCGAGAUUCUGGCUCUCUGCUCGACCACGACCAGGAUCUCUCCUCAACUAAACGGACCACGACCAGGGUCUUUCCUCGUAACACUUCUUCUCCACAAACUCCUGUGUACACAGAAACAAGUCAGAGCACGCCGGGUGUUUUUCCGGCGUAAACCCUCCGACGCUCAAGUCAGGAAUGUAGGCUUUGCCUUUCUGGGAAAAACGGCCACUAAUCUUAUGGCUCUUUUCUUAGAUCUAUCAAUCGAAAAUUCUCUUUCUCUCCUUUUUUUUCUCAAAAAGUCUAACCCUUUUACCUUCGUUGGCUACCUUUUUAUAGGCUUCUCCUGAGUUCAGACCUUCCCUCAAUUCACGCCCGUUACCUUCCCACCUCUCGGAAGUGGAUGCAUCGUUUCUGUAAUCGUGGGUGGUUGCAUGGCCUUCGUGCCUUGAUUCUCGGGUUGGAGAGCACGUCUCGCCAACUGUCGUUGACCGGGUCUCCUCGCCUCAACCCUUAGCAGGAAUGGCUUUACGCUUCUAAUAGGAGACCGGCCUCGCAGAUGGUGUAUUCACGGACGAGCAGUAUAUUCCUGCUCCUGUUCCCCUACUACCAGACUUCUACAAAAUAUACCUGUUCGUGGAACCCUGCUACCAAAUAUCUGCUCAUCAUGGCUGGUCUUGUCAAAGUACAUCCCCCAAACACCGAUCCCCCAGUUUCUGGUGUUGGGUAACAUAGUGAGCCGACAGUAGAAACUCGACAGUUCUGGCUCGCGCGGGAUAGGAAAAGACUGCCAAGAGUCGUGUCGCAUUUAAUUGCGGAUGAGGUGAUGUGGCAGAAAUCUACCCCUCUAUUUGAAUUUCAAACCGAUGGUUACGAAACUCUUGGGAUUUGUGCCGUUAAAUGCUGGCAGCCCAAGAGUUUGUUCCUCAUUAGGAAAACCCAAAACCCCCAAAAGAGAAACUUGUCAUUUACUCUGUUUCUGUCUCUCCGGCGAACGAGUCCUUCCUCUCCCUCGGCGUAAAAGCUUCCAUCCUUGUCUCUCUCCGACUAAGUCACAACUUCAGGUAUUAUUUCUAUUUCCUCGGUCUUGGAUAGUUGUAGACAAUUUCCUUUCUCUCUGUUUUGUUUGGGUAGUGCUUGGUGAUGCUGCUCUGGUUAUAGUUUAAGGAAUGUCAAAAGGUAAAGAGAAAGUCGUUGAGAUUGAUGACGACGAACUAGACUUCUUGCCUAGUCUGCUCGCCGAUUCUGCCUUUGACCCCGGGAUCCCCUUAGAACCCAUUAGAUCUAGUGUUGGGGCUAGUGCUAGGAAGAUGUCCCCCCCAAUAACCUCCUCAAGCGGCAAUAGCGGCGACGAGGGGUCUUCUGGUUCGGAAGACACUCUGAGUAAGGAUCAGGGAGAUGAUUAUGGUGGAAUGUCCUCACCAGGAAUAUCGCGACCACAUAGGAGGGUCACAGUAGGAGGUAGAGCUUUAUCAAAGCAUUACGCUAUUGAUUUCAUCACGUGCACGACCACAGUAGAGGAGCUCACUAACCUCCGGGUUAGGUAUGAAAUUCCUGAUGAUAUUCCUCUUAGGAUCCCAGGAAAGAAGGAUACUCCUAGUCGGCCUCAUAGGGGAUAUGUUACUCUAUUUUUGGAGAGUUUUAAACUUGGGUUGAGGUACCCCCUGCAACCCUAUUUUGCCCGAAUACUUAAUGGGUUAAAUUUAGCUCCUGGUCAGCUGAACCCCAACGGGUGGAGAGUACUCUCUGGUCUGUUCAUAUUGUGGGAUAGAUGUUGCCAAAGCGAGCCCACAGUUGAUGAGGUGAAGCACCUGUAUCAGCUAAAGAGCUGCCCCAAAGACGCCGGCUGGUAUUACUUCCAAUCAAGUACCAAGACCAGGAAACCCAUAAUUGAUCUUCCAACUGGUGGUGGUGGGAAUUGGAAGAAAAAUUUCUUUUUUGCUGGGGGUCCCUGGGGUCAAGUUGCACAGAUUGAUGGGAAGGAUUAUCGCGUCCCACCCCGUUUCGUGGUCCCAGGUUGCCUGCUCGCUUUAGAUGUCUUGUCUCCAUAGUUGUUCUCACUUUGUUGAUUUGUCUCUAACCCAAUAUUUGUUCGCAUUGCAGGUUCUUGGGGUGUGCAUUACCCUCUUAAACCUGAGCAGCUCAAGCGGGUCGAGGCUGUACUGGCCAAUUCCUGUUCGAACCGAGAGCUGCUAACUACUUACAACUUGGUCGAAUCUCGUUUGGUGUCCACCGGCUAUAAGAUGUAGGAUGCUGUGAUCGGGGCUUUGAAUCGGAAACGUCCUCGACCUCAUGCUGCCAAGCAGGACCAGAAUAAAGAUGCUCCUUUUGCGAAGCGGGUGAACAUUGUUCAGUAGGUUCCCCCCCUGGAGACUCUACCUCCUCCUCCUGCCAAAGCUGGAGAAACUAGUGGAGCAGCCACUUCUUCUCCCCCAGCUGGGUCGAAACCCCGUUUGCCCGACAAUCGAGCGGAGCAUCUGGCCCCCUACAUCAGUGAGUUUUCUAAGCUCAUGAGCAAGAGAGACUUGGAGGAUUUUGACGGCAGCACUCCGGGUGAGCUGGUGGGGGCUAUGCAGUAUAAUGCUUUCCACCUCGGCUGCAUGUCCACCUACUAUAAGGCGAAGGUCGGCCGCUAUGAACAGAAGAUGAAAGAGGACAUUCAAUCGGCAAAAACCAAAGCAGGAGACCUAAAUCUCGAGAAUCUAAAGUUGAUAGAGUGAGAAUCUCUCGCUCAAGCCAAGGCCAUCACUCUUGAGGAAGAGCUGACUAAGGUCAAGGAGGAUCUGCAGGGGCAGAAGGCCACCUAUGAGGCUCAGCUCGAAUCCCUCAAGGACUCUCACCAGGCUCAGGUCGAGAACCUAGAGAAGGAAGCUGACAACCAAUAUGACCAGGGUCUGCGGCAUUCUUAUCGCUGCAUCAUAGCUGUUUUAGGGAAGCAGCAUCCUGAUCUGAAGAUGGAUGACCUUACUGCUGGUGUUGCUCAACACAUGGACGAGGAGGCAGCAAAAGAGGAUGUCGAAGAGGUGGAGCCAAAUGCGGUUGAGGAGGGAAAUUAUCCUCCUCAUUCAGUCCUUGCUGAUGUUGCUGAGGCGAGUACCCCCCGGAUGCAACUAGUGGUACCCCCCUCCAUUUGAGGUGGACCAGCCAACCGAGAAUGCUCGGCUUACUGACCCGCCGUCCUCUUGAAUGUAUCUUGUGUUGUAGCUGUUUUUUUUUUUUUUUUGGAACACUGUAUGUUAUGAGUAGCAGCUUUUCAUGAUUAUUGAUAAAUUAAUAAGAAUGUUCUUAUUUGCUUUCUCGUGCUGUAGUUGCAAAUUAUUUUACGUUUGAGGGUCUACUCGCCUUCACCGGGUCAAGCAAAUCCUGGCACGCUUGGCUUCUGGUGUCGCCAUAAGACAGGCUUUGAGACUUGGUGAGCCUUUGCAUACCUUAGAAAUUUUUAUAACGCUUGGGAGUCUGCUUGCCUUCGCUUGGUCGAGCAGAUCCCGGCACGCUUGGCUUCUGGUCUCGCCAUAAGACAUGCUUUGAGACUUGGUGAGCCUUUGCAUGCCUUAGAAACUUUUUUAUCGCGUCUGGGAGUUUGCUCGCCUUCGCUUGGUCGAGCAGAUCCUGGCACGCUUGGCUUCUGGUCUCGCCAUAAGACAGGCUUUGAGACUUAGCCUUUGCAUGCCUUAGAAACUUUAUAACAUUACACUGACUGAAAUUCAUCAUGGUUUCAUUGAUUAUUGAAUUCGGCUUACACGAGGUUGAUUUAACAUAAAACGAAUAACAACAAAAGCGAACAGAAAUAACUUUAAAUCAGGAACGAGUCUUACUGGAAUUUCCUGAGGUGUGCUGCGUUCCAGGGGCGUUUCACCUCGUGACCAUCCGCACGAACAAGCUUGUAGGCUCCGGGUCCAGCUACCUGCUUGACCCUGUAUGGCCCCUCCCAGUUUGGUCCAAGUACUCCUUGAGUCGAGUCUUUCGUGUUCUGAUUCACCCUCCUUAAAACCCAAUCUCCGACCUUGAACUGCCGUACAUUCACCUUCUGGUUGUAAUAUCGGGCAACCCUCUGCUGGUAGAUGGCUGAUCGUUUCGAUGCUUGCUCCCUCUUCUCGGUUAGCAAAUCCAGAUUCAAGCACAUCUGGUCGUUGUUCUCCUGCUCAUCGAAGUGAUCUGUCCGGUGCGUGCUCGUCCCUAUCUCAACUGGUAUAACUGCUUCAUGUCCGAAGGCCAAGGCGAAUGGAGUUUCGCCAGUUGUUGUUUUGUGGGUUGUCCUGUAUGCCCAUAAUACACAUGAUAACUCAUCAACCCAUGUACCCUUUUUUGCUCCAAGCCUGGUUUUCAACAGCCUCUUGAUUAUCUUGUUGGCUGCUUCUACUUGCCCGUUAGACUGAGGAUGAGCAGGCGAGCAAUACUUAAACUCUAUCCUGAGGUUCUGGCAGAAGUCCCUGAAGUUCUGGUUAUCAAACUGCCUGCCAUUAUCUGUUAUCAAAGCAUAAGGGAUCCCGUACCGGCAGACCAGGUUUCUCUAUACGAAGUCAGUUGUCUUUUUCUCUGUGAUCCUGCUAAGGACUUCUACCUCUACCCACUUCGUGAAAUAGUCUAUUGCUACUAUUGCAUGUGUUGCUGCUCCUCGUCCCUUUGGCAAUGGCCCAAUCAAAUCAAUUCCCCAUUGAGCAAAUGGCCAUGGGGAAGCCAUAGAAGUGAGCUUCUCUGGUGGUUGGGUAGAGAAAUUUACAAAACUCUGGCAACUUACGCAGCUCCUGGUCUUCUCAUGCACGUCCUGGUGCAUUGUCGGCCAGAAAUAUCCCUGCCUUAGGACCUUGUGGGCAAGGGAUCUUGCACCAGAAUGGUUUCCGCAAACUCCUUCAUGUACUUCUCUCAGCAUGUAAUCUGCGUCGUCCUCGUCUAAACACCGAAGGAACGGUAAGGUAUAUCCCCUCCGAUAUAAUACCCCAUCAAUCAUUGUAUACCUCGACGCUUGGGCUCUAGUCUUCCGAGCUCGUAACUUAUCUGGUGGCAGUACCCCAUUCCGGAUGUACGAGAUUAUCGGGUCCAUCCACGAGCAUUUCUGCUCUAUCUGUAGCACCUCCAGAUUCUGCUCGAUGUUGGGGCUGGACUUCACCUCCAGAGGGACUGACUUUGGCAUUUUCGGAUCUGCUACCGCUGCCAUCCUGGCCAGAAUAUCUGCUCGACUAUUCUCUUCCCUUGGGAUUUGUAUCACCUCAACCGCUUCAAACUUCCCAAUCAUCUGCUUGACUUUCUUCAGGUACUGCUCUAUCGUCCCAUCUCUUGGUUGAAAUCUUUCACUGACAUGAUUUGCAACCAGCUGAGAAUCAGUUCAGAUUUUCACCCUAUCCGCUUUCACUGCCUUAGCCAAUCCCAAGCCCGCUAUUAAAGCUUCAUAUUCUGCCUAGUUAUUUGUGGUUGUGAACUCUAACUUUACAGCAUCAGAGAUUUCCUCCCCUUCUAGGCCUUCCAAAACAAUCCCUGCUCCAGACCCCUGCUCCCCUGAUGAUCCAUCUACAUACAUCUGCCAUACUCGAGUUUCGUUGUUGGCUGUAGCAGUAUCCAGCUGGUCGAAACAUACUUCGGGCUCUGCGAAUUCUGCCACGAAAUCAGCCAUUGCUUGGGCCUUUAUUGCUGCUCGGGGUUUGUAAUCUAUGUCGAACUCACUCAACUCUAUGGCCCACUUCACGAGCCGACCAGAAGCAUCCGGCUUGUGUAGAGUCUGCCGCAAUGGUUGGUUUGUUAUUACCGAGACGGGGAAUGCCUGAAAGUAUGACCUCAGCUUUCGAGCAGCAACCACAAGGGCGAGUGCCCAUUUCUCCAACGGUGGGUAUCUGGUUUCGGCAUCGAGCAAAGCCUUGCUGGUGUAGUAUAUCGGAUACUGAACCCCUUCUUCCUCUCUUACUAGAACAGAACUUGUGGCAUGAUCCAAUACUGCCACAUACAGGAACAGCACGUCCCCAUCUCGCGGCGUGGACAACAGAGGUGCUUGCUGCAAAUAUUGCUUCAAAUUCUGGAAGGCUUUUUCGCAUUCUGGGGUCCAUUCUGUUUUCUUUCCUCUCCUUAUCACUUGAAAGAAUGGCUGGCACUUAUCUGUUGCCUUGGAUAUGAAUCGGCUCAAUGCUGCCAACCUCCCUGUAAGGCUCUGCGUCUCCUUCAGGUUAUGAGGAGACCCCAUAUGCACGAUCGCCUGAAUCUUCUCAGGAUUCGCCUCGAUCCCCCUAUGACUCACCAUGAAUCCGAGGAAUUUGCCCGACUCGACCCCAAAAGCACACUUCUCCGAGUUGAGCUUCAUCUUAUACUUCCUCAGAAGUCCAAAUGUCUCCUCGAGGUGCUCGACAUGUUCCUUCGGGAUUUUUGACUUGGUUAUCAUGUCGUCCACAUACACCUCCAUUGUUCUCCCAAUCAGCGGCUUAAAGAUUUUGUUCACCAGUCUCUGGUAUGUGGCCCCCGUAUUUUUAAGACCGAACGGCAUUACCCUGUAACAGAACAAACCCUGGUUAGUAAUAAAUGUCGUGCUCUCCUCAUCCUGCUCGAACAUGGGGAUUUGGUUGUAUCCCGAAAAUGCGUCCAUGAAGCUGAGCAGGUCAUGUUCGGCUGUUGAGUCUACAAGCUGGUCGAUCUUGGGUACGGGAAAGCUGUCUUUCGGGCACGCCUUAUUGAGAUCCGUGAAAUCUACACACAUCCUCCAUUUGCCAUUAGCAUUUUUCACUAACACCACGUUCGAUAUCCAUUCAGGAUAGUUAACUUCCCAAAUGAACCAUGCCUUCAAGAGCUUCUCCACCUCGCCAUUUAUAGCCUCAUACCUUUCCUGAUUGAAGUACCUUCUUUUCUGCCUUACUACCCGAGCACCUUUCUUUAUUGCCAGCCUAUGACAUGCGACCUCAGGGUCGAUUCCCGGCAUGUCCUCAUGCGUCCAAGCAAACACAUCUGCAUGAGCUCGUAGGCAUUGCACCAACUCCCGCUUCUGCUCUUCUUUAAGCCUCGACCCGAUUCAGAUCGUUUUUCCUGGAUCAUUUUGUUCCAGGCUUACUGUUUCCAGCUCCUCUACAGGUUCCUGUCUACCAUUCUUGGCUCCCACUCGUGUAUCAAGGGAUGUAAUAUGCAUUGCUUCCCUUGCUGCUGUGGAGUAACAGCUUCGGGCGAUCCUCUGAUCUCCUCGUACCACUCCAACUACCCCAUUCACUCGGUACUUGAGAGCUAGAUAAUUGUUGGAAAGUACCGCUGUGCUCAUACUCAGAAAGGGACGACCUAAGAUCAUCUGGUACGGACCCUCUUCAUCGACCACCACAAAAUCCAGUAUUAUGGUCUUUUCUGUCGGGGAAUUACCAAUUGUGAUGGGCAACUCGACCACGCCUAGGGGAACCAGCUUUCCUCCUCCAAAUCCCUUCAAGGAGGUAUUGGUAUGCUCCAACCUCAAGUCCGUUAUUCCCAUCUCCUCCAGAGUUGACUUGAACAAAACAUCGACCGAGCUUCCCGUGUCUACCAGAACUCGGUCAAACUUCUUGCUAGCAGCGGUGACUUUAAUAACUAAAGCAUCCUCAUGUGGAUAUAGAAUUCCCUCUUCAUCCUCAUUUGUCCACAUGAUUGGAACUUACCUGACUCUUGCUCGCUUAGCUGCUGGGGUGUUGAAAAAUACUUCUUUGCUAGUCAUGGCAUACUUGGCAUAAUUCUUCCUCGACCUGUUGGAAUCUCCUGCCAAUGUUGGGCCCCCAGCAAUCACUCUUAUUAUAGGCUGCUCGUGGUUCAAGUUCCUAUCUCUCUGCUCCCCUUCACCCGGCGAGGGCACCAUCGGGAAAGUCUCAUCAAUAAAUUCGUCCAUGUAUCGAUUUCUCACCAAAUCUUCAACCUAGGUCUUGAGAUCUCUGCAUUCUGUUGCGGUAUGGCUAUGAGUGCCAUAGAACUUGCAAUAGCGUCCCCUAUCCCUCCUGCUGGGUAGCUUUGUUAUUGGGGCAAGGAGGUACAGUAAUCUCUGGUCCUUUAUGGCCUCGUACACCUCAUCCAGCGGCAUCUUUAAGGAAGUAUACCGCCCAUAGUCCUGGUUAUGGUCGAUCAUGUGCACUGCCCUUUCCCCGUUUGUGUUGUUCUGAACUGGAGGAGGUGGCAGCGCUUCCGGCCUGCUUCCUCUACCACCAGGGGGGUGUGGUUGAGGAUGACUAUAUGUCGAGCCAUGCCUUCUCCAAAACUCCCUGGCUGGUGAACGAGGAGGUUGUGCCCUGCUGCGCUGAUACUGUGGUGGCCUCUGAUGAGGCUGGUAGGCGGUGACUCGACCUCCUAUACCACUGCCUGAGGCAUGUUGGUCCCUCCUCUUGAUCGGUCUAUUUCCUGGUAAGGCUCUCUUCUUUUUCAUUCUCAACCCUUCUAGCUGGUCUGUCUUGAUCUGUGCUGCCUUUUCCUCAUCAAUCUCUAUAUCCCUCUUAGCCUGCUCGUAAGCAGCUGCAUACGUUUGAAUAGCUGGGCUCCUCAAAUUGUACCACAGCCUUCCUAUCUUCACUCCUUCUUUCAAUCCCCUUAAUGUCUGAGGAUGGUUGAAGGCUCCCAAGUCGAGGACAGCGCGAUGGAACCUCUUGAUGAAUUCCCGAAGGGUUUCUUCCUCCCCCUACUUCAUGUUUUUCAACUCCAUCAUGUCAUCUUCCGGUGCCAUUGCCACACGAAACUGCUCUGCAAAUUCCUGGCACAUCUGCUCGAAAGAUUUAACGCUUCCUCGAGGAAGUUUUCGGUACCACUCACGUGCUCGUCCCUCUAGAGACAGCGGGAACAUCCUGCAUCUUUGAGCUUGGGAUAAUCCUUGCACCCCAGUUAUGUCGUUAAAGCGCUCUAUGUGCACCAACGGAUCGGUUCAUUCCGAGUACUUGAGGUCUGGGAGGCGAAAAUCCCUUGGAAUGACUGCUCUCAUGAUCUCUGCCGAGAGUGGGGAUUCUCCGUCCAGCAUUAUCCUCCAACCAGGUGCUCUGUUCCUUCCUUGCAUGUCAUCAAUUACCUGCACUAAUCUGCGCACUUCUUCCUCCAGCUGUACUGCAUGAUCAGGGUCACGUGCUGCAACUUGAUCCCGCUCUUGCUCUACAUCAUGUAGGUGUUGCCUGAGCUCUGUUUCCUAUGCAUUCUCCACCUCGUCGUCAUUAUCAAAAAUCUGCCUUCCUGGGGAUUGGUCUUCUCUUCUAUGGACUUCUCCCCGUAGAGAUGAGUUACCUCCCUCACCACCAAAUCUCCUGGUGGUCCGACUUCUCAUCAUAUUAUCGUGCCCUGGUGCCAUUCCGCCACUUCUCACCCUUUCCUCAUGGAUUCCCCUCCGUUCACUCCUCAGCUCAUGUAGGAUGGUGGUCAGGGUCUCCAUCUGCUUUUCCAUCUGUUUCAUCCGGUCAUACAUGAUUUUUUCCCGUGUUUCAUUGGCUAUCUCCCUCAACGUCACGGAUUCGUUAAGCCUCAUAUCACCUCCUUGUGCACUACUUCGUCCUACAUCUAUUGUUUCUUCACUUGCUGUAUUCCUCCUCUUUCUGUCAACAGAGCUUUUUUAUCAGCUCCCCACAGACGGCGCCAAAAUGUUGAUGCGAGAUUCUGGCUCUCUGCUCAACCACGACCAGGAUCUCUCCUCAACUAAACGGACCACGACCAGGGUCUUUCCUCGUAACACUUAUUCUCCACAAACUCCUGCGUACACAGAAACAAGUCAGAGCAUGCCGGGUGUUUUCCCGGCGUAAACCCUCCGACGCUCAAGUCAAGAAUGCAGGCUUUGCCUUUCUGGGAAAAACGUCCACUAAUCUUAUGGCUCUUUUCUUAGAUCUAUCAAUCGAAAAUUCUCUUUCUCUCUUUUUUUUCUCAAAAAGUCUAACCCUUUUACCUUCGUUGGCUACCUUUUUAUAGGCUUCUCCUGAGUUCAGACCUUCCCUCAAUUCACGCCCGUUACCUUCCCACCUCUCGGAAGUGGAUGCUCCGUUUCCGUAAUCGUGGGUGGUUGCAUGGCCUUCAUGCCUUGAUUCUCGGGUUGGAGAGCACGUCUCGCCAACUGUCGUUGACCGAGUCUCCUCGCCUCAACCCUUAGCAGGAAUGGCUUUACGCUUCUAAUAGGAGACCGGCCUCGCGGAUGGUGUAUUCGUGGACGAGCAGUAUAUUCCUGCUCCUGUUCCCCUGCGACCAGACUUCUACAAAAUAUACCUGUUUGUGGAACCAUGCUACCAGAUAUCUGCUCUUCAUGGCUGGUCUUGUCAAAGUACAUCCCCCAAACAGAUAUUAUUCUUUCUUGAUAGUAUCAUGGAAACUGCAAACGAAAAGUCAGCAUCUUUGAGUUUUCUUUCAUCAUAUCUGACUUGUUGGUCUACUAAUCAAUCAACAGGCCCUUCUGAUCUUGAUAAUUUGAACUUAAGGAGGGAAAGCAGCAAUCCUGAAGGGCCAUUGCUUGAUGCCGAGAUCAUUGUUGAGGGCAAAUCAGUGGCAGUUAAUCGCAGAAUAUUGUCAAAGUCUGCAAGCAAUCCGUUUUUCCGUCGGCUUUUUAAAUUGAGCAGUGAUGCUUCUGUGAGUGAGGGGAAACCCAAGUAUCUUAUGACUGAUUUGGUGCCUUAUGGGAAGGUUGGAUUUGAAGCUUUCAAUGAUAUCUUGCAUUGUCUUUACACUGGAAAGACAAAGGCAACUCCUCCAGAAAUGUCCACGUGUGUUGAUGAUGCUUGUGCUCAUGAUGCCUGCCCUCCUGCUAUUAAUUAUGUUAUUGAGUUAAUGUAUGCUUCUGCUGCUUUUCAGAUGACACAUCUCGUUUCGGUUUAUGAGGUAGUUGCGCUUCCUCGCUAUUUGUAUUGCUUAAAUUUAUGCUUGUUGGUAUAAUUUUAACAUUUAUAGAAUUGAAAUCAAUUUCAGUUGUGACUUGCAAAGAGCCAAAGAAUCGAAUCUAGUAAAUCCAAAAUUAUUUUGAAAGAGACAAAAAUUAUAUGGCAACUUCGGUGGUUCGCAAUAUUAGGCAUUGUAGUAUAUCCAAAAUUAGCUUGUUAACCUAGCAAAUCAUUAAUGUUGUAGAAUAACAUCUUGUGUAGGUGAGCUUAUGUCUCUGUUCAUUGGUCCACCGGCAUUUAGGUUCGAUAAGCAUGGCACUGAUUUUCCCCCUCAUUAUUAUUUUCAUGCACAAAUUAUCCCCAUUAAGUAUUUGAACUUUGAAUAUAUUAUUCUGAAUCAAAACUCUAUCUGUCCGUGUAGCAUUUUAUAUAUGCUUUUUGAUGUUUGCCAAUAAUUACCCACUAUGGGGUAUUUGAAUUUUGAAUAUAUUACACUGAAUAAAAACUUUGUCUGUCAAUCUUAAAGAUGCAAGAGGACGCACGGUGCUUCAUGUGGCUGCAAGGCGUAAUGAGCGAUCAGUUCUGGUGACUCUGCUGAGCAAGGGAGGAUGCGCAUCAGAAACUACAUCAGAUGGGCAAACAGCUGUAGCAAUCUGUCGGAGAAUGACAAGGUGAAAGGAUUAUAUUCAAGCUACAAAGCAGGGGCAGGAAACUAACAAAGAUUGGUUAUGCAUUGAUGUCCUUGAGAGAGAGAUGAGAAGGAACUCCACGUCUGGGAACUUGGCAAUGCCAGCACAGGUGAUGGAUGAUGUUUUCCAAAUGAAGCUGGACUAUCUGGAAAAUAUAGGUGAUAUUUCUUUACUGGUAUUAGUUCAUCACCUUCUCAGAGUUUGUUCAUAACACACUUCUUUCUACUGUUUGUUUGUCCCUUCAUCUGGAAAAUAGAGGUGAUAUUCUUUUACUAGUAUUAGUAAGUCAUCUUCUCAGAGUUUGUGAGUCCCUUCAUCUUGGCAUCUCAAACACACAUGGGCUUAUUGCUUGGAGGGCACUGUUGGCCAGUCAUGUGAUUUGAUCCCCUUUUUUGGAAUAGACAAUUCUGAAUCCAUCUGAUCUAAGCUUGGUGGUUUCCUCUGAACUGGUUUUUGAUGAAUAAUUGUACAAGACUUUGUAAUAAAAAACUUUUUUUCCCCCAAAAGUAAUGAGGUACCAAAAACUUUAUGCCCAUCCUGGAUGACUGCCAUAACAGCUUCUUAAUAUUUUGCAGUGGCUUUUGUACGGUUGUUUCCUUCUGAAGCUAGAGUAGCUAUGGAAAUAGUAGGUGCAGAUACCGCCCCUGGCCUUUCAGCAUUAGGUCGGAAAGUACUAAGUGGGAACUUAAAGGAGAUUGAUUUGAAUGAAACGCCCUCUAUGCAAGCCAAGAGACGCCAAUUGAGACUGCUAACUCUGCUUAAAAAAGAUAUUUAUAUGCUUUAUUAACUUUUGCACCUUUCUAUUUACUGAUUAUCUUUAUAAUUAAAUAAUACAUGUAUCCAGGUUUCUCCUUCCAUUUCAUUAGAAGUAAAUUGGAAUCUCUUUAUAGUGCUCUGUUAGGUGUAAUCAGAUGUAUCAAAAGAGAAAGGGUAAUUGUUAGUACAUUGAUAUCUCAACAAAAUGGUAGAACCUUUCUUUAUACCACUAAAGACAUUUGUUGCAGGGAUGCCUGCAUAAUCAGUGUCCUUUAAAACUUUCAAGGAGUUAGCAAUGCCUAACCCUUGAAACACUAAAUCUCACUGGAUCAACUCUUUACCUCUGGACCGAAGGUGUGACACCCAAACCCAAUUAGGGCUUAGAACGCAUAUUGAAUUUGAGAGAAACUAAGUGCUUGUAAAUCCAAGUCUCCAAAAUAUCAAAAGGUUAUCUACUUUCUCUUUUCAUGUAUUUCACAAAAUUUUGAAAAAUUCAUCCUCAAUCAUAAACUAGGCACAGCUAAUUAAUCAGCAUAUCAGUAUACAUCAAUACUUCCUCAUAAGCAAAUAAAUCUUACAAUCCUUCCUACAUGAUUUAAAAAAAAUACUUCUAGAACUCUUCUAGAUACAAACAUAAACAGAAUUCAACUGCUAAAACUUGUUGAAAAUUGAUUAAAAAAAAAAGUGUCAAAAUGGUGGGUGGUUGAGCAACCAUCUUUGAAUUCAAAGAUGGUGGGUGGCUAGCCAUUGAACAAGGAAAAUGGGUAGGUGCCGCCCAUGGAAAGAAGAAAAAAAAUGAAGAAAAGGAAGCCAUAAUUUGGCUAUAAAUAGAGGAGUGCUCCUCCUUAUUUUUGUAUCCCAAAUCCCAGAGAAGCGAUCCAAGUUUUGGUGAGAAAUUGAGAGAGAGAAAUGUUCUUAAGCAUGUAGUUAUAUUGUAGGAGUAUUUGACUCCUCAAUAUAUGUGUUACGGGUUUACUUUGUUAAAGGAUAUUUCUCAGGAUUAUGUAUUUGGGGAUUGGGUGAGAGAAAAUUAUUUCUCAGAGUGUGGUUGUAAUAAUUUUCCACAUAGUGAAUAUUUUUUCUCUGGUUGGCUUUUGACAACGGCAGUGGUUUUUCUCCAGAUUUAGAGUUUUCCACGUAAAUCUUGUGUUGUGUGAUUGGUGUAUUCUCUAUUUAAUUUUUUCUGUUAAUUUGUUGCUUGACAAAUUGCUUAGAGUGAUCUUGGGAGGAAACUCAAUUUCCUAACAAAACUAUGCCAAAACACAAGCUUCAAUCAGUAAUACAUACGACUAAUUAUUAAAAACAUAGAGCCAGAAACCUUACGAAAGCUCAGUCCUUCAGAAGCAUUCUUCGAAUUAAUAAUUGCUACUAUCUGUGAAAAAUAAUUGACACGGGUUCAGCUGUUAACUCAAUCAGUAGAAACAUUCAUAACCAACAAAAAGAAUUCUUUGUGCAAUAUUUUCAGAAAAUUCAUUUAACCUUUCAAAUGAAACAAAGUAAUUUUUCAAACACUGUCAGGAUUUAUAUAAAACAUAAAUGUUUCCGACGGAAGCUUUUUGGAACGUAAAGUUUGCUUCUUUAAACAGAAAGUUAUACAUUAGUUUGAUUUUAAAGGGUGGUUAUUGGGAAGUUAAAAUUGGCUGUUGUGGUAAAAGGGUAAUAGCAGUUAUAAUCUCUUUUAAAACAACUUCAAAUCAAGUUUCAAAUUUUAGGAGUACUUAAUUCAAUAACAUAAAGAAUAAAUAAAGCUUUAAUUGAAACAAAACUAAGUAAAUUCAUUUAAAGCAAAACAGGAUGCGAGCAUUACGUAAGGGUUCUUGACCAUACCAUGUUUACCCGCAGUCGGAUAUCUGGGACUUUGUUAUUUGGAGACAAGACUUGAUUUUGCCAUGUUUUCCGCAGCUAGACAUCUGUGGAUAAGAGAACCCUAAGCCUAUUGAGAAUAAAUUCUGUAAUCUAAGACUCUUCAGUUCUUUCAUUUGUGGCUAAUUAGUUAUAAAAUUUGUGAAUUUCAUGCCCCAUGCCCCUUGCAAAAUGUAUUUUAUAUCCUUAAGAUGCUAGUGGAUGAACUGAAAUAAUAAAAAAUGGAAAACAGACUUGAUGCCGACAGCAUUUCUCAAGAAAAACUUGGGAUGUUUAUAAUUUUCUUAGAGCAUUUGCUGAGCUUUCUGUGAUCGCAGUCGAGACAGGUCAACGCUACUUCCCUCAUUGCUCAGAAGUGGCUUUUAAGUUUAUGGAUAUCAACUCCCCUCAUUGCUCAGAAGUGGUUAAUGAGGUUUUGGAUUGUGAUUGGUCCAAUGCUUCCCUCCUACAAAAGGGUACUCCUGAAGAGCAGAAACUCAAAAGGGCAAGCUUCAUGAAACUUAAAGUAGACACGGGGGAGGCAUUCUGCAAGGACGUGGCUUAUCCCCGUCGUUUAGGGCUGCCAUCAUCCUGGUCGGCAUUUUACAAUUACAUGGCUGAGAGCAAUCGUUCAGGUAUGCCGACAUCCUCGGCAUCGAGCAAUUAAGCAUCACCUUUCCCUAAAAGUUAUUUUUGACACAUGGGAAACUAAAAGAGUUUAGUGAGCUCGAUUGGCAUUUGUAGUUUUUUUUGCCUCAAGUGAUCUGGUAUGUAUCAAUUAGUUUGUGAAAUUAUUGUACUGUAUCAAUUAGUUUGUGAUAUGUACACAUGCAUGGAUCACAAACUCAUUUCAUUGAAUAUUUUUUUUUUUAAUUAUACAAUUUAUAGGCUAUGCUUAAAAAUUAGAAAAAAAGAAUUGUAUUACAGUUGGUAUGAGACAUGCAUGUGUGCAUAUCAGUUGCUGAACAAACUUUGCCUUUUAAUUUUGUAGGCAUUACUUUCUGCAAUUUGAGAGAUAGUGGAUUAGUGGGGAGUGGAUUAAAGUGCAUCUACAUAGAAUUAAUCAAAAUAAAAUUGAUUUUUUAACUAUUUUUACUCAAAGUAGUAGUUAUUCUUUUUAUUAGUGUUAUUCCAAUUAUAUCAAAAUCAGUUGACUGGUGAUCAAAUUAAGUGAUAUAUGGUAUGGAGUUUUUAUAAAUCUAUGUAAAUAGUAAAAUAUUUAAUUUUUCUUGUCGUACAAUUUUAAUUUAUAUGGUUUAAAAAAAGAAAUUGACUUAUUAAUUAAUUAACAAUUAUAGAAAGAAUAAAUAGAAAAUUAUAGUUGUGGGAGAAAACUCUCGCGAAAAGGGCUCUAGAUUGGCUUCGUGCGUUGCCCCUGGCCCUUUCGAGCACGAAUUCGAAUCCAAUGCUUUAUAAUAAAGAUAUAAUAUUAUUAUAAUACUAAUAAUUAACAUUAAAAUAUUAAAAAAUAAGGAAAAAAAAAUCCAAAUUUUUACUGGGGUUUUUAAUUAAAUACCCUUUAAUAAUUUCAAAAUUAUUUAAAUACCCCCUCCCUUUUUGGUUUUCAUGGAUACCCUAACAAAUGUGAGCAAAGUCAGAAAUACCCUUAAUGAAUGCAUCAAACUCACUCAAGGAAUUGUCUUCAUAUUUCUUUCCUCAUUUCUUUCACCCAAAUCUAUUUUUGCUGCCGAUUCUUUCAAAAUCUCUUAGCAUCUCUCAAAAUCUCUCAUAACUUCUUACACAAAUACAAUUAUGUAUUCAUUUCUUUAACACCCACUCUUUCUUUAAAGGUGCAUUGCUUAUUAAACAACCAAAUAAGGUAUGUUAAUGUUGUUGGGUUUUAAAUUUUUAAUUUUUAGGAAAAUUUAGAAAUUUUCCUCACAUUACAAUGUUUUAUUUUCACCAUUUUUUCUUAUACGUAGAAAUAUAUGCAAUGUAGGUUGUUUAAUUAUUUUUUUCAGCAAUAUAACUUAUUUAUGGCGAAAAUGUUUCGAGUCGUGCAUUCUUUUGAUACCGUGUACGUCAUAUAAUUAGUCAUGUAGGUCAUGUAAGUAAUAUAGUCGUGUAAGUCGUGUAGGUCAUGUAAGAAAUAUAGUCGUGUAGGUCGUGUAAGAAAUAUAGUCGUGUAAGUCGUGUAAGUAAUAUAGUUGUGUAGGUCAUGUAAGUCGUGUAGUUAAUUGUAUAUGAAAUUUAAUAUUAUUGUUUUUAUUGUAUCAUCAGAUAUGGUUUUGGUACGUGUGCCUAUUCUCUUCAAUGGUGAAUGGAUUGAGCAAAAUGACGAGUAUAAGUUCAAAGGUUCAAAGGCUAAAGGGAUAAUGAUACCACGAUCGACAACAUAUGCCGAAUUGGUGGAGAAGAUAACUGAAGUUAUUGAUAUAGAUACUUCGGAAUUCGAAAUCACAAUGAAGUUCAAACUUAAGACAUCUGAUCCUAUGCCACUCGUUACAAUUCAAACCAAUGAUAAUGUGGAAUUUUUUUAGAUUCUAAUUUAAUUUCACUUCUUCUUUUUUAAUAAUUUUCGUUGACAUUUUCUGCAUAGCAGCAAAUAUAAAUUCUUAGCACAAAUUAAGUCUUUAAAGAACUAAAUUAAUCUAAUGAGUAAUAGAAAAAUUCGUGUAAUUUUAAAGUUGCAAUUAAACAUAUUACCGCCAUUUAAAAAGUUUUUUUUUUUUUUAUCUUCAAAGUGCUUUCUUCCUCUGGCCAAGCAUACAAGCAUACAUGAGGAAUGUCUGCAUAUAAUUAAUCCAUGAAAUCAAUUAAGAAAAAAAAAUAUCAACCAUAGGAAAUUAAUGUAAUGUUAUACACAUAAGAACACCAUUCGCAGUGAUAAAAUAUUUCCACUCAUAACUAGACAUAUCAUGACUUACCAUGGCUUAUAAUUGGAAAUUAAGAAUCUCUCUAACUAAUGACAUUUCACAAGGUAAAGGUAUAUGCACCAUUCCAAUUUAUUGUGAGCCUAAUUAAACUAAAUGUAAUGUGUAGAUUCUAUUGACAAGAAACAAAAUGUGGAAUUGAAGGUCGUGUAAUUGUGUAAUACAAGAAGAUCGUGUAAUUGUAUAAUACAUGAAGGUCGUAUAAACAUGCAAUACAUGAAGGUCGUGUAAACGUGCAAUACAUGAAGGUCGUAUAAUCGUGCAAUACAUGAAGGUCGUGUAAUCGUGCAAUACAUGAAGGUCGUGUAAUACACAACCUUGAAUCUUACAUAACCUUACACGACCAAAUCUUAUGUUACAUAACAAAAUUAUAAUCAGCACAAUCCAUUAAUUUUUCACAAUUUGCAUGCAGCAAAACAACUAGAAAUUUGUUUUCGAACAUGUUAUGAGAGACCCACAACUAAUUAAUCUAUUUUUUCAAUAUAAAACCCUAACUUUUUGUUUUUUUCCCUUGAAUAUUAACAAGAAAACUAAUUAUACGGAAUUACUUGUCUCAACUAGUGAUAUUCUGACAAUUUUACAGUAAAUGAUCAACUCUCUCCGGCGAUUAUGUAGUGACGAACUAUGCUUCACUUUCUCAGUUGUGGCAGCUUCCCCUUCUCAGGCUUAGUUUGCUCGUGUUGAAGUUCGAUUUACCAUGUAUGGAGAAUGAAUGUUUGUUUCGGUAGAGGUGAUGCUGGUGAGGGAAUUACAGAGGUGAUGUCGGUGAGGGAAUUGCAGUGUUUGUUUGUUUGAGUUUGAUAAUGGAGGGAAUUGCGGUAGAUGAGUGUUUGUUUGCUUCAGUAGAGAAGGGAGAUGUAUUGUCCGUUGAGUUGAAAUGUUUUAAAAUGAGGAUAGCUUAGUAAUUUCCUAUCAGUUUUUAAAGGGUAUCGAUGAAAAUUUUGGCAAAAACAGAUUUUAGGGUAUUGAGAUAAUUUUUGAAGUACGAAGGUGUACCGGGCGCAAUUGGCUCAUUUUUACUGGUAUAUAAUAUAACGCAGGGCCAAAACGAUAGCGAAACAUCAAAUUGUUUUUAUUUCAAUCUUCGCGCAACCUCCGGUGACAUAAUUUUUCUCUGUUUCAGGUACAUACAUACCCAAAACUAAACUUUGCAUGUAUCGUUCUUGUUUUUUUGUUAUUCAUUCACACAUCCUUCUUUUCUUUUCUUUUCUUUUCUUUUUUGCUGUAAGUUUUUAUGAGACGCUCUGUUUCAGUUUAAUAUUAUUGUUUGGGUUCUGUUCUGCUCUGUUCUCUGUUGUAUGUAUAUAUGUAUAUAUUUUUGGCCUCGAAUUGCUUUGAUCACCGGAAUUUUUAUUCAUUUAUCGUGAAUUUUAGAUGACUUGUUUGGCCAUGUAUUCAUUUGAUUGUUACAUUCAGCUGCCAUCUUCAUGGUGGGUUUGUAAGAUAGUCUCUGACUAACAUAUGGCAUUCAUUAUGAAUGAUGGUUUUGUGAGAUACAUCAUACAGACGUUAACUUGUAUUAACAUGUACUUGCUUCAUCUAAAAGAUUAGUGUUUUUCUGGCUUUUUUUUUUUUUUUCCUUUUUGAAAUGCCCUUUUUGCAUUUUAUAGGUGAAAGGAAAAAACAUAAUAUCGCAGCUCUAGAACAAAGGAGCCUAUUCUGGUACCUAUUGUCCAAGGAAGCUUCUGUAUAUUCGGUAGGCACUACCAUGGAAGUGAAAUCUUACCAGAGCCAGGCGGAGUCAUUGCUGAAGGAAUAUAUAUUAGCAGAUCCAUUUGUCCCGUACACUUCAAUUGUUGGUAGCAUUUUUGCUUGCAAGAUGGUAUGUUUUUCAUCGUUACUGCAUGGUGGUAUUUACUAGAAAAUAUUUUGAAUGCAUAGUUUUUAUUUAAUUAGUUAUAAAUUUUUAUACCCACUGCUUUCUAUAAGAACGUGUUCAUUUUCAGGUCUAUAAUCUUGCCCAAUUGAUUAGUGCGGUUCACUUUAAAAGUUAUUCCAGUUUCUCCAACAUACAGCGGGUUGAGUGGAGUAACAGGUGAUUGAAUAUUUUCAUUUAGUUCAAUUGACAUUUCUUUUUCAAUCGGUAAAGUUUAAUCGUUUCUCUUAAAUCGACAACUUAUGCAGGGCCAUAUCAACCGUCCAUGCCAUUUUUAUUACAGCUAUGUCUUUGUAUUUCGUGUUUUGGUCAGAUCUCAGAGUUUGUGCAUAGCACACUUGUUUCUACUGUUUGUUUGUCCCUUCAUAGACAUUUCGACAAACUGUUAUUUUUGUUCUUUGGAAGUGAAUAUUUUCAGCAACUAGAACUCCAAAGCAUCUGGAAUGAUCCAUUUUAUCAUUCUCAAUACCUAUAAAAGAAUGUCAUAGAAAACAGUUUCCAUAGCAAGUUGCAUGUGUUUUGAAUUUGUCUUUGCAAGCCACUAAUUGCUUAGAGCACACUGUUAGUCAGUCGUGAUUCCAUCCACUUUUUUUGAUAGACAAUUGUGCAUCCAUAUGAUCUGGACUAAACUAGUUUUUAAUUAAUAAUUGCCCAGGGUUUUAGUCUCAGUGUUACAGCCCAGUCUUUGUUGUCAAUACUCUUUCCCCCGUUGUGGAUGAGCACCAUUACAGCUUCUUAAUGUUUUGCAGUGGCUUUCGCACGGUUGUUUUUUCCUUCUGAAGCUAGGGUAGCUAUGGAUGUAGCAGAUGCAGAUGCCACCAAUUUUUAUACUGGCCUUUCAGCAUCAAAAUCAAAAGGAUCAAGUGGGAGCUUAAAGGAGGUUGAUUUGAAUGAAACACCCUCUAUGAAAGCCAAGAGACUCCAAUUAAGACUGCAAGCUCUGCUUAAAACAGGUAUUUAUAUACCUUAUUAGUUUUUGUACCUUUACAAUUAGUGAUUUUUGCAUCAAAAGAGAGAGGUUAAUUUUUAGUACAUUGAUAUCUCAACAAAAUGUUAGAACCUUUGGAGCACUACAGACAUUUUCUUAGAGCAUUUACUGAACUUUCUUUGAUUGCAGUGGAGACAGGUCGACGCUACUUCCCUCGUUGCUCAGAAGUGGUUGAUAAAUUUUAGGAUUGUGAUUGGUCCGAUGCUUCCCUCCUAGAAAAGGGUACUCCUGAAAAGCAGAAACUCAAAAGGGCACGCUUCAUGGAACUUAAAGAAGACCUGAAGGAGGCAUUUUACAAUGACAUGGCUGAGAAAAAUCGCUCAGGUUUGUAGUCAUACUCGUCGUCGUCAUCUUCUCCGAAGGAAGGAGUAAAGUGUAAGGGUAGGAAAAGGUGAUGCUUAGCUGCUUGUCUUUGUUAUUCAUUUAUAGGCAACUAAAAGAGUUUUAGUGAGUUGGAUUGUUACUUGUAAGCAGAUACUCUUCGAGCCUAUGUUAUGGCCAUGUUGUAUAAUAGCAGAGGAACUUCAAGCUUGCGUUGUUGUAUUUUCCCCAGUAUUUGGCAUGUAAUGCACUAGAUGACAAAGAAUUUUCUAAUUUUAGAGGGGAAAGUUAUGUCAGUUAAUUAUUUAUUUAUUUAUUUUGUCUGUUUAAUUCAGUUUGCAUUAGGGAUGGCAAAAUAACCUGAACCCGGACGAACCCGGAUAAUCCAGGCCGGGUUGAACCCGUACCGGAAUGUAAAAAAAUUCGGGUCCGGAAUAAAUUUUAAUAACCCGGAUAUAUCCGGGUCCGGGUCCGGGUUUAGGUUAACCCGAACAUUCGGAACCCGGACCCGGAUAUCUAAUUUUAAUAUUAUUUUUUAAUUAAUUUUAUUGAUUAAUUUAGAUGUGUUAUUGCUUGGAAAUGUAUUAAUUUUUUAUUUUUAGAAUUUUAGAAAUUGAUAUUGAUUCAUUGAUCCGGGUUCAAAACCCAGAAUCCGGAAACCCGGAUUUUUCCGGGUUGAACCCGGACCCGGGUGAAAAAAUCCGGGUUAAAAUCCGGGUCCGGGAAAAGAAAAUGGUAUCCGGGUCCGGAUCCGAAAAGGCUAAACCCGGACCCGGAUUUUGCCAUCCCUAGUUUGCAUAGCUUUUUUUUUUUUUUCUUUCCAAAAAAAUCUUCAUUUCUUCAUCUGCAAUUUAAGUCAUUUGUAACUUCUUUUAGGGAGGAGAGAGAGAAAAAAAAGAAAAGAGUAUAUUUUACAGUAGUGAUUUUCCUACGGAAAUUGGUUAAGAUGACAUUAAUGUUCUUUGAGAUGGACGGAUAUGCAGAUUUUUCGUCGAAAUUGAAAUUAGAAAUGGAUGGAUAUGAAUGACAUAUAUGCAGAAUUUUAAUAAAAUUUUUAUACAAAAAUUUGUAGCUCAUUACUCUCUAGAAGGAAAAAAUAAGUUUUUAAUUGUAAAUAUUAAAUAUUAAAUAUUAAAUUUAUAAUAUAAUAAAUGUGUGACUUAAGGUGCACAAUACCCAUAUAAUAAUAAUUAAGAAAAGAAAAAAUCAAAAUUUGCAAAUUACCAAUUUUCUCUUGAAAUUUGAUAUUCUAUAUUAACGUAGGUGUUGCAUGGACUGGGUUAGUACAACUGAAAGAAACAAAAUAUCAUAAAAAUGAGUGUAAGUUUGUAUAUAUAUUUUUUGAAUUGUCAUAUAUAUACAAGUUUGUCACUAACGGUAAAUUUAAUUAUGAAUAUUUUAAUAAUUCAAAAUCUCAUUCAACCAUCGGUGUUUAUAGUGUUUUUCGAAAUACAAAAUUGUAAUUUAUAAACAGUCUCACCCUUAAUAGUACAAUGCUAAAUCUUUUCAAAAAAUUAUUCUAUUAUAGUCGUCUUAGUCAGUUAUAUUUAUUUUCAAAUUGAAGAUAAAAAUCGUACUUCAUAUGUCAAACAUUACUUAAAGACUUUAGGGAUAUGUACGUGAAACUGAAUGAAUCAUCAGUUGCAUAUUACUUAAUGGCAAGUGAAGCUAUUUUAUGUGUAUUGCUUGUCACGGGAUGAGUGUUUUGCGCAGCUAACCCGUGUGGCACUUAGACAACUUUGCCGAAUGUUGCUAAGUAAGCCUUGAGCUUCUCGAACUAGAGAAGAGAGCAAUGGAGCCGAAUAAGAAAACUUGUAUUGCACAAAAGAGAGAUUACAAGAAUGCUUGAGUUGCUUGCUCUAAGCUUGUUGUUGUUGUUUUUUAACAAAUGCCUAAUGACAUCCCAUAUUUAUAGGGGAUGCUUGCCAAGCUCUAGGGAUUCUAGAGAAUUCUACCACUUCCUAGCUAUUUACAUGUGCUGGAAUUGUAAAGAGAAUUCUAGAGUAUUUACAAGCUCAAUGUGCUAGAGUUGCCUAGAACUUUCCGGAAUUUGGGCCAAGCUAGCACUCUUGGCUUUGUCUUGGGCUCUUGGUGGCCAAAUUGGGCUAGCGAAUUGGGUGGUCCACAACAUCCUCCCCCACCUAAGCUCGCGGCGUCCUCGUCGCGCUCUCGUGCUUGAAGCGUUGGAUGUGCUCAGCGAAUUGCCACAAAUCAUCUUCACGUUCCCAUGUGGCCUCGCUCUCGGGGAGGUUUUUCCACUUCACCAAGUACUCGCUAUGCGCUGGUACGCCUCUCCUCGAAACCACAUGAUCCGCAAGGAUGUAGUCCACAUCUUUGUCGAACGCGGUGACAACGGCAGUUGGCGCGCCCCUUGAUUCUCCACGACUUGGAUCUUCCACAUCUCGGUGGUAUGGCUUGAGAAGGCUCACAUGGAAGACCGGAUGGAUCUUGAGUCUUGGCGGAAGUUGAAGUUGAUACGAGACGUUGCCCACACGUCGUACAACUCGGAAGGGUCCCUUGUAGCGCCUCACUAACCCCUUGUGGACUUUCCGCAACGUCUUGAAUUGUUGGGGUAGGAGCUUGAUCAUGACUUGAUCACCUUCUUUGUACUCCACAUGCCGUCUCCUUGUAUCUGCCCAUUUCUUCAUUUUCCUUGCGGCUUUAUCGAGGUAGGCUCGCGUGAUGUCCGCUUCCUCGUGCCAUUCGCGGGCGAGCUUAUGUGCCGCGGGGCUCUUCCCUCCGUAAGUUGAGGCUAUGGCGUUGGGAGUCAUAGGCUGGAAUCCCAUGAUGAUUUCGAACGGACUCUUGCCCGUAGCCUCACUUCGCUGCAAGUUAUAAGAAAAUUGGACGAUGUCAAGUAACUUCGCCCAAUCCCGCUGAUGAGCGUUCACAUAAUGCCUCAAGUACAUCUCGAGGAGACCAUUGAUGCGCUCGGUCUGCCCAUCCGUUUGGGGAUGGAAGCUUGUCGAGAACUUGAGAUCGGUCCCCAACAUCUUGAAGAGCUCCGUCCAAAAACGCCCAGUGAACCGAGGGUCUCGGUCGCUCACAAUGCUCCUUGGAACUCCCCAAAGCUUCACAAUGUGCUUGACGAAUAGGCGGGCUGCCUCGUCCACUUUGCAAUCGACUGGUGCGGCAAUGAAUGUGGCGUACUUGCUGUAUCGGUCGACAACGACCAUGAUGCUUUCGCUACGUUGUGUUUGAAAGUAGCUCGUCGCUACGUUGUCCGUCAUAAUCGUGAAGUGAGAGCCGAGCAAGUAGUGUCGCCACACCCGCAAGCAAUGUAUUAUUGCAGUCAUCUCCUUCUCUUGCACCAUGUAGCGGCGUUCCGUAUCGUUUAGCCUUCGACUCUCGAACGCUAUGGGGUGGCCUUCUUGCAUGAUCACUCCACCUAUGGCGAAAUCCGAGGCAUCCGUUUGAACUUCGAAGGGUUUAGUGUGGUCCGGAAGAGCGAGGACUGGUUCCUCCGAAAUUGCCUUCUUCAAUUCCUCAAAUGCGCAUUGGCACUCUUCGGACCAAUGCUACGUUAUGUUUUUCUUAAGCAAAUCCGUCAAGGGGGCCCCUUUGGCUGAAUAGCUCUUGAUGAAACGGCGGUAGUAAUUCACCAGCCCAAGGAAUGAGCGAAGCUCAGGCACUUUCGAGGGAGGCUCCCAUUCGAGGAUGGCCUUCACUUUAGCAUUCUCCAUCAUGAGCUUCCCGCCCGCAAUCUUGUGGCCAAGGAACUCCACUUCUUGUUGGGAAAACGAGCACUUCUCCAACUUGAGGAAGAGCUCGUUGUCUCGGAGUACUUGGAGGACUUGUCGCAAGUGUUGGGCAUGCUCCUCGAGUGUGGUGCUAUACACCACGAUGUCAUCCAAGUACACGACCACAAAGUGGUCGAGGAAUGGUUGGAGUACCUUGUUCAUGAGCGUGCAAAAUGUGGCGGGUGCAUUAGUAAGGCCAAAAGGCAUCACAAGGAAUUCGAAAGACCCCGUACCUUGUUGUGCACGCCGUCUUCGGUUCGUCUCCCUUGGCGAUGCACACUUGAUAGUACCCAGAGCGCAAGUCAAGUUUAGUGAAGUACCGUGCUUUGCCAAGCUGGUCGAACAAGUCCGCGAUCAAGGGAAUCAGAUACUUGUUUUUUAUGGUGAUCUUGUUGAGCGCCCUAUAGUCGAUGCACAUCCGCAGCGAUCCAUCCUUUUUUCUUUUGGAAGAGGAUCGGUGCGCCAAAUGGGGCCUUUGAGGGGCGAAUGUAGCCUGCAUCCAACAAGUCUUUGAGUUGUCUCCGCAAUUCCUCUAGUUCGGGUGGCGCCAUGCGGUAGGGCGCCAAGGCUGGUGGUUUCACGCCUUAUUCCAACUCAAUUGCAUGAUCGACCUCUCGUCGAGGUGGGAGCUUCUUCGGAAGUUCCGGAGGCAUUACGUCCUUGUACUCAUUGAGGACGGCUUGAAUUCGCGGAGGGACUUGCCUUGGCGAGAUUCCGCUAUUUCCUUCCUCGUUUAGUUCCCGAAUGGAGACCAAGAAGCUUGGGUCCUUCUUGAAAGUCCUUUUGAAUUGCAUAGCGGAGAGUGUCUUCUCCUCGGACUUGCCUCCUUCCGUGGGAACCAUGCAUGCCUUACUCCCGUCGAGGAUGCUUAGGGAGUUCGUAGCGGGCAGCCGGAAGGCAUGGACUUGGUCGAAGAAUUCCAUGCCGAGGACCAUCUUGAAGUCAUCCAUGGGGACGAUGGAGAAGUCAAGCUUUUCGCUCCACGUACUGAGUGUAAUGUGCACACCUUGUGCGAUUCCCGCAAUUGGCUUAGUGGGUGAGUUCACAGCCUUCAUCGUGCCUCCUUCCUUGGUGGCCUUGAGGCCUAAGCGCUUGGCCUCGUCUACGGACACGAAAUUGUGUGUUGCUCCCGUGUCUAGCAGCGUGCGAACGGACUGGCCGUUUAUUUUCGCGCUUACAUACAUGAGCCCUUUCUUGACAAGUGUGGGCUAUUGGCGAUUGAGUGUGCCGAGGCGUUGGAGAGAACCCAUGCUGAGUUGGGGUUCUUCCGUGGACAUUGUGGGGUUGCUCUUAAGCUGGGCUGCGAGAGCAUUAAGCGACCUCUUCUCCGGACAAGUCGCGUACCCAAUGAGGACUGUUGCAUAUGAAGCAUGGGCUUCGCGGCUUUGGCGCCUCGUUCUUGCCCUCCGAUUUUCCUUGCCCGCUCUUGUUGCUAGGCGGCUUUUUCUACCCCCAAUCUUUGCGGUUGUUGCCCUUGUCCUUGCGACUCUCUUCCCCACCUUUGCCUUGGUUGGCCUUUUUGUCCUUGGAUUGGUGAGCGAUUCCGCAACGGCGAUGGCGUCGUCAAGUGUUUGAACACCCCGCCUAUCGAGCUCGGUCUUGGCCUAAUCCUUGAGGCCAUCUUGGAAGUAGAAGAGCGAAUCCUUGUCGGACAUGUCGCUUAUCUCCAACAUAAGGGUAGUGAACUCGUUGAUGUAGUCCUGAAUGCUACUCGUUUUCUUGAGGCGACGUAAGCGCGCUCGCGCUUCCUUCUCCACAUUGCUUGGGGCGAACUGCUUUCGGAGUUCUUGCUUGAAAUCGGCCCAAGUGUCGAUGGUGCAAAUGCCCUUGCCCAUCUCGCCAUGCUUGCGACGCCACCCUAGUUGUGCAGCGCCUCGAAGAUAAGUGGGUGCUGUGCCCACUUUCGAUGCAUCAUCUCGGACACCCAUGGCAUCGAAGUAUUGAUCAAGCCCAAAUAGGAAGUUGUCCACGAUUGUGGCAUUGCGUGUGCCAUCGUAUGUGUCGGGCUUUGGCACGUCAAUGCGGCGCGCAUCACUCGUGCUUGUGGAAGCUGGACUAGCGGAGAGUGUGCACUUGUGCCAUGCCCAAUCCGAGCGGACUUCAUCCACUUCCGCACGGACAGUGCGUAGUUCAUCCUGAACAAAGCUACGAAGUUUAAGCAACUCAUCAUGAAAAGAAUGAAACUCACCUCGAAGAGUGUUCGCUUGCUCUUGGAUGAGGGCUUUCGUUGCCACCGUGAACUCGGCGUAUUCACCCUCGAGACCGUCCACUCGUUCCUCUAAUCCCUCGAGGCUGUCUUGAGCGGCGGACAAUGCGAUUUCGAGAGUAGUCACUCGAGGCUCCAACACAUCCACGGAUGGGGCCUUGGACUUGCCGCGAGUUUUGCCUUGGGCGCGUUCUCCCUCUCGGCCGCGGCUUGGUUCCGGUGGAACAUCCACACCAACAACACCCUCUUGUGCUACGUUCAAAGGGUUGGCCAUUGCUCGUGAGCUAACUUGCGUGCGUGCAAACCUUAGCUCUGAUACCACUUGUCACGGGAUGAGUGUUUUACGCAGCUAACCCGUGCGGCACUUAGACAACUUUGCCGAAUGUUGCUCAGUAAGCCUUGAGCUUCUCGAACUAGAGAAGAGAGCAAUGGAGCCGAAUAAGAAAACUUGUAUUGCACAAAAGAGAGAUUACAAGAAUGCUUGAGUUGCUUGCUCUAAGCUUGUUGUUGUUGUUUUUUUACAAAUGCCUAAUGCCAUCCCAUAUUUAUAGGGGAGGCUUGCCAAGCUCUAGGGAUUCUAGAGAAUUCUACCACUUCCUAGCUAUUUACAUGUGCUGGAAUUGUAAAGAGAAUUCUAGAGUAUUUACAAGCUCAAUGUGCUAGAGUUGCCUAGAACUUUCCGGAAUUGGGCCAAGCUAGCACUCUUGGCUUUGUCUUGGGCUCUUGGUGGGCAAAUUAGGCUAGCGAAUUGGGCGGUCCGCAACAUGCUUCCUAUCAAAAUGUUUAUGUUUGAAUGCUUCUGUGAGUUCUCUGGUAAGGGCUAUACAACUAGCUCUAACAGAUUCCUUCAUGUGCAUUAAUUAGCUUAAUAGCUUAUUGACCUAUAUCCAAUGUCUAUUCUCCUUUUCUGUAGCCGUCUAGCUUUAUGAGUGCGUGAAGUGAACUUUUGUUUUUUGUUUCAGGACUUGGGAUUAGAGUGUAUAACAUUCAAUAUCUUUAUAUCAAACAACUGAUAUAUGUUAAUGUAGUGCGAUCUGGUCUUUAUUAGCUUCUUGAUUUGCGAGGAUGUUUGACAACCAUCUUUGACUGUGUUUGCCAGCGUAUAAGCUACUACAUAUUGUGUCUGAGGAAUCACAACAAAUUAUUAUCAUAAUAUGGUGAUUUUGAAUCCAAAACUUGGUAGUGUCAAGAAAAUAGACCCAUGUUUAUUUAGCUUCACGUUUUGUAUGCGGCUGCAAUAGACUAUUAUAAGUUACUUUUAGUUUUAUCAAGUUCCCCCCCGCCCCCUUAAAUUUCAGUUAUUUCAGCAGUUUCUUUUAACUGAGUUAAUAGUGUUGUUAGGUUAAACUAAGUUUGGCUUCAUAAGCUUCAUAGUAGAGUGUAGAAUUAGGUACAAUUUUGGGUUAGACAAGUCAAAGGUCUUAUCAAGUAAUUGUCCUGCUUACUGAUUUGGUAAUUGCAACAUUGCUAAAUAGUUCAAUUUGUCCUUUUUAUUUUGUUGAAUUUAUUGUAUGUCAUAUUACUUGAUUUAAUUAUUUUCUCAGAUCUUGUAGGUGAAAAUUUGAGCUUCAAAGACCAAAGCUAAUCAUCCAGCAAUUCAGUGAAGAAACCAAGACACACGCGGCGCAUAAAAAUUGUUGUUGAUCUGCUUUAUAUAUUUUGAGCUUUGUGAUUUGUGAAUACAUGGUUUGAUUCCAGUGUUUAAAACUUUGAAAUUCAAUUAAAAGUUGAGCUGUGAAAGAGUGUGUUGUAUAACUUGAGAAGCCAAACAGGAAAUGUGUUUUUUUGUUUUUAAUCUAUCUAUCUAUUUAUUUUUUGUUUGGAAAUGUAACAAUUUAUAGCUGGCAAAGUAAUAGAGUUGUAUACUUACUUGUAUUUAAUUUAUUAUUAUUAUUAUUAUUAUUAUUAUUAUUAUUUUAAUGACUCGGUAAUGUCAUUGUCCGUGGCGUUGUCAUUUCGAAAGUACUUAACCCUUCCACGCUAAGGCACAUCACAGCAGCCGAAAUUUUGAGCUUUCAGUUCUUGAUUUAGCGUGAGGGGUAUCUUUGUCUUUUCAGUAGUCAACAAACGGUCAACAAAACAGUCUACAAGCAAUCAGGGGGGAAAUCGGAUCUUUGAGUUUUCAGUAGUCAACAAAACAGUCAACAUACAGAAUCAGUUUGAAUAUGGUUCUUGAUGGUAUCAUGGAAAAUGCGAACGAAAAGUCAGCAUCUUUGAGUUUUGUCUCAUCAUAUCCGACUUGUUGGUCCACUAAUCAAUCAACAGGCACUUGUGAUCUUGAUAGUUUGAACUUAAGGAGGCAAAGCACCAAUCCUGAAGAGCCGUUCCUUGACGCUGAGAUUGUUGUUGAGGGCAAAUCAGUGGCAGUUAAUCGCAGCAUAUUGUCUGAGCGCAGUCAAUUUUUUCAUCGGCUUUUUAAUUUGAGAAAUGAUGCUUCUGUCGGUGAGGGGAAACCCAAGUAUCUUUUGACUGAUUUGGUGCCUCAUGGGAAGGUUGGAUAUGAAGCUUUCAAUGAUACCUUGUAUUAUCUUUACUUUGGACGGGUUAAGACAUCUCCUCCAGAAGGGUCCACGUGUGUUGAUGAUGCUUGUGCUCAUGAUGCUUGCCCUCCUGCUAUUAAUUAUGCUAUUGAGUUGAUGUAUGCUUCCGCUGCUUUUCAGAUGAAAAACCGCGUUGUUUAUUUUGGGGUAAUUGUGCUUCCCUGCUAUUUGUAUUGCUUAAAUUUAUGCACAUAUAUGGGAUUGAAAUCAAUUUCAGUUGUGAAGCAACUUCGGUGGUUCCCAAUAUUAGGAAUUGUAGUAGAUCCAAAAUUAGCUUAUUAAAAAGUGUAGAUACCGUAGAGCCCAAAACUUCGUCUUAUCUUGCAAGAGUCUGUCGUUAUAUUUUGAAAGAGACAAAAGUGAUGAUGAUGGGCGGCGAACUCUAGGAAUCAAUGCUUGCUGACACUCACUCCCAUGAAUGAUAAAAACUAACCAAAAAGGUAUAGAUUACAUGAGUCUGAAUUUGAUAAGUGCACCUAUCCUAUCACAAAAAGCUUUCGCGUUGAGUUUCUAACCAAUGAAAAUUGUCACUUCUGUCUGUAGCCUUCAUAGAUUUGUUCAAGCCUUCAAGGAUGUCUAGCUGUUACUUACCGUCCAACAAUGGUGCUACAUUUCUAGUGAAUGAUAUGUUAUUCUACAUCUGUAUAUUGCAACUUUGACAAACUUCGCCUUUCCUUUGUUGCCCGAUUAUGAAAUGGUCUAUUGGAGACUAGCAUUGGAAGGUUUCUUCUGGAAAAAAUUUUACUUGACCACCAAUUUUCAUUUGGGUGGGUGUCAGUUCAUGCUCUGGCUUGACUGUUCUGUUAUUUAGGUUGUUUUAUCUGUAUUUUCUCACUCACUUGAUACUGAGUUUUCUCAUGCUUUCAAGCUCAACAGUGAAUGCGAAUACUAGAGAUUCUCUUUUUUCCCGUCCAGGCUACAACCUAGCAAAUUGUUAAUGCUGUAGAAUAACAUCUUUUGUAGGCGAGCUUAUGUCUCUGAACAUUGGUCCAUCGGCAUUUAGGUUCAAUAAGCAUGCCACUGAUUUUCCCCCUCAUUAUUAUUUUCCUGCACAGGUUAUCCCCUUUAAGUAUUUGAAUUUUGAAUAUAUUAUUCUGAAUCAAUACUCUAUCUGUCCGUGUAGCAUUUUAUAUAUGCUUUAUGAUGUUUACCAAUAAUUACCCACUAUGGGGUAUUUGAAUUCUGAAUAUAUUAUUCUGAAUCAAAACUCUAUCUGUCCGUGUAGGAUUUGUUUUGGGACAUGACUGAGGAUGCUCCUGUGGAAGAUGUAAUCCCAAUUCUCGUGGCUGCCUUCCAUUGCCAACUGAACAAGCUUCGUUUUUUCUGCAUCCAGAGAAUUGCAAGGUCAAAUCUUGACAAUGUUUGUCUCGAGAAAGAGCUUCCCGAUGAAGUUUCAAGAGAAAUCAAAUCACUCCGUGUCAAAUCUAACCAGGAGUCUGAAGCUAUUAUAGCAGAAGUGGAUCCCAUGCAUGCAAAAAUAGUCAGUAGAAUCCACAAGGCGCUGGACUCUGAUGACGUUGAACUGUUGAAGCUUCUUCUGGAUGUAUCUAAUGUCACUCUGGAUGAUGCUUACGCUCUGCACUAUGCUGCUGCCUACUGCAACCCUAAGGUUUUUAAGGAAGUGCUCAAUAUGGGCUUGGCUGACCUCAAUCUUAGGGAUGCAAGAGGACGUACGGUGCUUCAUGUGGCUGCAAGGCGUAAUGAGCCAGAAGUGAUGGUGACUCUGCUGAGCAAGGGAGCAUGCGCAUCAGAAACUACAUCAGAUGGGCAAACCGCUGUAGCAAUCUGUCGGAGAAUGACAAGGCGAAAGGAUUAUCUUGAAGCUACAAAGCAGGGGCAGGGAACUAACAAAGACCGGUUAUGCAUUGAUGUCCUUGAGAGAGAGAUGAGAAGGAACUCCAUGUCUGAGAACUUGGCAAUGUCAUCAGAGGUGAUGGAUGAUGAUUUCCAAAGGAAGCUGGACUAUCUGGAAAAUAGAGGUGAUAAUUUCUUUACUGGUAUUAGUUCAUCACCUUCUCAGAGUUUGUGCAUAGCACACUUCUUUCUACUGUUUGUUUGUCCAUUCAUCUGGAAAAUAGAGGUGAUAUUCCUUUGCUGGUAUUAGUAAAUCAUCUUCUCAGAGUUUGUGAGUCCCUUCAUCUUAGGAUCUCAAACACACAUGGGCUCAUUGCUUGGAGCACACUGUUGGCCAGUCGUGUGAUUUGAUCCCUUUUUUGGAAUAGACAACUCUGAAUCCAUCUGAUCUAGGCUUGGCGGUUUGCACUGAACUGGUUUUUGAUGAAUAAUUGCACAAGACUUUGUCAUCAAAACUUUUAUUUUUUGGUUUUUUUGCCCCAAAAGUAAUGAGGUACAAAAAAAAUCUAUGCCUAUCCUGGAUGACUGCCAUAACAGCUUCUUAAUAUUUUGCAGUGGCUUUUGUACGGUUGUUUCCUUCUGAAGCUAGAGUAGCUAUGGAAAUAGCAGGUGCAGAUACCGCCACUGGCCUUUCAGCAUUAGGUCAGAAAGGACUAAGUGGGAACUUAAAGGAGAUUGAUUUGAAUGAAACGCCCUCUAUGCAAGCCAAGAGACGCCAAUUGAGACUGCUAACUCUGCUUAAAACAGGUAUUUAUAUACUUUAUUAACUUUUGCACCUUUCUAUUUACUGAUUAUCUUUAUAAUUAACUAAUACAUGUAUCCAGGUUUCUCCUUCCAUUUCUAAAAGGUUUCUCCUUCCAUUUCAUUAGAAGUAAAUUGGAAUUUCUUUAUAGUGCUCUGUUAGGUGUAAUCAGAUGUAUCAAAAGAGAAAGGGUAAUUGUUAGUACAUUGAUAUCUCAACAAAAUGGUAGAACCUUUCUUUAUACCAGUAAGACAUUUGUUGCAGGUAUGCCUACAUAAUCAGUGUCCUUCAAAACUUUCAAGGAGUUAGCAAUGCCUAACCCCUGAAACACUAAAUCUCACGGGAUCAACUCUUUACCUCUAGACCGAAGGUGUGACACCCAGACCCAAUUAGGGCUUAGAACACAUAUCGAAUCUGAGUGAAACUAAAUGCCUGUAAAUCCAAAUCUCCAAAAUAUCAUAAAGUCAUCUACUUUCUCUUUUCAUGUAUUUCACAAAAUUUUGAAAAAUUCAUUCUCAAUCAUAAACUAUGCACAGCUAAUUAUUCAGCAUAUCAGUAUAGAGCAAUACUUCCUCAUAAGCAAAUAAAUCUUACAAUCCUUCUUAAAUGAUUUGAAAAAAAUACUAAUAGAAGUCUUCUAGAUACAAACAUAAACAGAAUUCAACUGUUUAAAACUAUGCCAAAACACAAGCUUCAAUCAGUAAUGCAUACGACUAAUUAUUAAAAACAUCUAGCCAGAAACCUUACGAAAGCUCAAUCCUUUCGAAGCAUUCUUCAAAUUAAUAAUUGCUACCAUCUGUGAAAAAUAAUUGACAAGGAGUCACCUGUGAACUCAAUCAGUAGAAACAUUCGUAACGAACAAAAAGAAUUCUUUGUGCAAUAUUUUCAGAAAAUUCAUUUAACCUUUCAAAUGAAACAGAGUAAUUUUUCUAACGCAGUCAGGAUUUAUAUAAAACACAAACGUUUCAGACAAAAGCUGUGUGGAAUGUAAAUUUUGUUUCUUUAAACAGAAAGUUAUAUAUUAGUUUGAUUUUAAAGGGAGGUUAUUGGGAAGUUAAAAUUGGCAGUUGCGGGAAAAGGGUAAUAGCAGUUAUAAAAUCUCUUUUAAAGCAAAUUCAAAUCAAGUUUCAAAUUUUAGGAGUACUUAAUUCAAUAAAAUAAGGAAUAAAUAAAGCUUUCAUUGAAAUAAAACUAAGUAAAUUCAUUUAAAGCAAAAAAGGAUGGGAGCAUUACUAUGGGUUCUUAUGUUUACCCGCAGUCAGACAUCUGGGACCUUGUUAUUUGGAGACAAGACUUGAUUGUGCCAUGUUUUCCGCAGCUAGACAUCUGUGGAUAAGAGAACCCUAAGCGUAUUGAGAAUAAAUUCCAUAAUCCAAGUCUCUUCAGUUCUUUCAUUUGUGGCUAAUUAGUUAUAAAAUUUGUGAAUUUCAUGCCCCAUGCCCCUUGCAAAAAUGUAUUUUAUAUCCUUAAGAUGCCAGUUGUUGAACUGAAAUAAUAAAAAAUGGAAAACAGACUUAAUGCCGAUAGCAUUUCUUAAGAAAAACUUGGGAUGUUUAUAAGUUUCUUAGAGCAUUUGCUGAACUUUCUGUGAUGGCAGUCGAGACGGGUGACCGCUACUUCCCUCAUUGCUCAGAAGUGGUUGAUCGCUUUUUGGAUUUGAACAAUCCUUCCACCCCAGAAAUGGACGACGAGAAACUUAAAGUAGACGUGCAGGAGGCAUUCUGCAAGGACGUGGCUUAUCACCGUCGUUUAGGGCUGCCAUCAUCCUGGCCGGCAUUUUACCAGUACAUGGCUAGGAGCAAUCAGUCGGCAUUUUACAAGUACGUGGCUGAGAGCAAUGGUUCACGAAUGUCGACAUCCUGGGCAGCGAGCAAUUAAGCAUCACCUUUCCCUAAAAGUUAUAUUUGACACCUGGAAAACUAAAGUAGUUGAGUGAGCUCGAUUGGUAUUUGUAGUUUCUUUUUUUUUUACUCAAGUGAUCUGGCAUAAUUAAAAGUUAUUUGUUUGUCUUCAAAGUUAUUGUAUUGUCUCAAGUCCGGUGAGAUGCGCGAACGUAUAGCAUGCAUCACAAACUCAUUUCAUAGAAUAUUUUUUUGUAUAAUUAUAUAAUUUAUAGGCUUUGCUUAAAAAAUUAAAAAAGAAAAAAAGAAUUGUAUUACAAUUGGUAUGAGGCAUGCUCGUGUGUUAUAUCAGUUGCAUGCGUGUGUUAUAUCAGUUGCUGAACAAACUUUGCCUUUUAGUUUUGUAGGCACUACCAUCUCAAAUUCUCUGUUAUCAUGAAUGAGUAUUUUUUUUCUUUUUUCUUUUUUAAGAAAUCAUAAAUGAGAUUCAGAUAAUCUUUUUAAAAAAAAAAGAAAAAAAAAUGGAGAUUUCUUUUAUUUUUCCUUAAAAAACUGAAGAAAAAUUUAGAAGGUAGUGAGAGACGGAGAAUUAAAGCAAUUUUAUUCACAAAUGUAAUGUGUUUGGUCUAGCAAUACAAACUAAUAAAUUAUAAUUUAUGAGAUUAGUUUACAUAAUCUUAUAUAUAAAAUUAUAUCCUCUGAAUAAAAAUCUUCUCACCUCUUUUGACUUCUCAUUUAGAUGCCCUCUCUAGAAUCUCUCCAGCCAUAAACACAUUUUUAUAAAACAAAACACAAAAAAAAAUUAUAUAUAGUUGUCACAAGGACUAUUUCAUUUGCACAUAAUACGCAAUUGGUCAUUAAAGUUAUUAGAGGAGAAACUUUACAUGACAUGGGUACAUCAUAUUAUUAGUAUUUUAGUUUAAAUUUUUACAUACUAGAACAGUCUCUUUUUCUCCGAUUUGAGAGAUAAUGGGGAAUGGGGUUAAAGUGCAUCUACAUAGAAUUAAUUAUAAUUAAAUUUAUUUUUUAAAACUAUUUUAACUAGAAGUAGUAGUAAUUCUUUUUACUAUUGUUAUUCCAAUUAUAUCAAAAUCUCGUGACUGGUGAUCAAAAUAAGUGGUUCAUUAAAUUUUUUUAGGUGACGUAUGGUAUGGAGUUGUUAUAAAUCUAUAUAAAAAGUAAAAUAUUUAAUUUUGCUUGUCGUAAACUUUUAAUUUGCAUGGGUUAAAAAAGAAAAAAAGAAAUUGACUUAUUAAUUAAUUAACAAUUAUAGAAAGAAUAAAUAGAAAAUUAUAGUUGCGUGAGAAAACCCUCGUGAAAAGGGCUCCGGAUUUCCUUUCCCUGGCUUCGUGCGUUUCCUUUUGCCCUUUUCGAGCACGAAUUCGAAUCCAGUACUUUAUAAUAAAGAUAUAAUAUUAAAAAAUAAGAAAAAGAAUCCCAAUUUUUACUGGUAUAUAACGCAGAGCCUGCAUUAUGAAACACUCUUUUGCUAUUGUUUUCUUUUCUUUUCUCUUUUGCUGUAAUUUUUUAUGAAACACUCUGUUUCAGUUCUGUUUCUGGUUUUGUUUCGGUUUAAUAUUAUUGGUUCCGUUUGGUUCUGUUCUGCUCUGUUCUACGUCGUAUGUAUAUAUGUAUAUAUUUUUGGCCUCGAAUUGCUUUCAUCACCGGUUUUGUUAUUCAUUUAUCGUGAAUUUUAGAUGACUUGUUCGGCCAUGUUACAUUCAGCUACCAUUUUCAUGGUGGGUUUGUAAGAUAGUCUCUGACUAACACAUGGCAUUGAUUAUGAAUGAUGGUUUUGUGAGAUACAUCAUACAGACGUUAACUCGUGUUAAUUUGUACUUACAUCAUUCAAAAGAUUACUGUUUUUCUCUCUUUUUUUUAAAAAAAAAAAAAAUUGAAAUGCCCUUUUUCGCAUUUUAUAGAUGAAAGGAAGAAACAUAAUAUCGCAGAACUAGAAUAAAGGAGCCUAUUCUGUUACCUAUUGUCCGAGGAACCUUCUGUAUAUUCGGUAGGAACUACCAUGGGAAGUCAAAUCUUACCAGAGCCAGGCGGAGUCGUUGCUGAAGGAAUAUAUAUUAGCAGAUCCAUUUGUCCCGUACACUUCAAUUGUUGGUAGCAUUUUUGCUUGCACGAUGGUAUGUUUGUCAUCGUUACUGCGUGGUGGUAUUUACUAGAAAAUAUUUUGAAUGCAUAGUUUUUAUUUAAUUAGUUAUAAAAUUUUUAUACCCUCUGUUUUCCAUAAGAAUGUGUUCCUUUUCAGGUCUAUGAUCUUGCCCAAUUGAUUAGUGUGCUGUUCACUUUAAAUCUGAUUCCAGUUUCUCCAACAUACAGCGGGUCGAGUGGAGUAACAGGUGAUUGAAAAUUUUCAUUUAGUCCAAUUGUCAUUUCUUUCUCAAUCGGUAAAGUUUAAUCAUUUUUCUUAAAUCGACAACUCAUGCAGGGCCAUAUCAACCGUCCAUGACAUUUUUAUUACAGCGAUGUCUUUGUACUUUGUGUUUUGGUCGGAUCUCAGAGUUUGUGCAUAGCACACUUGGUUCUACUGUUUGUUUGUCCCUUCAUAGACAUUUCGAUAAACUGUUAUUUUUGUUCUUUGGAAGUGAAUAUUUUCAGCAACUAGAACUCCGAAGCAUCUGGAGUGAUCCAUUUUGUCAUUCUCAAUACCUAUAAAAGAAUGUCAUAGAAAACAGUUUCCAAAGCAAGUUGCAUGUGUUUUGAAUUUGUCUUUGCAAGCCACUAAUUGCUUGGAGCGCACUGUUAGCCAGUCGUGGUUCCAUCCACUUUUUUGGAUAGACAAUUGUGCAUCCAUAUGAUCUGGACUAAACUAGUUUCUAAUAAAUAAUUGCCCAGGGUUUUAGUCUCAGUGUUACAGCCCAGUCUUUGUUGUCAAUACUCUUUCCCCUGUCGUGGAUGAGCGACAUAACAGCUUCUUAAUGUUUUGCAGUGGCUUUUGCACGGUUGUUGUUUCCUUCUGAAGCUAGAGUAGCUACGGAUAGAGCGGAUGCAGAUGCCACCAAUUUUUAUACUGGCCUUUCAGCAUCAAAAUCAAAAGGAUCAAGUGGGAACUUAAAGGAGGUUGAUUUGAAUGAAACACCCUCUAUGCAAGCCAAGAGACUCCAAUUAAGAUUGCAAGCUCUGCUUAAAACAAGUAUUCAUAUACCUUAUUAGUUUUUGUACCUUUACAAUUUGUGAUUUUUGUAUCAAAAGAGAGAGGUUAAUUUUUAGUACAUUGAUAUCUCGACAAACUGUUAGAACCUUUGCACCACUAGAGACAUUUUCUUAGAGCAUUUACUGAACCUUCUAUGAUUGCAGUGGAGACAGGUCGACGCUACUUCCCUCGUUGCUCAGAAGUGGUUGAUAAAUUUUAGGAUUGUGAUUGGGCCGAUGCUUCCCUCCUAGAAAAAGGGUACUCCUGAAGAGCAGAGACUCAAAAGGGCACGCUUCAUGGAACUUAAAGAAGACAUGAAGAAGGCAUUUUACAAGGACAUGGCUGAGAAAAAAUGGCUCAGGUUUGUAGUCAUCCUCGUCAUCGUCAUCUUCUCCGAAGGACGGAGUAAAGUGUAAGGGUAGGAAAAUGUGAUGCUUAGCUGCAUGUCUUUGUUAUUCAUUUAUUGGCAACUAAAAGAGUUUUAGUGAGUUGGCUUGUUACUUGUAGAGAGAUACUCUUAGAGCCUAUGUUAUGGCUAUGUUGUAUAAUAGCAGAGGAACUUCAAGCUUGUGUUGUUGUAUUUUCCCUGGUAUUUGGCAUGUAAUGCACUAAAUGACAAAGAAUUUUCUAAUUUUAGAGGGGAAUGUUAUGUCAGUUAAUUAUUUAUUUAUUUUGUCUGUUUAAUUCAGUUUACAUAGCUUUUUUUUUUUCUCCAAAAAAAUCUUCAUAUCUCCAUCUGCAAUUUAAGUCAUUUGUAACUUCUUUCAGGGAGGAAGGAAAAGGGAAAAAAAAGAAGCAUUUGUAAGUAUAUUUACAGUACUGAUUUUCCUACAGAAAUUGGUUAAGGUGACAUUAAUGUUCUUAGUAACAGAUGGAUAUGCAGAAUUUUCGUUGAAAUUGAAAUUAGAAAUGGAUGGAUAUGAAUGACAUAUAUUCAGAAUUUUUUAGUAGAAUGUUUAAACAAAAUUUUUUAGCUCAUUACUCUCUAGAAGGAAAAUAAAUUUUUUAUUGUAAAUAUUAAAUAUUAAAUUUAUAAUAUAAUAAAUGUGUGACUUAAGGUGCACAAUACCUAUAUAAUAAUAAUAAUUAGGACAAGAAAAAUCAAAUUUUGUAAAUUACCAAAUUUCCCUUGGAAUUUGAUAUUCUAUAUCAACGUAGGUGUUGCAUCCACUGGGUUAGUACAACUAAAAGAAACUAACUAAAGUAAAACAAAAUAUCAGAAAAAUAUGGCGAGCUUCUCAUUUUUUUUUAAGUGAAAAAAAAAGAAAACUGAAAUUAAUUAUUUUUAUACCCAAAUUCUCAUGCUCGAAGGCCGCUGGAAUUGGUCAUUGUAAUUUUGUCAUCCUCGUUAUUCACUGGCCAUCGUAGCCUUCCUCCCUUAGAAUGAGAGUCGUUUUUUGGACCACGACAUAAUAAAAAUAGUAUUGAUUAAUACUAAUAAAUUUCUUUUUGAUUAUUUUGCAGUGUAAUAGUCUAGUGCGUGCCAGUGCCCAUCAGAUCACUUGAACAUGUGGUAAAAUUCUGCGAGUCUUUGUAAAAUAAUUUUUAAAUUGUGUAUUAACCAAAUAGCUCAAUGAAGACUAUCGACUCAUUAUUUUAUUUUGUAUAUAUUUAUGAUAAUUGUUGAAAAGAAAAUUGUAAAGUGAGAUUAAUGAACAUUUAUGAAUGUGGAAAUUAACACAACCAGAAUUUAUGAUGAAAUAAUUUUAAGUCAAACGAAUGUAAGUUUGUAUAUAUAUUUUUUGAAUUGUCAUAUAUAUACAAGUUUGUCACUAACAGUAAAUUAAAUUAUGAAUAUUUUAAUAAUUCAAAAUCUCAUUUAACCAUCAGCGUUUAUAGGGUGCGUUUGGCACAUUGUAUUGUAUUAUAUUGUAUUAUAUUAUUUUAAUGCAUGUGUAUUAUAUUAUAUUGUAUUACAUUAACAUUGUAUUAUAAUAAUACUAUACAAUGUUUGGUACUACAUUGUAUUAAUUUUUAAUAAAUAUAUAAUAUUACACUGUAUUAUAUUAAUUUUUUAAUAAGUACUUUAAAUUAUAUAUUUAGAAAAUAACAUUUAUUAGUCGUUAAAAAAUACUAAAUAUAAAAUUCUUAAAUUUUAGAAAUUUAAUAUUAUCUUUCUGGUAUAAACGUUGAAAAAAAAAAUCAUAAUUCUUCGUAAAAAUCGAAAUAAAUAAUUCAAUCAAAUAACCUUCAAAUAAUAUUAUAACAUAAAUAAAUAAUUAAAAUGUACAAGAUUAAGUUAAAAAUCAUUUUAAGAUAAUAAAAUAAAAAUUUAUACAUAGUAUAAAAUAAUAUAGUAACUGUAGUAUAAUAACUAACAAAAUAGACUGUACUAAAUAAUUUAAGUAAUACAACAAUAUUUACAAGUACCGUUUUUGCUAUCUUUCUCUUUUAAAGGCCCCUUUUUUGUUUUAUUCUUAGAACUUCAUAGUUCUUUUGUUUUUUCUUUUUCUUUUUCUUUUUCUUUGCCCCUUUUUUGUUUUCUUCAUAUUUCUUUUGGCUUCAUAAGUUUCUUUUAACUGAGUUAAUAGUGUUGUUAGGUUAAACUAAGUUUGGCUUCAUAAACUUAAAUCUCGUUAAGUUUUCCUUCGAAUAGCUCUCUCUCUUUUAGAGAGGCUUGAAUGGAAAAAUAUUAAGGGGUCGUAAGGACUCAGGUGGUCACUCCUAGUGAGUGGAAAGUAAUCUAAACCAGCAAGCUGUUGGGAUUGAUGUGCUGGUGGAGAAAGUUUCGAAGAGCCAAAGGUAGUGUAAAGCGUUGGGGUACGAGUCAAAGCAAGCAAGUUGAAAGAACUCACUAUCGGCUCUAGCGUUAUUUGCCAUGGACACUGAAGAGCUAAUUCGCAAGUGUCAAGCAAUAAAUAUUAGAGAGGAAGACAAAGCCAAAAUAACACUGGAGGUGAAUCUGGAAAAAAAGAAAGAACUAAUGAUGGCAGGCUGCUUAGUGGGUAAAGUAAUGCUCGCGAAGGGAGUAAAUAAAGAGGGUCUCAAGGCUGCGUUACAGCAGGUGUGGAGGACUUUCAAAGAAGUCAAAAUCGAAAGCGUGGGAAACAACAUCUUCAUGUUUAAAUUUGCUGAGGAAGCAGACAAGAAAAGAGUGUUAAAAUGGGGACCAUGGCACUUCGACAGGGCAUUGAUUGUACUCGCUGAGCCAAGGGGGAUUGGGGAAGUCGCAAAACAAUCCUUUACUCAUACAUCCUUUUGGGUGCAGAUUCGUAAUGUUCCACUAGCGUGUAUGGAUAAAGAUUUUCUCCGGGAGCUGGGUGAGAAGCUAGGAUCAGUUGAAGAGGUCCAAACUGAUGAUAAUGGAGAUUGUAUUGGGGAAUAUGCCAGAAUAAGAGUUUCAAUUAAUAUAACACUGCCGCUAGAGAGGAUUCUAUUUCUAAAGCGAGAAGGUGAAACUGAUAUCCCAAUGCCAGUGGUCUAUGAACGUUUGCCGGAUUUUUGUUAUUGCUGCGGCAUCAUAGGACAUCAAUACAAAGAGUGUGGCAAAUACCAAGACCAACCAAGAGAAGAUUUACCAUAUGGGAGCUGGAUGAAAGCGAUUACGGUAGGGGGCUUCACAAAGAGGAAUCAGAACCAGGGAAGGUGGAACUAUGGGGCUGGAAAAUCGGAUGAAAAAUCAGCAAGCUCAGAAAAUCACAGCUUCCAGCAACAGCAAGGGCAAAACAAAGAAAACCCGAUAGAGGCAAACGGGUCGGUACAAAAUGAGAAGGAAAUGGGGCAAACCAUGGAGCAUGCUAAGAAUGAUGUGAUAGGAGGAGUAGCUGAGCAACAAUUAAUGCAAGGAGUGUCACAGUCAGCGGACAAAAAACAAACUGACGGCCACAAGCAAGCUAAGAAAAGUGGCAAUGCAACAGUCCCAAGGAAAAUGGGCACACAAGCGGGAAAUGGUAUCCUAAACGAGGGGGAAAAAAUGCAAAUAAGUCAUGAAAAGGAAGCUGGAAAAAAUGAUGGGCCGGAAGUCUCUCAGCUACAGCCCAAUAAGAGAAAGUGGAAGAGAUUACUUAGAGAGCUAAGUGAAGGGGGGGAAGAAAUGGAGGUACAAACUCGGAAAAGGCCAAGGGGGAAAAAACUCGGGCAAAGCCCAAGGAAAAAAACAAAACUCUCCAACUCAAACCAGCUCGAGACAAAAAAUCUGAUGCAUGUUUCUUCAACAGCAAGUCUUCAGCUGGGGUGGGAACCGCUGAUGCUGGAAGAGGUGGUAGUUAUGGAAGCAAACAACAUGGAGAUAUCGGCGGAGGCUGGUGGCCAGCCCCGCCGAAAACCAUGAAUAUCCUCAGCUGGAAUGUUCGGGGUUUGGGGAAUCCCCGAGCAUUUCAAGCCUUAAGAAAAAUCCUCCAGUUGCAUGGUGCUCAGCUGGUGUUCUUGUGUGAAACAAAGGUAUCAACCAUGCAAAUGAAUGUAAUUGCAAGUAAGCUGAGCUUCGAGAAUUGCCUUGCGGUAAACGGUAAUGGAAGAGGAGGCGGAAUAGCAAUGCUCUGGAAGUCAGAUAUUGAGGUGCAAAUCAAAUCAUACAGCCAGCACCACAUUGAUGCCGAAACUCAAAUGCCAAAUGGGAAUCAAAUGCGAAUUACAGGAGUGUAUGGGCAUCCGGAAAUAAGCCAGAAAAAGCACACUUGGACGCUCCUCAGACGGCUGGCGGUUUUAUCUUCUAGUCCUUGGUUGUGUUGUGGAGAUUUUAACGAAAUUUUACAUCCAAAUGAGAAGAGGGGCGGCAAUGAUAGAAAUGUGAAUUUAAUUAAUGAGUUUAGAGAAGUCUUGAGAGAUUGUGGCUUAAAGGAUGUCGGGUUUCGGGGGUAUGCUUUUACUUGGAAUAAUGGAAGAUAUGGGGAGGGUUUUGUGGAAGAAAGGUUGGACAGAUUUGUUUGCUCUAAAGCUUGGAGUGAUAGAUUUGUGGACUGUGCAGCAAGUAAUCUGGACUCCUGGACUUCGGAUCAUUGUCCCGUGCUGAUGGUUGUUCAAGAGAGAAGGGAGGGUAUGAUCCAAAGGGGUAGACAUUCCUCGCGAAUCCAUUAUGAGGAUAUGUGGAGUUCGUAUGACGGAUGCAAAGAGAUAAUUAAGGAGGAAUGGGGGCUGUAUAGAAACUGGAGCAGUGAAAAUUCAGCCCAAUCCUUUCGACAAGCAACAAAAACUUCGAUGGGUAGGCUGCUGGGGUGGAGCAAGAGGGAAUUUAGAAAGCGUGACAGAAAAUUAGAGAAGCUGAAGGUUCAGCUGAGGGAGUUAAAACAAAGAAGGGUGCAAUUUGUAGAUGGUGAGGAAAUUCGGAAGGUGGAGAAGCAAAUUCAAAAUAUUCUUAUGGAUGAAGAAAUCUACUGGAAGCAACGUUCAAGAGCAGAUUGGCUCAAGGAGGGGGACAAAAACACAAAAUUUUUUCACGGCAAAGCGACGGCAAGAAGGAAAAAAAACAGAAUUUGGGGGAUUGAAGAUAAUUUUGGGAAAUGGAUUGAGGAGCCAAUCAAAGUAGAGCAUGAGUUUUGCAACUAUUUCACCAAGCUUUUUACAUCAACCCAGCCGAGACAAGAUCAAAUUGCAGCAGCUUUGGAAGGAAUAACUCCAAGAGUUUCAGCCAGUAUGAAUGAGAGUCUGGGGGCACCUUUUACAGCCGAGGAAGUGUUGGAAGCGCUGAGCCAAAUGUGCCCAACAAAGGCUCCGGGGCCGGAUGGUUUGCCAGCCGUGUUUUACCAAAAGCAUUGGCAUUCGGUCAAGGAGGGAGUGCUCACCACUUGUCUGCAUAUCCUUAAUUCACAAGGUACCAUCGGCCCUCUAAACCACACUUACAUUGCUUUGAUACCAAAAAUCGGAAAGCCUAGGAAAGUGACAGAUUUUAGGCCUAUUAGUUUGUGCAAUGUCAGCUAUAGAAUUGUUGCUAAAACAGUUGCUAAUAGAUUUAAGCAAGUUUUGCACAAAAUCAUCUCUCCAUCGCAAAGUGCAUUCAUUCCCAAUAGGCUGAUCACUGACAAUAUAAUAGUUGGCUAUGAAUGUUUGCACAAAAUUAGGCAUUGUAAAAGCAAGCGAAAUGGAUUAAUUGCCUUAAAGCUUGAUGUUAGUAAAGCUUAUGAUAGAUUGGAAUGGAAUUUCUUAGAGCAAACUUUAGAAAAAUUAGGCUUCUCGCAGCAAUGGAUUAGCUUGAUUAUGAGGUGCAUUAGUUCGGUUUCAUUUUCAGUGUUAAUAAAUGGUGCAGUGAAAGGCUUAAUUAAACCUCAAAGGGGCUUACGUCAAGGAUGCCCCCUCUCCCCAUAUUUGUUUAUUACAUGUGCAGAGGCCUUUUCAUCUUUGCUGCAGCAAGCUGAGCAACAACAACUCAUUCAUGGGUUAUCUUUUGGAAGCAAUCUGAAGAUUUCGCACCUCCUUUUUGCCGAUGACAGCCUGGUCUUCAGCAGAGCCUCCAUGGCCGACUGUCACAACUUGAAGAUGAUCCUUGAGUGUUACUCCACAGCUUCGGGCCAAAUUUUUAACUUCGAGAAAUCUUCCCUUUUUAUCAGUGGCAAUGUACAGCAAGAUCAAACUGAGGCUCUUGGGAAUCUAUUUCAGCUCAAUAUUGUGUCGAGACAUGAGAAAUAUCUAGGCUUGCCAUCGAUGAUUGGGAGAAAGAGAAGCAGUUUUUUCAAUGACAUCAAGCUGAAGGUUGCUAAUAAGAUCUCAAGCUGGCAGCAUAAAUUCUUUUCUUGCGGAGGGAAAGAAGUCUUAAUCAAAGCGGCUGUUCAAGCUAUCCCAGCCUACGCAAUGAGCGUCUUUAAAAUUCCAGGGGGUGUUUGUGAUGAUAUUCAAAAGAUGGUGGCAAAGUUUUGGUGGGGCUCCAAGAGGGAAGGGCGGAGUAUUCACUGGGCGCAGUGGGAAAAACUGAGCCAAGCCAAGUGUUUGGGAGGGAUGGGAUUUCGUGACUUCUCAAGUUUUAACCGAGCUCUUCUAGCAAAGCAAGGCUGGAGGAUUCAGCAAUGUCCAGAUUCGCUGGUGGCAAGGGUCCUGCAAGCUAGAUAUUUCCAGUCAACCAAUUUCUUGGCUGCUAAACUCGGCUCAAACCCCUCAUAUAUUUGGAGAAGUCUUCUGUGGGGGAGGAAAAUUAUUUGCGCGGGCUCUAGGUGGAGAGUUGGUAAUGGUCAGAAAAUUCAUGUUCAUAAGGCUAAUUGGAUCCCACGGGCUUCAACUUUCCAGCCAAUAGUUAAGCCAUCUCUGCCCCCUGAUGCUAUGGUCUCGGAAUUAAUCACUGAGGCAAACUGUUGGGAUGAAAAGAGGAUUUAUGAGCAUUUUGACCAUAUGGAUGCUGAUUUAAUUGCUAAGAUUCCCCUGCCUCGAAGUCCAAGGGAGGAUGAGCUGAUUUGGCAUUAUGGAAAAAAUGGCCAAUUCUCGGUUAGAAGUGGAUACCAGACAGCUCUCCAAAUGAAAUUUCCAGCCAUGGCUUCAAGCUCAGUGGUUUCCAAAAAUGAGUGGAAUAUUAUUUGGUCCCUUGCUUUGCCUCAAAAGAUCAGAAUCUUUGCUUGGAGAGCAGCCAAAAACCAACUCCCAUCAGCUGAGAAUCUGUGGAGGAAAAAAAUAAUCCAGAAUCCCAUGUGCCAAGUCUGUAAAAUAGGAACAAAAAAUGUCUUUCAUGCUCUAGUAGCCUGCAAAUCGGCUGAGAAGGUGUGGAAGCUAAUCCAUUUUGAUGAUGACAUUCGUGCAGCUCACAGUCAAGACAUUCUAAGCAUACUGCAUGCUAUGAAAAGGAUGAGAAACAGAGACGACCUGGAGCUGUUGGUAACAAUUUUCUGGGUUAAAUGGAAUGCUAGAAAUCAGAUGAUCUUCAAAGGGAAAAGGGAAACCCCCCAGAUCAUGGUAGCUAAAGCUGAAGCCUUGAUUGCUGCUUAUAAGAGGGUGCAUUCUCCAGAUGAGGCCUGCAGUGAAACAGAGCAGAAAGCACCUCCCCAGAAAUGGAACCCCCCUCAAGCUGGUUUUGUAAAAGUAAACACUGAUGCAGCCAUUUGCUUUGAAAAGAACAUUGUAGGGCUGGGGGUAGUAAUAAAAAAUGUUUUGGGGCAUGUUACAGCAGUUGCUAUCAAGGUUGCUAAGUUUCAUGGAGAUGUUUCUUAUGCGGAAGCAGAAGCCAUGGAAUGGGGUAUGUUAGUGGCGAGAGAGGCCAACAUGAAAGCUGUCAUCAUGGAAUCAGAUUCUCAAGGUGUGGUCAAUUUAGUUAACAACAAGCAGGGCAGCAGAUCAGAGAUCUAUUGGGUUGUGUCAGAAAUUCAGAAUCUAGCGGAAAGUUUCGAUCGUGUUAGCUUUAAAUACACGCCUAGAUCUUGUAAUGUUAUUGCCCACUCUUUAGCUAAACUAGCUUUAGAGAAGUGCGAGAAUGUUGUGUGGAAAGGGUCAUACCCUUCACAAGUGAUGUAUCUCUUUUCUUCUUUAGUUUAAUGGAAAUCUCUUUUCAAAAAAAAAAAAAAAAAAGUUUGGCUUCAUAAGCUUCAUAGUAGAGUGUAGAAUUAGGUACAAUUUUGGAUUAGACAAGUCAAAGGUCUUAUCAAGUAAUUGUUCUGCUUACUGAUUUGGUAAUUGCAACAUUGCUAAAUUGUUCAAUUUGUCCUUUUUAUUUUGUUGAAUUUAUUGUAUGUCAUAUUACUUGAUUUAAUUAUUUUCUCAGAUCUUGUAGGUGAAAAUUUCAGCUUCAAAGACCAAAGCUAAUCAAUCAUCCAGCAAUUCAGUGAAGAAACCAAGACACAGUGGCUCAUAAAUUGUUGUUGGUGAUUGAUCCCAGCCAUUCGGGUGCUCGCCAGUCCUAGAUUAGAAAACUUUCAACGCGGCGCAUAAAUUGCUGUUGAUCUGCUUUAUAUAUUUUGACGUUUGUGAUUUGUGAAUACAUGGUCUGAUUCCAGUGUUUACAACUUUGAAAUUCAAUUAAAAGUUGAGCUGUGAAAGAGUGUGUUGUAUAACUUGAGAAGCAAAUGAAACAAACAGAAAAUGUGUUUUUAUUUUUUUAAUCUAUCUAUGUAACAAUUUAUAGCUGGCAAAGUAAUAGAGUUGUAUACUUGUAUUUAAUUAUUUAUUAUUAUUAUUAUUAUUAUUUUUUUGUAUCCAUGGUGUUUUGUCAUUUCGAAAGUACUUGACCCUUUCACGCUAAGGCACACUCCAGCAGCCGAAACUUUGAGCUUUCAGUUCUUGAUUUUAGCGUGAGGGGUAUCUUUGUCUUUUCAGUAGUCAACACACGGUCAACAAAACAGUCUACAAACAAUCGACCUGUGAACUUGGGUCAAAGCUUUCAUCUUUAAAUCACAUAGGUAGAUCAUGAUUCAAGCUUCAGUUAUAAGCCUUUCAUUGUGAUUGAUAGUAUUCUUUCUUUGAUAUAUAUAUAUAUAUAUAUAUAUAUAGAUUCAUGGUUCUUGAUGGUAUCAUGGAAAAUGCGAACGAAAAGUCAGCAUCUUUGAGUUUUGACUCAUCUUAUCAAACUUGUUGGUCCACUAAUCAAUCAACAGGCACUUGUGAUCUUGAUUAUUUCAACUUAAGGAUGCAAAGCAGCAAUGCCAAAGAGACAUGGCAUGACGCUGAGAUUGUUGUUGAGGGCAAAUCAGUGGCGGUUAAUCGCAGCAUAUUGUCUGAGCGCAGUCAAUUUUUUCGUCGGCUUUUUAAUUUGAGAAAUGAUGGUUCUGUCAGUGAGGAGAAACCCAAGUAUCUUAUGACUGAUUUGGUGCCUCAUGGGAAGGUUGGAUAUGAAGCUUUCAAUGAUAUCCUGCUUUAUAUUUACACUGGGAAGACAAAGGCAUCUCCUCCAGAAGCGUCCACGUGUGUUGAUGACGCUUGUACUCAUGGUGCUUGCCCUCCUGCUAUUAAUUAUGUUAUUGAGUUGAUGUAUGCUUCUGCUGCUUUUCAGAUGACACAUCUCGUUUCGGUUUAUGAGGUAGUUGCGCUUCCCCGCUAUUUGCAUUGCUUAAAUUUAUGCUUGUUGGUAUAGUUUUAACAUAUAUGGAAUUGAAAUCAAUUUCGGUUGUGAAGCAACUUCGGUGGUUCCCAAUAUUAGGCAUUGUAGUAGAUCCAAAAUUAGCUUGUUGAGAAGUGUAGAUACUGUAGAGCCCAAAACUUCGUCUUAUCUUGCAAGAGUCUGUUGUUUUAUUUUGAAAGAGACAAAAGUGAUGAUGAUGGGCAGCGAACUCUAGGAAUCAAUGCUUGCUGACACUGACCCCCAAGAAUCAAUGAGUCUGAAUUUGAUAAGUGCACCUAUCCUAUCACAAAAGCUUUUGCGUUGAGUUUCUAACCAAUUUUCAUUUGUGUAGGUGUCAGUUCAUGCUCUGGCUUGACUGUUCUGUUAUUUAGGUUGUUUUAUCCGUAUUUUCUUCACUCACUUGAUGGUUAGUUCUCUCAUGCUUUCAAGCUCUCAACAGUGAAUGCGGGAGAUUCUAUUUUUCCCGUCCAGUCUAUAACCUAGCAAAUCAUUAAUGCUGUAGAAUAACAUCUUGUGUAGCCGAGUUUAUGUCUCUGAACAUUGGUCCAUCGGCAUUUAGGAUCAAUAUUAUUUUUCCCCCUCAUUAUUAUUUUCCUCCACAGAUUAUCCCCUUUGAGUAUUUGAAUUUUGAAUAUAUUAUUCUGAAUCAAAACUCUAUCUGUCCGUGUAGCAUUUUUUAUAUGCUUUACGAUGUUUACCAAUAAUUACCCACUAUGGGGUAUUUGAAUUUUGAAUAUAUUAUUCUGAAUCAAAACUCUAUCUGUCCGUGCAGCAUUGGCUUCUGAACUUGGCUGAGGAUGCGCGUGUGGAAGAUGUAAUCCCAAUUCUCGUGGCUGCCUUCCAUUGCCAACAGAACAUGCUCUGUUCUUACUGCAUCCAGAGAAUUGCAGGAUCAAAUCUUGACAAUGUUUGUCUCGAGAAAGAGCUUCCUGAUGAAGUUUCAAGAGAAAUCAAAUCACUCCGUGUCAAAUCUAACCAGGAGUCUGAAGCUAAUAUAGCAGAAGUGGAUCCUAUGCAUGCAAAAAUAGUCAGAAGAAUCCAUAAGGCGCUGGACUCUGAUGACUUUGAACUGUUGAAGCUUCUUCUGGAUGUAUCUAAUGUCACUCUGGAUGAUGCUUAUGCUCUGCACUAUGCUGCUGCCUACUGCAACCCUAAGGUUUUUAAGGAAGUGCUCAAUAUGGACUUGGCUGGUCUCAAUCUUAAGAAUGCAAGAGGUCGUACGGUGCUUCAUGUGGCUGCAAGGCGUAAUGAGCCAGAAGUGAUGGUGACUCUGCUGAGCAAGGGAGCAUGCGCAUCAGAAACUACAUCAGAUGGGCAAACAGCUGUAGCAAUCUGUCGGAGAAUGACAAGGCGAAAGGAUUAUAUUGAAGCUUCAAAGCAGGGGCAGGAAACUAACAAAGACCGGUUAUGCAUUGACGUCCUUGAGAGAGAGAUGAGAAGGAACUCCAUGUCUGAGAACUUGGCAAUGUCAUCAGAGGUGAUGUAUGAUCAUUUCCAAGCGGAGCUGGACUAUCUAGAAAAUACAGGUGAUAUUUCUUUACUGGUAUUAGUUCAUCACCUUCUCAGAGUUUGUGCAUAGCACACUUCUUUCUACUGUUUGUUUGUCCCUUCAUAUGGAAAAUAGAGGUGAUAUUCCUUUACUGGUAUUAGUAAAUCAUCUUCUCAAGAGUUUGUGAGUCCCUUCAUUUUAGCAUCUCAAACACACAUGGGCUCAUUGCUUGGGGCACACUGUUGGCCAGUCAUGUGAUUUGAUCCCCUUUUUUGGAAUAGAGAAUUAUGAAUCCAUCUGAUCUAGGCUUGGUGGUUUGCACCGAAGUGGUUUUUGAUAAAUAAUUGUACAAGACUUUGUCAUCAAAAACUUUUUUUUUUGUUUUCCAAAAGUAAUGAGGUACAAAAAUAUUUAUGCCUAUCCUGGAUGAGUGCCAUAACAGCUUCUUAAUAUUUUGCAGUGGCUUUUGUACGGUUGUUUCCUUCUGAAGCUAGAGUAGCUAUGGAAAUAGCUGGUGCAGAUACCGCCACUGGCCUUUCAGCAUUAGGUCAGAAAGGACUAAGUGGGAACUUAAAGGAGAUUGAUUUGAAUGAAACGCCCUCUAUGCAAGCCAAGAGACGCCAAUUGAGACUGCUAACUCUGCUUAAAACAGGUAUUUAUAUACUUUAUUAACUUUUGCACCUUUCUAUUUACUGAUUAUCUUUAUAAUUAACUAAUACAUGUAUCCAGGUUUCUCCUUCCAUUUCAUUAGAAGUAAAUUGGAAUCUCUUUAUAGUGCUCUGUUAGGUGUAAUCAGAUGUAUCAAAAGAGAAAGAGUAAUUGUUAGUACAUUGAUAUCUCAACAAAAUGGUGGAACCUUUCUUUAUACCACUAAAGACAUUUGUUGCAGGAUGCCUACAGAAUCAGUGUGCUUUAAAACUUUCAAGGAGUUCGCAAUGCCUAACCCUUGAAACACUAAAUCUCACGGGAUCAACUCUUUACCUCUAGACCGAAGGUGUGACACCCAGACCCAAUUAGUGCUUAGAACACAUAUCGAAUCUGAGUGAAACUAAAUGCCUGUAAAUCCAAAUCUCCAAAAUAUCAAAAAGUCAUCUACUUUCUCUUUUCAUGUAUUUCACAAAAUUUUGAAAAAUUCAUUUUCAAUCAUAAACUAUGCACAGCUAAAUAUUCAGCAUAUCAGUAUAGAGCAAUACUUCCUCAUAAGCAAAUAAAUCUUACAAUCCUUCUUACAUGAUUUUAAAAAAAUACUAAUAGAAGUCUUCUAGAUACAAACAUAAACAGAAUUCAACUGUUUAAAACUAUGCCAAAACACAAGCUUCAAUCAGUAAUACAUACGACUAAUUAUUAAAAACAUCUAGGCAGAAACCUUACGAAAGCUCAAUCCUUCCGAAGCAUUCUUCAAAUUAAUAAUUGCUACCAUCUGUGAAAAAUAAUUGACAAGGAGUCAGCUGUGAAUUCAAUCAAUAGAAACAUUUGUAACGAACAAAAAUAAUUCUUUGCGCAAUAUUUUCAGAAAAUUCAUUUAACCUUUCAAAUGAAACAGAGUAAUUUUUCUAACGCAGUCAGGAUUUAUAUAAAACACAAACGUUUCAAACAGAAGCUGUGUGGAAUGUAAAUUUUGCUUCUUUAAACAGAAAGUUAUAUAUUAGUUUGAUUUUAAAGGGAGGUUAUUGGGAAGUUAAAAUUGGCAGUUGUGGGAAAAGGGUAAUAGCAGUUAUAAAAUCUCUUUUAAAGCAAAUUCAAAUCAAGUUUCAAAUUUUAGGAGUACUUAAUUCAAUAAAAUAAGGAAUAAAUAAAGCUUUCAUUGAAACAAAACUAAGUAAAUUCAUUUAAAGCAAAAAAGGAUGGGAGCAUUACUAUGGGUUCUUAUGUUUACCCGCAGUCAGGCAUCUGGGACCUUGUUAUUUGGAGACAAGACUUGAUUGUGCCAUGUUUUCCACAGCCAGAUAUAUUUUACUUCAUUAGUUCCUAGACAUCUGUGGAUAAGAGAACCCUAAGCAUAUUGAGAAUAAAUUCCGUAAUCCAAGACUCUUCAGUUCUUUCAUUUGUGGCUAAUUAGUUAUAAAAUUUGUGAAUUUCAUGCCCCAUGCUCCUUGCAAAAUGUAUUUUAUAUCCUUAAGAUGCCAGUGGAUGAACUGAAAUAAUAAAAAAUGGAAGACAGAUUUAAUGCCGACAACAUUUCUUAAGAAAAACUUGGGAUGUUUAUAAUUUUCUUAGAGCAUUUGCUGAACUUUCUGUGAUCGCAGUCGAGACGGGUCAACGCUACUUCCCUCAUUGCUCAGAAGUGGUUGAUCACUUUAUGGAUUGGCCCUAUGCUUCCACCCCAAAAAUGGACGACGAGAAACUUAAAGUAGACGUGCAGGAGGCAUUCUGCAAGGACGUGGCUUAUCACCGUCGUAUAGGGCUGCCAUCAUCCUGGCCGGCAUUUUACCAGUACAUGGCUGAGGGCAAUCAGUCGGCAUUUUACAAGUACGUGGCUGAGAGCAAUCGUUCAGGAAUGGCGACAUCCUCGGCAGCGAGCAAUUAAGCAUCACCUUUCCCUAAAAGUUAUAUUUGACACCUGGAAAACUAAAGGAGUUGAGUGAGCUCUGCUCGAUUGGUAUUUGUAGUUUCUUUUUUUUUUCCUCAAGUGAUCUGGCAUGUAUCAAUUAGUUUGUAAAGUUAAUUGUAUUGUCUCAAGUCCGGUGAGAUGCGCGAACGUAUAGCAUGGAUCACAAACUAAUUGUAUUGUCUCAAGUGAUCACAAAAAGAAUUGUAUUACAAUUGGUAUGAGGCAUGCAUGUGUGUGUCAUAUCAGUUGCUGAACAAACUUUGCCUUUUAGUUUUGUAGGCACUACCAUCUCAAAUUCUCUGUUAUCAUGAAUGAGUAUUUUUUUUUUCUUUUUUUUCUUUUUAACAAAUCAUAAAUGAGAUUAAGAUAAUCUUUUUUUUAAAAAAAAAAAAAAUAGAGAUUUCUUUUAUUUUUCCUUAAAAAACUGAAGAAAAAUUUAGAAGGUAGUGAGAGACGGAGAAUUAAAGAAAUUUUAUUCACAAAUGUAAUGUGUUUGGUGCAGCAAUACAAACUAAUAAAUUAUAAUUUAUGAGACUAGUUUGCAAAAUCUUAUAUAUAAAAUUAUAUCAUCUGAAUAAAAAUCUUCUCACCUCUUUUGACUUCUCAUUUAGAUGUCCUCUCUAGAAUCUCUCUGGCCAUAAACACAUUUUUACAAAACAAAACAGAAGAAAUUAUAUAUAAUUCUCACAAAGACUAUUUCAUUUGCACAUAGUACGCAAUUGGUCACUAAAGUUAUUUGAGGAGAAAAUUUACAUGAGAUGGGUACAUCCUAUUAUCAGUAUUGUAAUUUAAAUUUGAACAUACUAGAAUGGUCUCUCAUAAAUUUUUCUCCAAUUUGAGAGAUGGUGGGGAAGUGGGGUUAAAGUGCAUCUGCAUAGAAUUAAUUAUAAUUAUAUUUAUUUUUUAAAACUAUUUUAACUAGAAGUAGUAGUAAUUCUUUUUAUUAUUGUUAUUCCAAUUAUAUCAAAAUCUCGUGACUCGUGAUCAAAUUAAGUAGUUCAUUAAAUUUUUUUAGGUGACGUACGGUAUGGAGUUUUUAUAAAUCUAUAUAAAUAGUAAAAUAUUUAAUUUUGUUUGUCGUAAACUUUUAAUUUGCAUGGGUUAAAAAAGAAAAAAAGAAAUUGACUUAUUAAUUAAUUAACAAUUAUAGAAAGAAUAAAAAGCAAAUUAGAGUUGCGUGAGAAAACUCUCGUGAAAAGGGUUCCAGAUUUCCUUUCCCUGGCUUCGUGCGUUUCCUGUUUGCCCUUUCGAGCACAAUUCGAAUCCAAUACUUAAUAAUAAAGAUAUAAUAUUAAAAAAUACGAAAAAGAAUCCAAAUUUUUACUGGUAUAUAAGGCAGAGCCAGUUAGAAUUCACAAACCUUAAGCAUACAAUCUGUUUGGCUAGCAGGAAAGUGACGAAGGAAGAAAGAAAAAUAAACUGAAUAAGAGAAUUUUAUUAAUCUCGAAUCACACCCUUACAUUCAAGCUUUCAUCAACUUAUAUUGCUGAUUAACAGAAGUAACAACCUCUGUAACAGCUGUCAAAUAACUAUUGGUUAAGCUAAGCUAAACAAUAACAAUCUAACUAAUUUGUCCAGCUCAGCUAUCCAGCUCAUCAAUCCUAGUCAAGUGAAUCUCAGCCAUUGAUCUGCUGCUGUUGAUUAAGCAUCUCAACACCCCUUCUCAAGCUUAAUGGUCGUGGAACAACAUUAAGCUUGUCUCUAUAGUAAUUAAAAAAAGAGUAAGCCAUAGGCUUUGUAAGCACAUCUGCAAUAUUCCACUCACUUGGUACAUACUUGAUCUCCACUUGUUUGCCCGUUACCUUUUCCCUUAUGAAAUGCACAUCCAACUCUAUGUGCUUGGUUUUGGCAUGAUAUACUGGAUUUGUUGCUAGUGCAGCUGCACCAUUGUUGUCACACCAGAUUAUUGGUAUUUGGCUACACUUCAGUUUAAGCUCUCCAAGUAAAGCUUGAAUCCAAACAAUUUCUGCACAAGCUGUUGACAAUGCUCUAUACUCUGACUCUGUGCUAGACCUUGCUACAGUUUGUUGCUUCUUGGAGGACCAUGAAACCAGAUUCUGCCCAAGAUAUACACAAUAUGCUCCAACUGACUUUCUGUCAUCCACAUCACACGCCCAAUCUGCAUCUGUAUAUGCUGUCAGACUAAUUCCAUCUCCUGCUUUAAACAUCAAUCCAUAAUCUUCAGUUGCCUUUAAGUAUCUUAGAAUUUUCUUACAAGCAACCCAGUGUUUCUCAGUUGGUGCAGCAAGAAAUUGGCUCAACUUAUUAACUGAAAAGGCAAGUUCUGGUCUUGUAAGUACCAAAUACUGUAAAGCACCUAUUAUGCUUUUAUACUCAGUGACAUUAACAAUCAAGUUAUCAUCAUUCCCUGCUCUUCUUAGUUUCUGUCCUGUACUCAUUGGAGUAUCACUUUCUCUGCAAUUUUCCAUAUCAGUUCUUGUAAGCAAAUCUCUUACAUAUUUUGCCUGUGAAAGAUGUAAGCUACCCUUUGCAUCAUGUGUAACCUCAAUACCAAGGAAGUAACUGAACUCACCAAGAUCUUUUAAAGCAAAGGUAUCUCCAAGGUAUUGGAUAAAUGUUUCAAUUACUGUAUUGUUAUCACCAGUAAUUAAUAUAUCAUCUACAUAUACUAACACAGCCACAAUACCUCCAAGUUCAUGUUUGAUGAACAAAGAUGAGUCUGCUUUGGAGUUCUGAAACCCCCACUGCAACAGUGCUUUCCUUAGCCUGUCAAACCAGGCUCUGGGAGCCUGUUUCAAACCGUAAAGAGCCUUAUGCAACUGACAAACAUGACCAGAUGGAGACUGAACAAAACCCUCAGGUUGAAACAUGUAGACAUCUUCAUUGAGCUCUCCAUUAAGGAAAGCAUUGUUGAUGUCGAUUUGUCUUAUUUUCCAGCCCUUCAUCACAGCAAGACUAAGGAUAAUUCUCACAGUUGACUGUUUAACUACUGGACUAAAGGUCUCAAAGUAGUCAAUACCAGCUGUUUGAUGAAACCCUUUUGCCACCAGCCGUGCUUUAUACUUAGAAACAGAACCAUCUGCAUUAUACUUAAUGCGAAAAACCCAUUUACACCCAACAAUUUUAGUAGCUUGAGAAGGUGGUACAAGAAUCCAAGUCUUAUUUUCCAUAAGUGCAUUAUACUCUGCCUGCAUGGCUGCUUUCCAUUUGGAAUCUGAAAGAGCUUGAGAAACUGUGGCAGGCUCUUGUUCUCCAAGAACAGAGGAAUAGGCAUGAAAUUUUGGCUUAAAUACACCUGCUUUGGCUCUUGUAAUCAUUGGGUGAUUUGGCAGUGAAACUUGAGUAGAGGAUGGUUGUUGAUUUGAAGUAUUUUGGGAUACAUAAGGAGAGGUGUGGGAGGGUGGAUGAUUUGAUUGAGAUGGUUGAAAUGGUUGAGAAGAAGGUGAUAAAGAACUAGAUGAGGAGGAAGAAGCUGAAGCUGCAGACAACUGAAAUGGUUGUAUAAUGGUGUUACUUGAGCCUGAAGGGUCAUGAAGUGGAACUGACACUGAAGAUACCUUAAACAUAGGAUAUCUAUAUUCAGAAGCAGAGGAAGAAGGUUGUUUAGAGAAAAGAGAGUCAGUAGAGAAAGGAAAUUCUGACUCAUUAAACACAACAUGCCUAGCAACAUAUACAACACCUUUUGAGCUUAGGCAUUUAUACCCUUUGUGAUCUGAGCUAUAACCAAUAAACAAACAUUUUGUAGUGUGAUAGUUGAAUUUGUGUUUGUUAUAGAAUCUCAGGUAUGGAAAACAGGAGCAGCCAAAAAACUUUAGAAAAUCAUAGUCAGGCUUGUGUUUGAAAAGAAUCUCAUAGGGAGAUUUAUUUGAUGGUAGAACAGAAGUUGGCAAUCGAUUGAUAAGAAAAGCAGAAGUUGAGAAUGCUUCCCACCAGAAACUGAGAGGUAAUUUAGCUUGUGCAAGAAGAGUCAAACCCAUCUCAACAAGAUGUCUAUGUUUCCUCUCUACUGUCCCAUUCUGGUGAUGUGUGUGAGGACAUGGAUGUCUGAAUAAAAUGCCAUGUUUUUGAAGAUAAGGCACAAAGGAUCUGAAUUCACCCUCCCAAUCUGACUGUAGGACCUUAAUGACUGUUUCAAAUUGUUUUUCAACUUGAGUUCGAAAAAUGGCAAAAACAGAUAAAGCUUGAGACUUGGUUUUCAAAGGAUAAACCCAGGCAUAUCUACUAUAAUCAUCAAUGAAACUGAUAUAGUAUCUAUAACCAUUGAGAGAAGUAAUGGGUGCUGGACCCCAUAAGUCAGUAUGGAUGAGUUCUAGAGGUGAGGUUGUUUUGUGUUCAGUUGCUCCAAAAUGCAGUUUAUGAACUUUGCCAUAUUGGCAGGCAUCACAAAAAUCAGGAAUUUGAAUUUUAUUGCUUAACUGCAAAUGUUUACAACUGGUGAGUACUUGUUUCAAGACUUUUGAACUAGGAUGACCAAGUUGCCUAUGUAGGAUAUUUAUUGAAGCACUGGAAACUCUACUGGAAUGAGACAACAGACACUGUUGAGAGGAGUGCUGAACAACUUUAGCUUGAAUAUUUGAAAAAGAACAAGACUGCAAACCAUCUGAGCAAUGUGACACCAUAGACAUAGGAACAAAACAUGACUCUUUAUUUACAGUUGAAAAUAAAGCUUGAUGAGUUUUACUUCCAGGCUCAAGUUUCAGCUUAUACAGACCCUUCAUAGCUACACCCUCCAGCAAAACUGUCCUCUUCUUCUUGUCCUUGAGAAAGCAAGUAUUUCCACAAAAUUCAAUGAUCAAGGAAUUAUCAGAAGUAAGCUUAGAAAUGCUUAAAAGAUUUUUAGUGAUGUGUGGCACAAAUAAAAGAUUUUUGAGCAAUAAUCUAUGAUUUCCAACUGCUAAAUAAGUGCUUCCUAUAUGAGAAAUAGUAAGGCCAUGUCCAUUACCAAUUAAAAGCUUUUCAUUACCUUCAUAAGGCUCACUGAUGCUGAGAUUAUUGAGAUCAUUGGUUAGGUGGUGAGUUGCUCCACUAUCCAGGUACCAGUCAUCAUCCAUUACUGCUUCUGGUGUUGCCAUAUAAGCUGACAUAUUUCUUUGAUUGUAGCCUUGAUUAAAAACUUGAUUUUGAUGUGGAUACCUUGUGACUGGAAUGAAAUCCUUGUUGAACCUAUCCUUGCAGGUAGCAGCAGUGUGUCCUAUAAUGAAGCACACUUGGUAUCUAGGUUGAUAUGGCUGUGAAAAAUGACCAGGCACAUGACUAGGCAUUUGAGUUCUCCCACCUUGAUUCCAAGAUCUUCCUCCAUGCAUGUUAUUUCCUCUUCCACCUUUCCUUCCUCGAUAGAAAUUUCCACCUUGAUUCCCUCUAAAAUUUCCUUGCAUCAUGUAUCCAGAAUUUUCAGAUCUUGAUGCAUUUUGAUUGAAACUAGAUCUUGAGUUGUAUGUUCCAAAACCUUUCUUAUUAUUGUUCCCUUUCUUAACAAAAUUUGCAGCAAACGCCAUAUUUGCAUCCAUAGUUUCAGCUAAAGCUUGUUGUUCUAACAUUCCCUCAUGUGUCAUUAACAUAGAGAGUGAUUCUGAUAAAUCGAGAUCUAAUCCUCUUCCUGUGAUCAAAACUGCUACAGGAUUGAAUUCUGAACCAAUUCCUCCUAACACACUCAUCAUAAAGUCAUAGUCACUCAUUGGUGCUCCUGCUGCUGCCAUGUUAUCUGCUAUGCCUUUCAUUUUGUGAAAAUAGUCAUAAACACUCAAAUCGUUCUUCUUUGUCAACAUCAUUUGAUUCUUCAGUUGCAAUGCUCUGGUUUUGUUUUGUGAGCCAGAAAGUUUUUCCAGAGCUUUCCAAACUUCAAAGGAAGUUUUGUAUCCGAGAACAAUUCCGAGAACACUCUCAGUCAUGGAAGAGAGUAGCCAACCUAGCAACUGCUGAUCAGUUCGCUUCCACAUCACAAACUCAGAGUUCGGAAUCCUCUGAUCUGUGCAUGGUGCUGUGAUUGAACCAUCAAUAUAUCCUUCUAAUCCAUUUCCCUGAAUGGAUGCCAAUACUUGCAUUUUCCAGAUCAAAUAAUUUGAUCUGUCGAGCUUAAUUGGUGUAGGAAAGGUAUAGGAAACAGUUGUGGUUUGAUUUAAGCUUGAUGAUGCCAUCUGGCUCUGAUACCAAGUUAGAAUUCACAAACCUUAAGCAUACAAUCUGUUUGGCUAGCAGGAAAGUGACGAAGGAAGAAAGAAAAAUAAACUGAAUAAGAGAAUUUUAUUAAUCUCGAAUCACACCCUUACAUUCAAGCUUUCAUCAACUUAUAUUGCUGAUUAAUAGAAGUAACAACCUCUGUAACAGCUGUCAAAUAACUAUUGGUUAAGCUAAGCUAAACAAUAACAAUCUAACUAAUUUGUCCAGCUCAGCUAUCCAGCUCAUCAAUCCUGGUCAAGUGAAUCUCAGCCAUUGAUCUGCUGCUGUUGAUUAAGCAUCUCAAAAGAGCCAAAGCGAUAGCGAAACAUCAAAUUGUUUUUAUUUCAACCUUCGCGCAACUUCCGGUGACAUAAUUUUUCUCUGUUUCAGGUACAUACCCAACACUAAACUUUGCAUGUAUCAUUCUUGUACUUUUGUUAUUCUUUUCUUUUCUUUUCUUUUCUCUUUUGCUGUAAUUUUUUAUGAAGCACUCUGUUUCAGUUCUGUUUCUGGUUUUGUUUCGGUUUAAUAUUAUUGGUUCGGUUCUGUUCUGCUCUGUUCUACGUCGUAUGUAUAUAUGUAUAUAUUUUUGGCCUCGAAUUGCUUUCAUCACCGGUUUUGUUAUUCAUUUAUCGUGAAAUUUAGAUGACUUGUUCGGCCAUGUUAUAUUCAGCUACCAUCUUCAUGGUGGGUUUGUAAGAUAGUCUCUGACUAACACAUGGCAUUGAUUAUGAAUGAUGGUUUUGUGAGAUACAUCAUACAGACGUUAACUCGUGUUAAUUUGUACUUACAUCAUUCAAAAGAUUACUGUUUUUCUCUCUUUUUUUUUUAAAAAAAAAAAAAAUUGAAAUGCCCCUUUUCGCAUUUUAUAGAUGAAAGGAAGAAACAUAAUAUCGCAGAACUAGAAUAAAGGAGCCUAUUCUGGUACCUAUUGUCCGAGGAACCUUCUGUAUAUUCGGUAGGAACUACCAUGGGAAGUCAAAUCUUACCAGAGCCAGGCGGAGUCGUUGCUGAAGGAAUAUAUAUUAGCAGAUCCAUUUGUCCCGUACACUUCAAUUGUUGGUAGCAUUUUUGCUUGCACGAUGGUAUGUUUGUCAUCGUUACUGCGUGGUGGUAUAUACUAGAAAAUAUUUUGAAUGCAUAGUUUUUAUUUAAUUAGUUAUAAAUUUUAUACCCUCUGUUUUCCAUAAGAAUGUGUUCCUUUUCAGGUCUAUGAUCUUGCCCAAUUGAUUAGUGUGCUGUUCACUUUAAAUCUGAUUCCAGUUUCUCCAACAUACAGCGGGUCGAGUGGAGUUUAAUCAUUUUUCUUAAAUCGACAACUUAUGCAGGGCCAUAUCAACUGUCCAUGACAUUUUUAUUACAACAAUGUCUUUGUACUUUGUGUUUUGGUCGGAUCUCAGAGUUUGUGCAUAGCACACUUGGUUCUACUGUUUGUUUGUCCCUUCAUAGACAUUUUGAUAAACUGUUAUUUUUGUUCUUUGGAAGUGAAUAUUUUCAGCAACUAGAACUCCGAAGCAUCUGGAGUGAUCCAUUUUGUCAUUCUCAAUACCUAUAAAAGAAUGUCAUAGAAAACAGUUUCCAAAGCAAGUUGCAUGUGUUUUGAAUUUGUCUUUGCAAGCCACUAAUUGCUUGGAGCACACUGUUAACCUGUCGCGAUCCCAUCCACUUUUUUGGAUAGACAAUUGUGCAUCCAUAUGAUCUGGACUAAACUAGUUUCUAAUAAAUAAUUGCCCAAGGAUUUAGUCUCAGUGUUACAGCCCAGUCUUUGUUGUCAAUACUCUUUCCCCUGUCGUGGAUGAGCGCCAUAACAGCUUCUUAAUGUUUUGCAGUGGCUUUUGCACGGUUGUUGUUUCCUUCUGAAGCUAGAGUAGCUACGGAUAGAGCGGAUGCAGAUGCCACCAAUUUUUAUACUGGCCUUUCAGCAUCAAAAUCAAAAGGAUCAAGUGGGAACUUAAAGGAGGUUGAUUUGAAUGAAACACCCUCUAUGCAAGCCAAGAGACUCCAAUUAAGAUUGCAAGCUCUGCUUAAAACAAGUAUUCAUAUACCUUAUUAGUUUUUGUACCUUUACAAUUUGUGAUUUUUGUAUCAAAAGAGAGGUUAAUUUUUAGUGCAUUUACUGAACUUUCUAUGAUUGCAGUGGAGACAGGUCGACGCUACUUCCCUCGUUGCUCAGAAAUGGUUGAUAAAUUUUAGGAUUGUGAUUGGUCCGAUGCUUCCUUCCUAGAAAAGGGUACUCCUGAAGAGCAGAGACUCAAAAGGGCACGCUUCAUGGAACUUAAAGAAGGCGUGAAGAAGGCAUUUUACAAAGACAUGGCUGAGAAAAUAUGGCUCAGGUUUGUAGUCAUCCUCGUCGUCGUCAUCUUCUCCCAAGGAAGGAGUAAAGUGUAAGGGUAGGAAAAGGUGAUGCUUAGCUGCUUGUCUUUGUUAUUCAUUUAUAGGCAACUAAAAGAGUUUUAGUGAGUUGGAUUGUUACGUUGUACAGAGAUACUCUUAGAGCCUAUGUUAUGGCUUAUGUUGUAUAAUAGCAGAGGAACUUCAAGCUUGCGUUGUUGUAUUUUCCCUGGUAUUUGGCAUGUAAUGCACUAAAUGACAAAGAAUUUUCUAAUUUUAGAGGGAAAAGUUAUGUCAGUUAAUUAUUUAUUUAUUUUGUCUGUUUAAUUCAGUUUAUAAUAUAGCUUUUUUUUUUUCUUUCCAAAAAAAUCUUCAUUUCUUCAUCUGCAAUUUAAGUCAUUUGUAACUUCUUUCAGGGAGGAGAGAGAGAAAAAAAGAAAAAGAAAAAGAAAAAGAAAAGAGUUUAUUUUACAGUACUGAUUUUCCUACAGAAAUUGGUUAAGGUGACAUUAAUGUUCUUUGAGGUGGACGGAUAUGCAGAUUUUUCGUCGAAAUUGAAAUUAGAAAUGGAUGGAUAUGCAGAAUUUUUUAAUAGAAUUUUUAUACAAAAAUUUGUAGCUCAUUACUCUCUAAAAGGAAAAAAUAAAUUUUUGAUGGUAAAUAUUAAAUUUUAAAUUUAUAAUAUAAUAACUUUGUGAGUUAAGGUGCACAAUACCCAUAUAUUAAUAAUUAAGAAAAGAAAAAAAAAUUAAAAUUUGUAAAUUACCAAUUUUUUCUUGAAAUUUGAUAUUCUAUAUUAACGUAGGUGUUGCAUGGACUGGGUUAGUACAAUUGAAAGAAACUAACUAAAGUAAAACAAAAUAUCAUUAAAAAUAUGGCAAGCUUCUCGUAUUUUUUAAGUGAAAAAGAGAAGAAAACUAAAAUUAAUUAUUGUUAUACCCAAAUUCUAGUGCUUGAAGGCCGCUGGAAUUGACCAUUGCAGUUUUGUCAUCCUCAUUAUUCACCGGCCAUCGUGGCCUUCCUCCAUUAAAAAAAUAAAUGACCAUUUUUUUGGACCACGACAUAUUAAAAAUAGUAUUGAUUAAUACUAAUAAAUCUCUUUUUUGAUUAUUUUGCAGUGCGAUAGUCCAGUGAGGGCAGUGCCCAUCGUAGCACUUCAACAUGUGGUAAAUUUCUGCCAAUCUUUGUAAAAUAAUUUUUAAAUUAUGUAUUAACCAGAUAGCUCAAUGAAAACUAUCGUUCACUAAAUCAUUACUUUAUUUUGUAUAUAUUUAUGGUAAUUGUUGAAAAGAAAAAUGUAAAGUGAGAUUAAUGAACGUUUAUGAAUGUGGAAAUUAACACAACCAGGAUUUAUGAUAAAAUAAUUUUAAGUCAAAUGAGCAUAAAUUUGUAUAAAUAUUUUUUGAAUUGUCAUAUAUAUACAAGUUUGUCACUAAUAGUAAACUUAAUUAUGAAUAUUUUAAUAAUUCAAAAUUUUAUUUAACAAUUGGUGUUUAUAGUGUUUUUCAUAAUACAAAAUUGUAAACAGUCUCAUCCUGAAUAGUAUAAUGCCAAACCUUUUCAAAAAUUUAUUCUAUUAUAGUCGUCUUAGUCAAUUAUAUUUAUUUUCAAAUUGAAGAUAAAAAUAGUACUUCAUAUAUCAUACAUUACUUAUAGUUUUUUUUUUUCAAUCAAAUUACGACUAAAAUUGAAAAAUUUACCAAUGGCUAUAUACAAAGUCUGAUUCUCAUGAGCUUAAAAGAUGGGCUUUGAAUGAUGUAUGGUACUCAAAACUCUACUUUUAUUAAUAUGAUUGCCCUGCUUCCUUCAUGACGGGUAAUUUUUAGUUUCUUCCCCUGAAGUUUGGCGUAUCUCCAUUUUAAUAGGAAGUAUUAGCGUAUCUCCCACUUUUCUCCCCUACCGUUUGUAUACCGUUUCAUAUUGUUAAUGGACGAAGCUACAAGUCUUCUCUUUCAUCAAAUCGAUCCAUAACAAAUACGAGUCUGCUUCACCUAACCAAAACACACGCAUACUCCAUCUCUAAAUGCUUUGAAGAUAAACAAAUCAACGGUAAUCCUGCAACUUUAGCUCAGAGAAUCGGAUAAGAAAAGAACAGGUGAUGAAUCAAGGGUAAUGGCGCCGAGUGAGUGUCGCCUGCGGUCGGCGUUAGAGGCGACUGUCACUCAAUCGCGUACAAGGUUAGUCUUUGAAAAAACUCUUUGCACGUUAGAAAUCAGUGAUUGGGCAUUAUUUUGUUAUUUAAAAAUGAAAAUGGGUUUAUUAGUUUGUCGAAGAAUCUGCUCUGUUGCCGGUGUUGUUUGUUGAUUAAAAUGAAAAUGGGUUUGUUGAUGUGUUGAAGAAGUUGCUCUACUGCUGGUGUUUUUUUAUUAAUUAAAAUGAAAAUGGGUUUGUUAAUUUAUUGAAGCAGCUGCUGGCAUUGUUAUUGCGACUUUAUUUAUCCAAUUGAUGAGCUUAUGAGCUAAUAGUAUUGUUUGAUCAAGCUUGUGUUCUUAAUAGUGGAGUUGAUAUUCUUAAAAAUGAAUUUAUGAUUAUGAGAAUAUGAAAAUUGAAUGGCAUCGUAGAGAUCUAGAUUAAUCACCAUCGUAUAUGUUUCUAAAUAAAGGAAUAAGCAGCAAUCUGAUUUGAAAGUUAAGACUUUAGGGAUAUGUAUGUGCAACUGAAUGAAUCAUCAGUUGCUAUCUUGUAAGUCAAUACUAGCAUAUUACUUAAUGGCAAGUGAAGCUAUUUUAUGUGUAUUGCUGCCUAUCAAAAUGUUUAUGUUUGAAGUUAUCUCCUUUUAGGAAAUUGAAUGCUUCUGUGAGUUCUCUGGUAAGGGCUAUACAACUAGCUCUAAUAGAUUCCUUCAUGUGCAUUAAUUAGCUUAGUAGUUUAUUGACCUAUAUCCAAUGUCUAUUCUUCUUUUCUGUAGCCGUCUAGUUUUAUGAGUGUGUGAAGUGAACUUUUGUUUUAUGUUUCAGGACUUGGGAUUAGAGUGUAUAACAUUCAAUAUCUUUUUAUCAAAGAACUGAUAUAUGUCAAUGUAGUGCGAUCUGGUCUUUAUUAGCUUCUUGAUUUGCCAGGAUGUUUGACAACCAUCUUUGACCAUGAUUGCCAACAUAUAAGCUGCUACAUAGUGUCUCAGGAAUCACAGCAAAUUAUUAUCAUAAUAUGGUGAUUUUGAAUCCAAAACUUGGUAGUGUCAAGAAAAUAGACCCAUGUUUAUUUAUCUUCAUGUUUUGUAUGCGGCUGCAAUAGACUAUUAUAAGUUACUUUUAGUUUUAUCAAGUUUUUUUUUCCUUAAAUUUCAUCGAGUCUUGGAGUCUUUGUAAUAUAGAGUCUAAGUGAAGAAUACUUGGGUGAAAUCUUGUAUUCUCUCUUCCAGUAAUAUAAUCAUCCUUUGUGUUUUUAUCUUUUUAUUUUGGUAUCAGAGCAUACUUUAUUAUAGAAGGACUUAGACUCUAUAUUACAAAGACUCAGCGGUUUCUUUUAACUGAGUUAAUAGUGUUGUUAUGUUAAACUAAGUUUGGCUUCAUAAGAUUCAUAGUAGAGUGUAGAACUGGGUACAAUUUUGGGUUAGACAAGUCAAAAGUCUUCUCAAGUAAUUGUUCUGCUUACUGAUUUGGUAAUUGCAACAUUGCUAAAUAGUUCAAUUUGUCCUUUUAUCUUGUUGAAUUUAUUGUAUGUCAUAUUACUUCAUUUAAUUAUUUUCUCAGAUCUUGUAGGUGAAAAUUUCAGCUUCAAAGGCCAAGCUAAUCAUCCAGCAAUUCAGUGAAACCAAGACACAGUGGCUCAUAAAUUGUUGUUGGUGAUCCAGCCAUUCGGGUGCUUGCCAGUCCUAGAUGAGAGAACUUUCAACGCGGCGCAUAAAUUGUUGUUGAUCUGUUUUAUAUAUUUUGACCUUUGUGAUUUGUGAAUACAUGGUUUGAUUCCAGUGUUUACAACUUUGAUACUGUGUAUAACUUGAGAAGCAAAUGAAACAAAUAGGAAAUGUGUUUUUAUUUUUUUUAUUCUAUCUAUCUAUUUAUUUUUUUGUUUCGAAAUGUAACAAUUUAUAGCUGGCAAAGUACUAGAGUUGUAUACUUGUAUUUAAUUCAUUAUUAUUAUUUUUUUAAUGACUCAGUAACGUCAUUGUCCAUGGUGUUUUGUCAUUUCGAAAGUACUUAACCCUUUGACGCUAAGGCACAUUACAGCUAGGGAUGGCAAUGGGGAGGGGAGGGGAGGGGAUCGAUCUCCCCGUACCCAUCCCUGAUAUUUUGCAUAUGUCCAUGUCCCCGUCCCCGUCAGAAUUACUUGAGAGAAUCCCCAUCCUCUCUCCGAAUAAUAACAGGGGAUCCCCGAAUAACUAAUACAUUUUUAUUUUUUUUUCGAUUUUGAGUUAAUCAUAUUAAAAUAAAAAAUUUAAAUAAAAGUAAAGUUCGAAAUAUAUCUUACAUUAAUAUCUAUUACAAAAGUUACAUACAUUAAAUUAGUAAGUAACGCAACAUGCAAGGGAUACAAACUUCUUUUACAAACUAUCAUGAAUAAAUUAAUAGUCUAAUACAAAAUUGUUACAAAUAAAAUUGAAUUUAGAUUCAAAAUUAACUUUUUCAAUAGUGGCGUGGGCACUUUAUAAAUGUGGACUAUUCCCUUUACAACACAAUAGUUAAAUCGGAGCAAAUCAAAAGUAAAUAUUAGAUUAGAUUAGAUUAAAUAUUAAAAUUGUGAUUCGCUGUGGGCAAUUAUAACAUCUAAAAAUAAAUAAAAAAUAGAUUUAAGUUUAAAAUAUUUAAAGAAUAUUAAAAUUAAAAAAAAUGUUGGGCUAAUAGAAUAUACUCGGUCUUUUUAAUGUCCUAAAUAAAAAUUUAGGACUUUAAUUAGUUAAUUAGGCCUAAAAAUUUAAUAAUAUAAAUAUUUUGAUAUUUUUUAUUUUUACCAAUAUUUAUAAUUUAAAUUUUAUUAUUUAUUUACUAGUAAUUUUAAAAAAUUAAAAUAAAAUUAAAAAUUAAAAUGGGGAAAUGGGUAGGGGAUGGGGAUUCCACCUCAUCCCCGUCCCCUCCCCGAAUAAGAAAUUGGGUAAAAAAAUUUCUUCGUCCCUUUCCCGAAUAAGAAAUUGGAUAUGAAAUUAUUCGUAUACCCUCCCCGAAUGGAAAAAAAUACCCGAGAGUACCCGUCUCCAUGAGGAUUUUUGCCAUCCCUAAUUACAGCAGCCGAAAUUUUGAGCUUUCAGUUCUUGAUUUUAGCGUGAGGGGUAUCUUUGUCGUUUCAGUUGUCAACAAACAAUUUGGGGGGGGGGGGGGGGGGGGGGGGGGUGGGUUGUUGGAGAUACGCUGAUACUUUCUAUCAUACUGGAGAUACACCUAACCUCAGGGGAGGAAAAUUACACCUUUACGACGUGUGAACUUGGGUCAAACUUUCAUAUUUUAAUCAAGUAGGUCGAUCACGAUUCAAGCUUCAGUCAUAAGCCUUUCGUUAUGAUUGAUAUUAUUCUUUCUUGAUAGUAUCAUGGAAAAUGCAAACGAAAAGUCAGCAUCUUUGAGUUUUGUCUCAUCAUAUCCGACUUGUUGGUCUACUAAUCAAUCGACAGGCCCUUUUGAUCUUGAUAAUUUGAACUUAAGGAGGCAAAGCAGCAAUCCUGAAGAGCCAUUGCUUGAUGCUGAGAUCGUUGUUGACGGCAAAUCAGUGGCAGUUAAUCGCAGCAUAUUGUCUGCACGCAGUCGUUUUUUUCAUUGGCUUUUUCAUUUGAGCAGUGAUGGUUCUGUGAGUGAGGGGAAACCCAAGUAUCUUAUGACUGAUUUG